AAAAUUCCCACUAGUAUAUGAAAGUGAUAACAUAUGAGACUCUCUAUCAUGAAGAUCAUGGUGCUAUUUUUGAAGCACAAGUGUGGAACAAGAGAUAGUAGCAAUUGUCCCUUCUCUCUUUUUCUCUCUUUUUAUUUCUCUUUUUUUUCUUUAUUUCUUUUUUUCCUUUCUUUAUUUCUUUCUUUCUUUUUGGCGGGCUUCUUUGGCCUCUUUUAUUUUUAUGAAGUCCGAAGUCCCAUCCCGACUUGUGGGGGAUAGUCUUCAUCAUCCUUUCCUCACUUGGGACAAUGCUCUAAUAAUAAAGAUCAUCACACUUUUAUGGAUUUACAACUCAAGAAUUACAACUCAAAGCUAGAACAAGAUAUGACUCUAUGUGAAUGCCUCCGGCGGUGUACCGGGAUAUGCAAUGAAUCAAGAGCGACAUGUAUGAAAUUAUGAAGGUGGCUUUGCCACAAAUACGAUGUCAACUACAUGAUCAUGAAAAGAGCAAUAUGACAAUGAUAAAACGUGUCAUAAUAAACGUAACGAUGGAAAGUUGCAUGGCAAUAUAUCUCAGAAUGGCUAUGGAAAUUCCAUAAUAGGUAGGUAUGGUGGCUGUUUUGAGGAAGGUAAAUAAUGGGUUCAAUACCGGCGAGAGUUGCGCGGUAAAAUAGAGGUUAGCUAAGUGGGAGGAUGAGUGUGCGUAUAUCCAUGGACUCACAUUAGUCAUAAAGAACUCAUAUACUUAUUGCAAAAAUCUACUUCGCCCUCGAAGCAAAGUACUACUACGCAUGCCCCAAGAGGGAUAGAUUGGUAGGAAAAAAUUCCAUCGCUCGUCCCCGACUGCCACUCAUAAGGAAGACACUCAAAAGAGCACCUCAUGCAACAAAUUUGUCACACAACUUUUACCAUACGUGCAUGCUACGAGACUUGCCAACUUCAACAAAAGUAUUUCUCAAUUUCAUAAUUAUCCACUAGCAUGACCCUAACAUUACUACCUUUAUAUCUCAAAACAAUUAUCAAGCAACAAGUUGAUCAUAGCAUCCAAUUCAACUUCUAUGAUAGUUUUUAUUAUACCCAACUUGGAUGCUCAUCAUUCUAGGACCAAAUUUGUAACCAAAGCAAAUACCAUGCUGUUCUAAAAGACUCUCAAAAUAAUAUAAGUGAAGCAUGAGAUACUAGCAAUUUCUAUAAAAUCAAGCCACCGCCGUGCUCUAAAAGAUAUAAGUGAAGCACUAGAGCAAAAACUAUCAAGCUCAAAAGAUAUAGGUGAAGCACAUAGAGUAUUCUAGCAAAUUCUAGUAAAAUAGGCUUCUCCAAAAAGGUGUGUAAAGCAAGGAUGAUUAUGGUAAACUAAAAAGAAAAGACUAAUGUAAUACACGACGCUCCAAGCAAAACACAUAUCAUGUGGUGAAUAAAAAUAUAGCUCCAAGUAAAGUUACCAAUGAACAAAGACGAAAGAGGGGAUGCCUUCCCGGGGCAUCCACAAGCUUAGGCUUUUGGCUAUCCUUGAAUAUCUUGGGGUGCCUUGGGCAUCCCCAAGCUUAGGCUCUUGCCACUCCUUAUUCCAUAAUCCAUAAAAGCUUUACCCAAAACUUGAAAACUUCACAACACAAAACUCAACAAGAAAUCUUAUAAGCUCCGUUAGUGAAAGAAAACAAAACCACCACAUAAGGUACUGUAAUGAACUCAUUAUUUAUUUAUUUUGGUGUUAAACCUACUGUAUUCCAACUUCUCCAUGGUUUAUAAACUAUUUUACUAGCCAUAGAUGCAUCAAAAUAAGCAAACAACACAUGAAAAAUAGAAUCUGUCAAAAACAUAAUAGUCUAUAGCAAUCUGUAACUAACGCAAACUUCUGGAACUCUAAAACUCCUAAAAAAAUAGGACGUAUUGUACAAUUUGUUUAUUGAUCAGAAGCAAAAAGAAUCAAUGCAAAAUCUCGUUUCUGUGAUUUAUUGAAUUUUUCUCGUGAGCGGAAAGUUUUUGUUUUUCAGCAGAAUCAAAUCAACUAUCAUCAUAGUUUAUCCUAUAGGUUCUACUUGGCACAAACACUAAUUAAAAGCUAAAAACACAUCUAAACAGAAAGUAGAAACAAAAUUUAACACUAAAUAGGAACAAAAACAAAGAACACAAAGAAAAUUGGGUUGCCUCCCAACUAGCGCUAUCGUUUAACGCCCCUAGCUAGGCAUAAAAGCAAAGAUAGAUCUAAAGAGUGCCAUCUUUGGCACUUGGCUCAUAAGUAGCGCACUUGUGAUCUCUAGGGAUUUCUCCCUUUUUAGCAAUGGCUAAACCUUUAGGCAAAAUUUCAAGAAAUUCAUCGGUAGCCAAAGGUUCCUUAACGAUAGAAAGACCAUUGGGAUGAGCCCUUAUGGAUUUGAGAUCCACGUCUCCCUUACUAGAAGAUUCACCCUUAUUUUUAGGAACAUAAAUAAGCUUGGAGGCUUUUGUAGGGGGUUUUGGAGUGUUUUUCAUGGAAUAAAAUGCCGAAGCUAAAUUUGUAAUUAUAUCCUCAAGUUUACCAAUUCUAGUAGAAUCAAGGUCUAUUUUUUCAUUAACUAUAGGUUCUUUCUCUUUAAGAUUUUUCAAAGUAACUCCAAUCCUAGAUCCAUAUUGGGUGAUAUGACUAUGAAUCUUUUUAUCCAAAUUUUCAAUCAACUCAAUAGUGGCAAUUUUAUUUUCAAUAAUAUCAAGUCGUUGCAUAACGUGUUCUAAAGUUAAAACGGUUCCAUUGACCAAAAGAGGUGGAGGGCCAAACAAAUCCAACAUGGCAUUAUAAGCAUCAAACGUAUGGCUACUCAUGAAAUCACCUCCGGUAGCAAUAUCAAGAACACAUCUAUUCCAAGGAGUAAUGCCUACAUAAAAAUUGUGGAGAAGAACGGAAGUGGAAAGCUUCCUAGAAGAUUUAUAUUGGGCAUUGCAAAUUAUAUGCCAAGCAUCUUUUAAAUUUUCUCCCUCCCUUUGCUUAAAAUUGAGAAUUUCUUGUUCGGGAGUGGUAAUAAGGAUAGGGGGACUAGCCAUAACGACAAGAUAAAUGAGCAAACACACGGGCAACAGAAAAAAAGCAAGCGGAAAAGAGAGGAGGAGAUUGGGAAAGAGAGGGCGAAUAAAACGGCAAGGGUGAAGUGGGGGAGAGGAAAACGAGAAGCAAAUGGCAAAUAAUGUAAAUGCGAGGGAGAUGAGUUUGUGAUGGGUACUUGGUAUGUCUUGACUUGAGCGAAGACCUCCCCGGCAACAGCGCCAGAAAUCCUUCUUGCUACGUCUUGAGCUUGCGUUGGUUUUCCUCAAAGAGGAGAGGGUGAUGCAGCAAUAGUAGCGUAAGUAUUUCCCUCAGUUUUUGAGAACCAAGGUAUCAAUCCAGUAGGAGGCUCCUCAACAAGUCCCACAAACCUACACAAACAAACAAAGAACUCACAACCAAUGCGACAAAGGGGUUGUCAAUCCCUUCAUGGCCACUUGCGAAAGUGAGAUCUGAUAGAGAUAGAAUGAUAAGAUAAAUAUAUUUUUGGUAUUCUAUAAUAUAGAUGCAGAAAAUAAAGAUGCAAAUAAAAGUAGAUUGAAAGUAAAUAUGAUAAGAGAUAAACCCGGGGGCCAUAGGUUUCACUAGAGGCUUCUCUCGAGAGCAUAAGUAUUACGGUGGGUGAACAAAUUACUGUCGAGCAAUUGAUAGAAAAUCGAAUAAUUAUGACGUUAUCUAGGCAUGAUCAUGUAUGUAGGCAUCACGUCCAUAACAAGUAGACCGACUCCUGCCAGCAUCUAUUACUAUUACUCCACACAUCGACCGCUAUCCAGCAUGCAUCUAGAGUAUUAAGUUCAUAAGAACAGAGUAACGCAUUAAGAAAGAUGACAUGAUGUAGAGAGAUAAACUCAAGCAAUAUGAUAUAAACCCCAUCUUGUUAUACUCGAUGGCAACAAUACAAUACGUGUCUUGCAACCCUUUCUGUCACUAGGUAAGAACACCGCAAGAUUGAACCCAAAGCUAAGCACUUCUCCCAUGGCAAGAAAGAUCAAUCUAGUAGGCCAAACCAAACCGAUAAUUCAAAGAGACUUGCAAAGAUAACUCAAUCAUAUAAAAGAAUUCAGAGAAGAUUCAGUUAUUAUCCAUAGAUAAAUCUGAUCAUAAACCCACAAUUCAUUGGCUCUCGACAAACACACCGCAAAAAGAGAUUACAUCGAAUAGUUCUCCACGAGAGAGGGGGAGAACAUUGUGUUGAGAUCCAAAAAGAGAGAAGAAGCCAUCUAGCUAAUAACUAUGGACCCGUAGGUCUGUGGUAAACUACUCACAACUCAUCGGAGAGGCAAGGGUGUUGAUGUAGAAGCCCUCCAUGGUCGAUUCCCCCUCCGGCAGAGUGUCGGCGAAGGCUCCAAGAUGGGAUCUCGCGGAUACAGAAGGUUAUGGUGGUGGAAAUUGUGUUUCGUCCUGCCCCCAGAUGUUUUCGGGGUACGUAGGCUUAUAUAGGAGGAAGAAGUACGUCGGUGGACGCCCGAGGGGCCCACGAGACAGGGGCGCGCCCUACAGGGGGGGCGUGCCCUCCUAUCUCGUGGGAGCCUCGGCUGCUUCUUGACUUGCACUCCAAGUCCUCUGGAUCACGUUCAUUCAAAAAAUCACGCUCCCAAAGGUUUCAUUCUGUUUGGACUCCAUUUGAUAUUCCUUUUCUUUGAAAUACUGAAAUAGGCAAAAAAACAGCUAUACGGGCUGGGCCUCCGGUUAGUAGGUUAGUCCCAAAAAUGAUAUAAAUGUGUAAAAUAAAGCCCAUAAUCAUCCAAAAGGGGUAAUAUAAUAGCAUGGAACAAUCAAAAAUUAUAGAUAUGUUGGAGACGUAUCAUCUGCCAUCGUAAAUUAGCGCUUGUUGCCCUUGUCCUCAUUGCCGAUGCCAAGGAAGCUCCUCUGAAAGCGGCGAUGACACUUGGAGGUGACAUGGCGUUCAUGACCACAUAGCUGGCAUACCACCCGAGUGUUAGGGCCCCCACCUAGGGGGCGGGGCGGGCUUGCCAGAUGACGGGGCAGGGAGACACUGGCCGCGAGAAGCCCAGAAGGCCGUCGGCUAUGAGGUGAUGGUGGAGAAGGAGCGAUAAGCCUCGACGCGCUGCUCGGUGUAGAGGAGUCGUGAGUAGAGCUCGUGCGGGGGCAUCGCUGGCUUGGCGUUGUGCACAGCCUCGGCGAGAUUGUCAUAGUCGGCAUCGAGGCCUUUGAUAACAAAGCCAACAAACUCCUCGUCGCUGAGCGGUCGACCGAUAGAGGUGAGUGUGUCCGCCAGCACCUUCAUCUUGUCGAAGUAGGUCGUGGCAGAGGAGUCCAGCUUCUUAAUGUCGGUGAAAGUGCGCUAAGUCGACUAGAGGGGGGUGAAUAGGCGAUUUUUAAAAAUUUGUCACUGAGGAAUUUCAGGGUGAGGAAAUUCCUAAGUCACGAACAACUAGUAGCGGAAUAAGUACUCACGUAUAAGCAUAACAGAGUGAAAGCAUAGUCAUCAUGCUAAAAUGAAAGAAAAACACUGAGUACAGAAAGCGUAAACACAGGAUAAGCAGGUUGAAGACAAUGUGACUGAAUAAAUAGAAUUGAGGAAAUAGAGAAAGUCUUCAAUCAAAGUCUUCAAACAGUAAUGAUCAGGUUUAGCAACACAUGAGUGAGGAAAUGAAAGGGUUGAGGAAAUAGAACCAGUAGGCUUGGUGAAGAUAAUGAUUUGGUAGACCAGUUCCAACUGCUAUGACAGUUGUACAUCUAGUAGGAGCGACUGAGUAUUUAAACUCGAUGACACACAGUCCCAAACACACAGUCCUCACCAUAUUCUCCUUGAGCUAAGAUCACGCAGAUCUCGCCCAACACUCGUGGUAAGUCUUCACAGGUGACUUCCAAACCUUCACAGACUUGGUCACUCGGCGGUCCACAAUUCCUCUUGGAUGCUCAGUCCAUGAAGCCUAACCGUCUGGAGGAUACACAAUUCUCAAAGAUAACAAGCGUCAGUUCCAUGCAGGAACAAUCUCUUCAGUGAUGCUCAAUCACUUUGGGUUUGUUGGUUUGGUUUGGGGUUUGGGUUUUCCUCACUUGAUGAUUUUUGCUCAAAGUCCUCGGAGGAUGGGAUGCUCUCAAAUGACAAGUGUCAAUUCCUCUCGGAGCAGCCAACUAGCUAGUGGUUGUAGGGGGGCGGCUAUUUAUAGCCUAGGGAGUAGCCCGACAUGAUAAGAUAUAAAUGCCCUUCAAGGAUAUGACCGUUAGGUGGUAGGAUAUUUUGGACAGCUCGCGCGUAGCACAGCAACGGUCGGAUUUGAGGUUCGAAUUCCCCAGGGCUAUCAUGUUCCUCACUGUGUAGGCAAUCUGCACUGGCGAAUUCCUAACUCCUUAGUCAGAACAAAUUCCUCAAAGACCAGAAGAUCUUCGGCUCUGUCACUGAAGAAGUUGACUGGACUGAUAUGAGAUUUCCAAUGGCUUCACUCGAAAGGAUUGGGUAUAUGUUGGAUUUUGAGAUGAGCAUCACUUGGAAAUCAGUUUCCUUAGUAUUACCUCGACCCCCUUUAACAGUACGAUGUUUCCUAUGACUCAAGAAAGAGAAAAUGAAACUACGAAACAAAAGUCUUCACGCUCCAUAAUCCUCGCAUGAAUAUCCAAGUCUUCAAGGUCGCACCAAUUUCAUCACUUUCAAAGUCUUCAGGAGCACCAAAGUCUUCGGCUGAAGACAUUCAUUUUUAGGGGUCGACUUUCACUGUAAAUAUCAAACUCCUCAUCGACUUAUAGAGCAUGUGUACACUUACAAACAUAUUAGUCCCUUAACCUAUAAGUCUUUAAUACACCAAAAUCACUAAGGAGCACUAGAUGCACUUACAAUCUCCCCCUUUUUGGUGAUUGAUGACAAUAUAGGUUAAGUUUUCAACGGGGAUAAACAUAUGAAUUGAAAGUGGUCAAUGUUGAGGAAUUUGAUUACAAGAUAUAGAAGAACUCCCCCUGAAGAUGUCCAUAGUGAGGAAUUUGCUAUUGAAGCAAUGCACAUUUUUAGAGUAGAAUCAUGGAGAUCUCCUCAUAUAUCUUGUAAUUCAUACACGCAUUUAACAUAUCAAAUGAAGAAUUAGAAAUGCAUGAUGAAAUAUGGUGACUGAUGUAAUUCAGCAUGCGUGCAUAGCAUAUAUGAGGAAAUAGCGUGCAGAAAAACAGAGCAAAAGUAUCAGGUCACCAUCGGACUUAAGUUUACAACUCAAUCAACAAACACUUCAGAAGAGCGAGAGUUGUAACUUAACAAAAAAACACCCAUAUAGAUAGACCCGCUUGAAGACUAACUCAAAUUUCUCCUCCUUUGUCAUCAAAUGACCAAAAGGGACAAAAAAUGAGGACUAACGCCCCUGAAGAAUUUCAUCAUGAAGUUGACGGAGGAGCGCCAUCAUUGUUGGGGUCGGUUGUUGGAGUAGGGCCUGCUGCAGUGUCGUCCAAAUCUUCAUUUUCAUCGGUCUCGCGCGAUGAAGAAUAUGAGAUGGGCACCAAGGGAGGAACUUCAACUUUCUUGAAUUUCUUCGCUCGAGGCUUAGACCAGCCGAAGUCCUGCUUGAAGCCCGUCUGCUUGAGUUCCUCAUCACCAUAGAGAUGAGACACAAUUGCCCAGGUGCGAUCAAAACUUCAUUGAGGUAGUAAUGGUUCUUCUUUACUGAAUUAUAUAUAGCAGUCAUGUUGUGAAUAAUUGAACCAAACUGACACUUGACCCAUUUGUGAUUGUGAUCGACCUUCUGAUGAAGACUGGGGAGAAUCUCAUGAUUAGUCAUCACCCUUGGAGUUGUGGCUUGAGGACUUUGCUUUGUGGCAUUGGCGGAAGAAUCAUGAGUGGCAGAGUCAUCAUUGGUGGAAUACGAUGCAGCUUUGUGGAACUGUCCAUCCAAUGGACAAAUGCCCUCAUCAACAAUUGCAGUGGCCUUACCUUUUCAUCAGUUGAGAAAAAUGUCCGCUUGAGGACUUCAAUAGGGGGAAAGUAACUGCCAUGGUUGAGUGUGUCAACCUUGUAAUUGAUUGAAGACCUUGAUCUGAGGAAUCUCAUAAUCCAGGGAGCGUAAGGCUUCAAUUCAAAGGGAGAUAGUGCAACAUUUGUCAUAGUCCGCAUUAAGAAGUCAUGGUAGUUCAUUGGGAUACCAUGCAUGAUAUUGAACAACAUAUUCUUCAUCAUGCCAACAACUUCUUCAUCAUUGGAGUUCUGGCCUUUGAUAGGACUCAGUGUCUUGGUAAGAAUGUGAUAGACAGUCCGCGGCACUGAUACCUCUCCAACGUAUCUACUUUUCCAAACACUUUUGCCCUUGUUUUGGACUCAAACUUGCAUGAUUUGAAGGAAACUAACCCGGACUGACGCUGUUUUCAGCAGAACUGCCAUGAUGUUGUUUUAUGUGUAGAAAAGAAAAGUUCUCGGAAUGUCCUGGAAAUCCNNNNNNNNNNNNNNNNNNNNNNNNNNNNNNNNNNNNNNNNNNNNNNNNNNNNNNNNNNNNNNNNNNNNNNNNNNNNNNNNNNNNNNNNNNNNNNNNNNNNNNNNNNNNNNNNNNNNNNNNNNNNNNNNNNNNNNNNNNNNNNNNNNNNNNNNNNNNNNNNNNNNNNNNNNNNNNNNNNNNNNNNNNNNNNNNNNNNNNNNNNNNNNNNNNNNNNNNNNNNNNNNNNNNNNNNNNNNNNNNNNNNNNNNNNNNNNNNNNNNNNNNNNNNNNNNNNNNNNNNNNNNNNNNNNNNNNNNNNNNNNNNNNNNNNNNGCGCCCUCCUAUCUCAUGGGCCCCCCGAACCACCUCCGACCUCAACUCCAACUCCAUAUAUACCGUCUCGGGGAGAAAAAAAUAGAGGAGAAAGUUUCAUCGCGUUUCACGACAUGGAGCCGCCGCCAAGCCCUAAUCUCUCUCGGGAGGGCUGAUCUGGAGUCCGUUCGGGGCUCCGAGAGGGGGAUUCGUCGCCGUCGUCAUCAUCAACCAUCCUCCAUCACCAAUUUCAUGAUGCUCACCGCUGUGCUUGAGUAAUUCCAUCAUAGGCUUGUUGGACAGUGAUGGGUUGGAUGAGAUUUACCACGUAAUCAAGUUAGUUUUGUUAGGGUUUGAUCCCUAGUAUCCACUAUGUUCUGAGAUUGAUGUUGCUAUGACUUUGCUAUGAUUAAUGCUUGUCACUAGGGCCCGAAUGCAUGAUUUCAGAUCUGCACCUACUAUGUCUUCAUCACUAUAUGUGUGUUCUUGAUCCUAUCUUGCAAGUUUAUAGUCACCUCUUAUGUGUUAUGAUCCGACAACCCCGAAGAGACAAUAAUCGGGACACUUCUCGGUGAUGACCGUAGUUUGAGGAGUUCAUGUAUUCACUAUGUGUUAAUGCUUUGGUCCGGUUCUCUAUUAAAAGGAGGCCUUAAUAUUCCUUAGUUUCCACUAGGACCCCGCUGCCACGGGAGGGUAGGACAAAAGAUGUCAUGCAAGUUCUUUUCCAUAAGCACGUAUGACUAUUUACGGAAUACAUGCCUACAUUACAUUGAUGAAUUGGAGCUAGUUCUAUAUCACCCUAUGUUAUAACUAUUGCAUGAGGAAUCGCAUCCGGCAUAAUUAUCCAUCACUGAUCCAUUGCCUACGAGCUUUUCACAUAUUGUUCUUCGCUUAUUUACUUUUCUGUUGCUACUGUUACAACUACUACAAAAACCCAAAAACAUUUACCUUUUUUGUUGCUACUGUUACCAUUAUUAUCAUACCACUUUUGCUACUAAAUACUUUGCUGCAGAUACUAAGUUAUCCAGGUGUGGUUUAAUUGACAACUCAACUUCUAAUACUCAAGAAUAUUCUUUGGCUCCCCUUGUGUCGAAUCAAUAAAUUUGGGUUGAAUACUCUACCCUCGAAAGCUGUUGCGAUCCCCUAUACUUGUGGGUCAUCAAGACUAAUUUCUGGCGCUGUUGCGGGGGAGCAUAGCUCUAUUCUCUAAGUCACUUGGGAUUUAUAUAUGUUGAUCACUAUGAAGAACUUGAAAGACGCUAAGACCAAGAUUUUGCCCUCAACUAUGAGGGGAGGUAAGGAAAUGCCAUCUAGAUCUGCAAUAGAUUCUCCUUCCGUUAUUAGUAAGCUUGCGACACCUAAACCUGCUAUUGCUGUGAAUUCUGAUAUGUCUCAUGUUAUCGAUGAUGCCACUUCUGCUUUGCAUGGUACUUAUGAUGAAACUACUUCUGUGCGUGAUACUACUUUGCCAUUAGGUGAAUUUCUUGAUGAACAACUUGCUAGAGUUAGGGGGAAUGAAAAUAUUGAAGAACCUAUUAUUGAUGAUAGUGAUGAUGAACGUUCCCCCAAUGAUUAUGUAUUACCUGUUGUUCCUAAGGGUUAUGUUAUGAACAAAGAAGCUGCUGAAGCUAUUCUUGCUUGCAAUGAUAGAAAUGAUCUUAAGAAAUUAUUAGCUAAAUGGAAGCAUCAGUCUCUUAAUGCUAGAAUGAAACCUGAUCCUACUUUUGCUACUUCACCUAUCUGUGUUAAUGAUAAGGAUUAUGAAUUCUCUGUUGAUCCUGAUAUUAUUACUUUAGUUGAAUCUGAUCCUUUUUAUGGCCUUGAAUCUGAAACUGUUGUGGCACAUCUUGCCAAGUUGAAUGAUAUAGCCACUCUAUUUACUCAUGAUGAGAAGUCUCGCUAUUUAUAUAUCCUUAAGAUAUUUCUGUUCUCAUUAAAGGGUGAUGCUAAGACUUGGUAUAAUUCUCUUGCUCCUGGUUGUGUGCGUAGUUGCCAGGAUAUGAUCUAUUACUUCUCUGCUAAAUAUUUCCCUGCUCAUAAGAAACAAGUUGCCUUGCGGGAAAUAUAUAAUUUUGUGCAAACCAAAGAAGAGAGUCUCCCACAAGCUUGGGGGAGGCUUCUCAGGUUGCUUUAUGCUUUGCCUGAUAUCAUCUUAAGAAAAAUGAAAUACUUGAUAUCUUUUAUAAUGGACUAACCGAUGCUUCCAAGGACCACUUGGAUAGUUGUGCUGGUUGUGUUUUCAGGGAAAGAACAGUCGACGAAGCUGAAAUACUAUUGAAUAAUAUGUUGACUAAUGAAAAUAAUUGGACUCUUCCCGAGCCAGUUCCUGAAGUAAUUCCUGAACCAAUUGAGCCAACUCUUGAGCCUAUUCCUAAACCCACUCUGAAGAAGAGAGGCGUUUUAUUUUUGGGAUAAUUAGAUUUAUGCCCCUAGUUGUGUCCCACUCGCCUGUUUUACCCCUAAUUCCCAAAAGUCAUCGGUUCUGUCCAAGUCACUUUGCUCCUCUUAUGCUUUUGCACUUUGACCGUUUGACCGUCAGUUUGAAAACUUCAUAACUAAUUCAUACUAAAUCAUAAAAAUGCAAAUAAGAUACCAAAGUGUUCAUAAAAACAUCACCAAUAUGUGAGUGUCAUUUGCAUUCAUGAAAAAAAUGUUGGAAAGUGCACAUCUGAGUUUUAGCUCUUUUGAUACCACCAUGAAUAGUAAACUCUAAAAAAAUUCAAAAAAAUUCAAAAAAAAUAUGGUGGCAAAGAAUGACAAAUGUUCUAAGUGCUUGCCAAGUUUCAUUAGGGAACGACAUUCAUGGAAGUCAUGGCAAAAAAAUAAUCUAUUUUGGAGUGCUGAUUGUUUUUUUUUUGCCACGGCACCCACGAAUGUUAUUCCCUGAUGAAACUUGGCAGGCACUUAAAACAUUUGUCAGUCUUUGCCACCAAAUUUUUGUUGAUUUUUUUUGAACUUUUUUAGAUUUUAUUAUUCAUGGUGAUAGCCUAAGAGCUAAAACUCAGAUGGGCACUUUCCAACACUUGUCUCAUGAAUGCAAAUAACACUCACAUAUAGGUGAUGUUUUUCUGAACAUUUUGGUAUCUUAUUUGCAUUUUUCUGAUUUAGUAUGAAUUAGUUAUGAAGUUUUCAAACUGACGGUCAAACGGUCAAAGGGUAAAAGCAUAAGAGGGGCAAAGUGACAUGGACAGAACCGGUGACUUUUAGGAAUUAGGGGUAAAACAGAUGAGUGGGACACAACUAGGGGCACAAAUCUAAUUAUCCCUUUAUUUUUCAGUCCUGAAGAUAUGCAAGAGGCAAAGAAAUCAAUGAAAGAAAAAGGUAUUAAAGCUGAAGAUGUUAAGAAUUUACCUCCUAUUGAAGAAAUACAUGGUCUGAAUACACUGCCUGAAGAACUACAUUGUCUUGAUAACCCUACACAGGUAGUGAAGGUAAAUUCUCUCUAUAGAUACGAUAAAGUUGAAAUACCCUCUACUAAAUUUCAUAGCCCAUGCUUAGAUGAAUUUGAUGACUUUAUGGCUAGACAAGAAAGUUUUAAUGCUUAUGUUGGUAGAGAUUUAAAGAAUAAUGCUUUCGAGAUAGGACGCGUAGGUGAUAAUCUGGCUAGAGUUAAAGAUGAACUUCACCGCGUUAGCAAAUAUGCUUCUAUGGUUGCUACUCAAGUUGAGCAAGUACUCAAAGCUCAAAAUGAUUUGCUUGAUGAAUUGAAUAAUAAAAAUGACUUUGCUGUUAGAGUGGCUACUAGAACUGGUAGAAUGACUCAGGAACCUUUGUAUCCUGAAGGCCACCCUAAAAGAAUUGAACAAGAUUCUUAGAAUAAUAAUCUAGAUGUUCCUAGUUCUUCUAAGAAGAAGAAAAAGAAGAAUGAUAGGACUUUGCAAACUUCUAGUGAACCUAAUGUAGAAACACCUGAGAAUCCCAAUGGUACUUCUAUUUCUGAUGCUGAAACACAAUCAGGUGAUGAACAUGAACCUAGUAAUAAUGUUAAUGAUAAUGUUCAUGUUGAUGCUCAAUCUAGCAAAGAUAAUGAUGUAGAGAUUGAACCUGUUGUUGAUCUUGAUAACCCACAAUCAAAGAAUCAACGUUAUGAUAAGAGAGAUUUUGUUGCUAGGAAGCAUGGUAAAGAAAGAGAACCAUGGGUUCAGAAACCCAUGCCCUUUCCUCCUAAACCAUCCAAGUCAAAGGAUGAUGAGGAUUUUGAGCGCUUUGCUGAAAUGAUUAGACCUAUUUUCUUACGUAUGCGCUUAACUGAUAUGCUGAAAGCAAAUCCUUACGCUAAAUAUAUAAAGGAUAUCAUCACAAAUAAAAGAAAGAUACCGGAAGCUGAAAUUUCCACCAUGCUUGCUAAUUACACUUUUAAGGGUGGAAUACCAAAGAAACUUGGAGAUCCGGGUGUACCAACUAUACCAUGCUCUAUUAAAAGAAAUCAUGUUAGAACCGCUUUAUGUGAUCUUGGAGCUGGUGUUAGUGUUAUGUCUCUCUCUUUAUAUCAUAGACUUGAAUUGAAUAAGUUGACACCUACUGAAAUAUCUUUGCAAAUGGCUGAUAAAUCAACUGCUAUACCUGUCGGUAUUUGUGAGGAUGUGCCUGUUGUGGUUGCAAAUGUCACUAUUUUAACGGACUUUGUUAUUCUUGAUAUUCCCGAGGACGAUAGUAUGUCUAUUAUCCUUGGUAGACCUUUUCUUAAUACUGCAGGGGCUGUUGUUGAUUGCAACAAAGGCAAUAUCACUUUUCAUGUUAAUGGUAAUGAGCAUACGGUACACUUUCUGAGGAAACAAUCUCAAGUUCAUAGCAUCAAUUCUAUUGAAAAAGUUCCAACUAUCAUUUUUGGAGGUUUUGAAUUUCCUCUCCCUACUGUCAAGAAAAAGUAUGAUAUUCUUAUUGUUAGGGAUUUUCAUAUCCUCGUUGAGGUAACUUAGUGUUAUUCGAAAUUUCUCCGGUUCCGUGUUAUUCGGAAUGAGUUUGUUAACAAGACUUGAUCAACCUUGUUAGUGGAUUCAUUUUGAUGAUCAUGAGAUGGAUGAAACUAGAAGGCACAACCUUCUGUACCCUCCUUUCACUUUCUGUUAUUUAGAAUAAAUAAAUAAAUAAAAUAGUAUUAUCUGUCUGUUUUCUGAUUUAUCCGUGCAUUAAAAAAAUAGUCCGAAAAUAAAAGUGCUCCAAAUGCCCUGCAAAUUUAGUAUGAUUUUUUCUGGAAUAUUUGAGGAUUUUAGGCACUGAAAACACUUCAGGAGGGCCAAGCACCAGGCCACGAGAGAGGAAGGCGCCCCCCCUCUAGGGGCGCGCCCCCCUAUCUCGUGGGCCCCUGGUGACGCCCCUCCACUUAUGCUAACACCCACACACUCCAUCUUCUACCCAAAAAAAUUCCCAUCCAGCUCAAGCCCGAGUUGUAGCUCGUUUUGCUGCGAUUUUCGAUCUCUUAGCUCAAAGCUCCAUUCACAAAACUGCUUUAGGAGAUUGUUGCUUGGUAUGUGACUCCUCCAUUGGUCCAAUUAGUUUUUGUUCUAGUGCUUUAUUCAUUGCAAAUCCUUGCUGCCUUGGUGACCCUGUUCUUGAGCUUGCAUGUUAAAUUUUUGAGGUCCCAAGCAAUUCCAAUGCAUGAUAUAGGCUCUAGGCACUUGUAGGAGUAGUUGCUAUCAACCUUGUUUAGUUUUAUGCAUUUUUAUUUCGAAGUUACUAAAAUUUUAGAUUUUUUCAGAAAAAGAAAUAUGCUUAGGAGAAUGUACCAAGGUGGCUCCUCGGCAAAGAAUGGGCCAAGGAUUGCUAUACAAGAGCAAGACGUUAGAUUGCCGAUGGAUGCAUAUGUACGGGCUUGUGAGUGGCCAUCCGAUGAUUUUAUGGUCAAAGCAGGCUUCAAGGAGGAAUUUGACGUGUAUGUGCGUAAUGCCGAGCUAGAGGACUUCUUACAAGAUAAGUGUCCUCAAUAUUAUCAUUUGACUGAUUCCUUUGUGCGGAGGUUCGAAUAUAUUUCUUCGCCUAAUUCCCCUAGUGUUAUGUUUGAUAUUUAUGAUACAUCUUAUACCAUGGAUUUAGAGGAUUUCACAACUGCUUGCAAACUCCCUCAGUGGGGUAAUAUCAAUGAUCCUCGCAAAUUUGAAUUUAGAGAUUUUCUUGCUAGUAUUACUGUGGGAGAAUCUAGGGACGUAGCACAAGCUACCAUAGGGAGCAUUCAUUUUCCUGCUAUACAUUACUUGCUCUCUUUAUUGGUAAAUGCAUUAACGGUAAGGACGAAGUAAGUCACUUGUGUGCCCCUGAUCUUUGUGUCCUCAAGAGUGCUGUGUCUGGUUACAGAGGUUAUAACUUGGGGGCAAUAGUUGCACGUAGGCUGCAUAAUAAUAGUAAAAAGGGAAAUUUCUUUGGAGGAAUUUAUGCAACCCGUGUGGCAAAUUUUCUUAAUAUAGCUCCACGAGAGGGGGAUAUGAUUGUACCUCCUGUUUAUUUAGAUAAAAAAAGCUAUGUUUGAUCAUCAAUUUCUUGAGAGGAAUGAAUAAUUCCUCCAUUAUCGACUAAUAUAUGAUAGACGCAAUGUCGUCCCUGUUACUCUUCUGCUCCCUACCUUUUUGAUUAUCAGGCAAGAGGAGGAUAUGUUAUCACCAGGGAAGAAGCCACUGAAUAUGAGAGGGGAAUGGAGGCAGCUCGCUAACACGCCACUGACCAGGAGGCCGUUGCCUCUGCAUCUCAGUACAAUCCCAGUUUCACUUAUGGAUAUCAGCCAGGCGGUCCUCGGUAUUAAACCAACCUAGGCCAAAAGCCUAAGCUUGGGGGAGUACGUAUUUCUCACCGACUUUACAUUCAUGUUCACACACUAGUCGUCGAUGCUCAUACUCUUUCAUUGUAUUAUCCAUGUUAAUUUAAAUCUCCUUUUCUAGUUUUCUACUUGUGUGUUUGAUAAACCUUAAGAAAAACCAAAAAAAUUAGUUAGUUUAAUUUCCUUGCUUGUAGUAGAAAUUAAAAUGAAAACCCAAAAAGAUUUCUCGUUCUUCUUUUACUUGUUGGGAGCUUUCCCGUGUAAAUAGUUUUAUUUUCUUUUCUUUCUUCUAGGGUCGAGAAGACCAUAUUGAAAAUGCUUAGUGGCUCUUAUAUGCAUGACUGAUUAUUUAUAUUUAGAGCCCAUAUUACUUGUCUUCUCUCUUGAGUUGAAUGCUUGCAUAUUCCAGCUUAGUCCAAUGCACGUGCACUCUUAUUAUUAUACACUUCGUUCGGUCGUGCGAGUGAAAGGCAAUAAUGACGAUAUAUGGUGGACUUAUUGGGAUGAGAAAAGCUGCUAUGAACUCGACCUCUCUUGUUUUUGUAAAUAUGAUGAUUCAUCGUUCCUGAGUCAACUAUUAUGAAGUAAACAUAUUUGCAAUGACAUUUAGAGAUUAUAGAUGCUUGUGCCAUGCUUGAUUAGCUUUGAGUCAUAAUAGUUUACCUUGCGUGCCAACAUGCUAUUAGAAUGAUUAUGAUGUGAUAUGAUGGGAUGGUAUCCUCCUUUGAAUGAAUUGAGUGACUCGACUUGGCACAUGUUCACGCAUGUAAUUGAAUCAAAUCAACAUAGCCUUCACGAUAUUUAUGUUCAUGGUGGAUUAUAUCCUACUCAUUCUUGUAUCCCGUAUGAAUUAAUUUUAAUGCAUGCUUACGACUGUUGUCGCUCUCUUAGUUGGUUGCUUCCCAGUCUUUUGCUAGCCUUCACCUGUACUAAGCGGGAAUACUGCUUGUGCAUCCAAACUCCUUAAACCCCAAAGUUGUUCCAUAUGAGUCCACUAUACCUUCCUAUAUGCGGUAUCUACCUGCCGUUCCAAGUAAAUUUGUAUGUGCCAAACUCCAAACCUCCAAAUGAAAUUCUGUUUAGCAUGCUCGAGCAGCUCAUGUUACAACUAGGGCUGCCUAUAUCUUCCAUGUUGGGUGUGUUAUUCUCAGAGGAGUGGACUCUGCUCCUCAUUCACGAGAAAGGGCUGGUAACCGGGAUGCCCAGUCCCAUGAUCCAAAAAGAUCAAAGCAAAUCAAAAUAAUUAAACAAAACUCCCCCAGGGUUGUUGUAUGUUGGAGGCACUCGUUGUUUCGAGCAAGCCAUGGAUUGAUGCUUGUUGGUGGUUGGGGGAGUAUAAACCUUUACCAUUCUGUUUGGGAACUGCCUAUAAUGCAUGUAGUAUGGAAGAUACAGUCAUCUCAUAGGUGUUGCGUUGACAGCGAAAGUAUGCCGCUCAAAAUUUUAUUCAAUCUCUAUUUUAAAAUCGAGCUCCGGCACCUCUAUAAAUCCCUGGUUCCCUCUGCGAAGGGCCUAUCUAUUUACUUUUAUGUUGAGUCAUCACCCUUCUUAAUAAAGCACCAGCUGGAGAGCACACUGUCAUUUGCAUUCAUUAUUACUGGUUUAUAUUGGGUAUGACUUGACUAGAUCUCUUUUACCAUGAAUUACAAUGUUUAGUCAGUCCUUGAUCUUUAAAGGUGCUCUGCAUUUAUGUUUCGCGGUCCCAGAAAGGGCUAGCGAGAUACCAUUUUGUUAUAUCAUGUUAUGAUUAUUUUGAGAAAGUGCUGUCAUCCGAGUUUUAUUAUUAUGACUCGCUAGCUGAUUAUGCUAUUGAUAUGAGAAAUUGUGAGACCUAUGUGUUAUUGUGAGUAUGGUUAGUUCAUAAUAUUUGCUAAAACUUAAAUGCUGGCUUUUCAUGUUUACAACAACAAGAGCAAACAGAGUUUGUAAAAGUUUUUCUUUAUCACUUUCAGUUUGUCAACUGAAUUGCUUGAGGACAAGCAAAGGUUUAAGCUUGGGGGAGCUGAUACGUCUCCAACGUAUCUACUUUUCCAAACAGUUUUGCCCUUGUUUUGGACUCUAACUUGCAUGAUUUGAAUGAAACUAACCCGGACUGACGUUGUUUUUAGCAGAACUGCCAUGAUGUUGUUUUAUGUGUAGAAAAGAAAAGCUCUCGGAAUGUCCUGGAAAUCCACGGAGGCACUUUUCAGAAUUAAUAUGAAUUUUGGGCGAAAGAAUCAAGGCCAGGGGCCCACGGGCUGUCCACGAGACNNNNNNNNNNNNNNNNNNNNNNNNNNNNNNNNNNNNNNNNNNNNNNNNNNNNNNNNNNNNNNNNNNNNNNNNNNNNNNNNNNNNNNNNNNNNNNNNNNNNNNNNNNNNNNNNNNNNNNNNNNNNNNNNNNNNNNNNNNNNNNNNNNNNNNNNNNNNNNNNNNNNNNNNNNNNNNNNNNNNNNNNNNNNNNNNNNNNNNNNNNNNNNNNNNNNNNNNNNNNNNNNNNNNNNNNNNNNNNNNNCCCCCCCUAGGGGCGCGCCCUCCUAUCUCAUGGGCCCCCUGGACCUCCUCCGACCUCAAAUCCAACUCCAUAUAUACCGUCUCGGGGAGAAAAAAAUAAAGGAGAAAGUUUCAUCGCGUUUCACGACACGGAGCCGCCGCCAAGCCCUAAUCUCUCUUGGGAGGGCUGAUCUGGAGUCUGUUCGGGGCUCCGGAGAGGGGGAUUCAUCGCCGUCGUCAUCAUCAACCAUCCUCCAUCACCAAUUUCAUGAUGCUCACCGCCGUGCAUGAGUAAUUCCAUUGUAGGCUUGCUGGAUGGUGAUGGGUUGGAUGAGAUUUACCAUGUAAUCAAGUUAGUUUUGUUAGGGUUUGAUCCCUAGUAUCCACUAUGUUCUGAGAUUGAUGUUGCUAUGACUUUGCUAUGCUUAAUGCUUUUCACUAGGGCCCGAGUGCCAUGAUUUCAGAUCUGAACCUAUUAUGUUUUCAUCAAUAUAUGUGUGUUCUUGAUCCUAUCUUGCAAGUCUAUAGUCACCUAUUAUGUGUUAUGAUCCGACAACCCCGAAGUGACAAUAAUCGGGGCACUUCUCGGUGAUGACCGUAGUUUGAGGAGUUCAUGUAUUCACUAUGUGUUAAUGCUUUGGUCCGGUUCUCUAUUAAAAGGAGGCCUUAAUAUCCCUUAGUUUCCACUAGGAUCCCGCUGCCACGGGAGGGUAGGACAAAAGAUGUCAUGCAAGUUCUUUGCCAUAAGCAUGUAUGACUAUUUACGGAAUACAUGCCUACAUUACAUUGAUGAAUUGGAGCUAGUUCAAUAUCACCCUAUGUUAUAACUAUUGCAUGAGGAAUCGCAUCCGGCAUAAUUAUCCAUCACUGAUCCAUUGCCUACGAGCUUUUCACAUAUUGUUCUUCGCUUAUUUACUUUUCUGUUGCUACUAUUACAACUACUACAAAAACCCAAAAACAUUUACCUUUUCUGUUGCUACUGUUACCAUUAUUAUCAUACCACUUUUGCUACUAAAUACUUUGCUGCAGAUACUAAGUUAUCCAGGUGUGGUUGAAUGGACAACUCAACUGCUAAUACUCAAGAAUAUUAUUUGGCUCCGCUUGUGUCGAAUCAAUAAAUUUGGGUUGAAUACUCUACCCUCGAAAGGUGUUGAGAUCCCCUAUACUUGUGGGUCAUCAGGCACAUAGAGCAAUUCCUUCACGAGGAAUUUGGUUCUUGGGGCUUGACCAGGCUUCAUUGGUUUCAUCAACACUUGCAUAUAGUGAUCAGAAAGUUCAGGUUCUUGAUACAUAAGAUGCGCACCUUAGAGGGGAGGACUGACAGGCAGGGCAUGAAGCAAUUCAAAGGCUGGUGCUUUGAAGUGAGUGUUCUCUAUCAUCCAGUCCAACACCCAGGAGUUUGUAUCUUCAGCAUUGUCGGUGAUGUGCAGUGUCGCGUAGAAUUGAAGAAUGGGUUCUUCAUUCCAAUCGCAUAUAUCGGUGCAGAAGUUGAGCAGUCCGGCGUCAUGAAGAACACUGAGGACUGGUGUGAAGCACGGUAGCGAUUCCAUAUCCACAUGAGGAAUAUGCUCAUGGUUGAAGACUUUGUCCUUAUUGAAAAGCAGUGAAGAAUAGAAGUUGGCUUGGCUGGCAGUCCAGAAAUGCUUCCUUCUAAUACGAGCAGAGUCAUAAGGAUUGUAGUCGGUGAAGAACACUCGCUCAUGGAAAAAGUCAUCAGCCUUGAAUUUUGGCGUCUUCGAGAAUGGAUUCUUCGGCUUUGGAUGAGGAGUAUUAGUCAAUUGCAGUACUACCUCAGGAAUCUCAAUCUCUGGAGCCGCGGGCUGAGGAAUUUCAGUUUCUGCUUCAUUAGUAGCCUGGGUCUCCAUAUCUUCAGCAGCUUUGUCAUCAGCACUAGUGGCUGGAAUUUCUUCUGGAAUGGAAGGCGUAGGGUGAAUUUCAUCAGAGCCCAUGAGAACUUCAGUUGGUACUGGGGACUGAGGAAUUUGUUGCAGUGGCGUGAACAUGGGAGAGUUGGGAUGCUCACUUUUCCAAAAGUCAUCAUUCAUCACAGGUGUGGUGCUCCCAAUGUCCAUGUCUUCAUCUUCUUCCAUUUCUUCCACGCCUGCCUCUUCAGCUGUCCACUUCAAUUUCUUCAUCCAUCUGCUCUAUAGAAGCAGCAGAAGGAUUUUUUCAGCAGAUUCACUCGGAAUCACAUAAUCUUCACCAAAAGGAACGAGUUCCUUGAUGACAUGAUUGAGAGAGGAAUAACAUCAAUUGGGUUCUCAAGUGAGCUUGUCAAAAUAUUCGCCUUCUUGGGUGCAGAAGAUUCUAAGGAAGCUGAUGCUUUCCUUUUCUUCAGAGCAGCUCGCUCUGCAUCCUUUGUUUUCUUCACUUCCAAGGCAGAAGGAAGAAUUGGAGUUAGUGUUGGCAUUGGUGCAGGAGGAGCAGAGGGAGUUGGAGCAAUUUCUUCUAGCACAACUGAUGCAGUUGUCCUGUCUUGUUCAGCUUCGGCAGGAGCAGCUUCAGAUGCUUCAGUUGGCCUGGCUUGUUCUUCAGGCGCAACGCUAGUGGUUGCCCUGCGAAUUUCUUCAGCAGCUGGAACUCCUUCAGCCCUGGUGCUUGCAGUUUCAUCAGCAGCCUAAUUUUCAUCAGCGGUGCUGGCAUUUUCUUUAGUUGGUGUGCAGAUGCAUCAGCUUGAGGAAUUUCAAUGUGCGUUGGAGCAGCAACAUUGAAAGUGAGGCCUUUCGCCAUUUUGAUGAAUCUGACUUUGGCUCCCUGACAUUCUUCCUUGUAGGCGUCAAAUUCAUCACUGAGCUUUUUUAUCUCAGAUUGUAAAGUGAUCAGUUUUUCAGGCAAUAGCGCGAGAACAUUGUCCUUCAGAUAGCGUUGUUUCUUGUACUGGGCUUUCUUCACAGUCCUGGCAUGUUCUUACUUCCAUUUUUCUUCAGCGAUGAAUGCCAUCAACAUGUGACUUUAUCUAGGAGUGAGGUCUAACUCUGGCAACAAAGUGUUUGGGUCUUUGUGCCAGAGUUCAGUGAAAUCCAGGAUCUUCUUCGGAUCCAAUAUAAGAGGCACAGCACUGCCCUUGUCUCUAGCGGCCCUUUUCUGUCUACUUUUGAUGAGUUCAGCCAAUUCUUCAUCAUCAGCUUCAUCAUCAUCAGAUGGUAUAUGGAAGGCAACUUGUUGUGAGGACUUGAUUCUGGUGCCACGUCCUUCAAUGGCCUUGGUCUUCAGCAAAGUUGGACUUUUUGAGAACUGAGGAGGAGCUGAAGAACUUGCAGAAGCUCCUGAGCCAAUUGAGAUGCCUAUUGUCCUUUGGCAUGUGGCGAGAUGCACAUGUGUUGAGGACUUUGCCGGAGGAGCUAAGGAUUUUGCAGCCGGAGGAACUGGAGCAGACUGAGGAAUUUGUCGUGAGGGCAUAGAUGAGCUUGGCCGUGAGGGCAUUGCUGAUCUCGGAGGUUUGUGAGCAGGCUUCUUGGGCAUAGCCUUAUUGCUUGCGGAAGCCUCAGUAGCGGCAGCAGCAGAAUCUUCAUUGAAUUUCUUCACUACUUCUUUGGCCAGUUUGGCCAAUUUGGCUUGCCGCUUGGCCCAUUCAUUAGCAUAAUCCUCACCAUGUUUGAUGCUUGUGGGAUCAGCUAUUUGGCCAGGUGCCAAUGGAGGUCUUGAUCAAGGAGGGUUGAGAGUGAAUUUCUUCAUAUAUUUUGGAGUAACAUAUCUGUACUCCCUCCAUUCCCAUGCCCAUCUUCGUGCAAUUCUCUGUAUACGCACCUUGCGCUCAUUCUUGGUUUCCUUCCCAUGAGUUGCCUCAUCAGGUGUGCACUACCCUGCAUAAAUGUCAGCGGGGAUCUCAAAGGCAGUGUUGACUUCCAGUUUCUUUCCUCCCUUCUGAGGUCUUUUCCCAUCUGCCAUUUUCUUCAGCUGAGGAAUUUGAACUAUUGAGUUCUCUGAAGAAGUAUGCAGCUUUUCUUCGAGGAAUGCUGCAAAUGAGUUAAGUUGAUGAGAACCUAGUGAUUCAUCAGCAGAUAUGUGUAUGUGUGAAUAGAGUAUAGGUGCGAAGAAUUUGGAGAGGUCAUAUGCGUUCUCAGAAGUUUUUGCAAAACAGAACAAGUUUGAGGAAAUUGACCAGAUAUGUCUUGAAGAAUUUCACUAAGCGUUCUUUGACUUAGGUUCCAGAGUUGUAUGGAUUGUGAAAUUCACACAAUUGAGGAAUCUUGAAGAAAAAAACGUCACUUAGAGAAACAAAUCAAUAAUAUAUGAUUGUGCGAGGUGUUCAGAGUGUGGAAGUUGAAGAAUAAACACCUUUUGAAGAUUUUCUGGAAAUCAUCAGUUUCAACAAAGGCAGUAAAAGUAACUUUUAAUUACCCUUGACAAAGAACACGAUGAACUUAGGAUGUAGAUUUAGAAGUUCGUCAGUCCAGAUCUUCCACGCCCUAACUUGACAGCAGGCGCGAGUACGACAGCGAUGAGGUCGAGGCAGUGAAGCUCUUCCUCACCAACGAUGAUCAAGGUAGCGGCAGCGCUAGGUCUAGAGAGCCCGAGCGAGGGGAGUGAGAUCGAGCGGGGUAAAUGCAGUCUGAGGAGGGUGAGGGGUAUUUACAGCCGAGGUGAAAAACCAUUCGCCCGAGGAAAUUGGACGAACAUGCCCCAGACCCUUCUCAUCCUAGCGACAUGUGUCACCCACGUAUAGUAUGGUGGAGAUCGUGUGAGAUCGUGGGUGAAUAGAUAAGUCUUAUCAUGGGAUGUGAAACGGUUUGAGCGGCAAAAUCCAAAAUUUUAGAUAGGAAUAUUUUAAUGUUUCGUUCGCAAAUUCUUCAGCUGACAAAGACACAGUGAAGAUUUUGAACGGGUUUCAAAUAGAACACACAUGAAGAAUUUGUGAACAGACUGGGUUGCGUUUAGCAUAGAGGGGAAAGGGUCCGAUCACAUUCACUUAGUAGAAAAGGCAGCUUGAAGAAUUAGCAAUAAGUGAAUGUUGUAGAGGACAUAAAACUCAAAUAUAUAUAUAUAGUCAAUGAAGAAUAAUGAUGGAAGGACUGAAGACUUUGCAAAGUUGAAGAAUUUGAAAAACUGAGGAAUUUCAAAAAUGACAAACUCAAAUUGAAGAUUUUAAACUUUGGUUGGUGGCAUAACCCACCAUAUAAGAAUGAUGACUUCAGACACCGCGUACAAUUGUCGUAAGGUUCUGAGAAUCAAAUUCUUCAUUAAUUUCUUCACACUUAGAGGGUUAGUCUUCAUUGAUUGAAGAAAAACGUUACUUCGUGUGUUGCACGUCUAAGUCAUCAAAUUUGCAUAAGUGUUAGGAUGUGUGUCCUUUUCAAAGAACAUUCGAAGAUUCCUGGAUAUUUAGCUCACACCGCAACUUGCUAAAUCUCUUCUCAUCCAAGGGCUUUGUGAAGAUAUCAACCAGCUGGUCUUUAGUACUUGCAUGGUCGAUGGAGAUGUCGCCCUUCAACACAUGGUCACGAAGAAAAUGAUGAUGAAUCUGGAUGUGCUUUGUCUUCGAGUGCUGAACUAGGUUGUGAGCAAUCUUGAUGGUACUCUCAUUAUCGCAGUAGAGUGGCACAUUCUUCACAUUGGUGUCAUAGUCCUUGAGGGUUUGCUUCAUCCAUAGCAAUUGAGCACAGCAGGAUCCAGCAGCAAUGUACUCAGCUUCAAAAAUUGAGAGUGACAUGCAGUUCUGCUUCUUCGAGGACCAACAUACCAAGGAUCGUCCGAGGAAAUGACAUGUGCCUGACAUUGAGUUGCGGUCCACACGAUCACCAGCAUAGUCAGAGUCUGAAUAUCCAAUGAGAUCAAAGGAAGAGCCCUUGGCAUACCAUAAUCCAAGUGUUGGUGUGUGAGCUAGAUAUCGAAGAAUAUGCUUCACAGCCUUAUGGUGUGAUUCCUUCGGUGUAGCUUGAAAUCGGGCACAUAUGCAAACACUAAGCAUAAUAUCCGGGCUAGAUGCACAUAGGUACAAUAAGGAGCCAAUCAUGGAGCGGUAUACCUUUUAAUCAAAAUCUUUACCAUUUUCAUCGGUGCAUAGAUGGCCAUUUGUGGGCAUAGGGAUUUUGACGCCUUCGCAAUCUUGCAUGUCGAAUUUCCUCAAUACAUCCUUGAGGUAUUUCUCCUGAGAUAUGAAUAUGCCAUUGUAUUGUUGACAAAUUUGAAGACCUAAAAAGAAUUUCAAUUCUCCCAUUAUAGACAUUUGGUAUUCUUCAUAGACAUUUGAUAUUCUUCACUCAUCAUAUAGGCAAAUUUGUCACUGUAAUGUUGGUUAGUACAGCCAAAGAUAAUAUCAUCAACAUAUAUUUGGCACACAAAUAAUUCAUCAUCAUAUGCUUUGGUGAAAAGAGUUGGAUCAAGUGAACCAGGUUUGAAGCCUUUCUUCAUGUGGAAUUCCUUAAGUGUGUCAUACCACGCCCUAGGUGCUUGCUUGAGGCCAUAGAGGGCCUUGUUGAGUCUGUAGACGUGAUCUAGAAAUUUUGGAUCCUCAAAACCUGGUGGUUGAGCAACAUAUACUUCUUCCUCAAGCUUACCAUUGAGGAAUGCACUUUUCACAUCCAUUUGAUGUAAGACGAUAUUAUGAUGGUUAGUGUAAGCAGCAAUAUGCAAAUAGCCUCAAGUCUAGCAACAGGUGCAAAAGUUUCAUCGAAAUCAAUUCCUUCAACUUGUGUGUAGCCUUGAGCUACAAGACGAGCCAUAUUCCUCACCACAAGGCAAUUUUCAUCUUGUUUGUUGCGGUAGAUCCAUUUGGUACCGAUGAUGUUGUGCUUGCGUGGGUCUCAUCGCUUGACAAGCUCCCACACAUUUUGAGCUAGAAUUGAUGCAAUUCAUCUUACAUGGCUUGAAUCCACUCAGAUUCCAUGAAUGCUUCAUCAAAUUUAGUGGGCUCUGUGAUAGAGAAAAACGCAAAAUGCCCACAAAAGUUAGAUAAAUGUGAAGCUUUUGAGCGAGUGAGAGGACCUGGUGCAUUGAUGUCAUCGAUGAUCUUCUCGAUCUGCACUUUGUUUGCAAUGCGAGGAUGUGCAGGUUGACGACUUUGCUUAGGCCCAACAAUUUCUUCAGGACCAUUUUCUUCAGCAGCACCAGUGUGAUUUUCUUCAUGAUCCAGAAUGACUUCUUUAGCAGAUUCUUCGGUAGGGAUGAUAUCCUUAGUAGCUUUGAACUUGAUGGAUUCCUCAGGUGACAUUUCAUCUAGCACAGGAGGUAGGUGCUCUCUUUGCGAGCCAUUAGUUUCAUCGAACCGCACAUCUACAGUUUCAACAAUCUUGUGAUGAUUGAGGUUGAAGACUCUGUAGGUGUGCGAGUCCUUUCUGUAACCAAGCAUAAAACCCUUAUGUGCUUUCGGUGCAAAUUUUAGAGUGAUGGUGAGGAUCUCUAAUCCAGCAUUUAGCACCAAAGACUUUGAAAUAACUUACAUUGGGUUUCUUGUCAGUGAGGAGUUCAUAUGAGGUCUUUCUCAAGAAUUUGUGAAGAUAUACCCUGUUGAUGAUGUGGCACGCAGUAUCAAUGGCUUUAGGCCAGAAGCGCUGAGGUGUCUUGUAUUCAUCAAGCAUGGUGCGAGCCAUCUCAACAAGAGUCCUAUUCUUGCGCUCCACGAUGCCAUUCUACUGAGGAGUAUAGGGAGCAGACAACUCGUGAGUAAUACCAAGUAUAUCAAGAUAUUCAUCGGGACCAGUGUUCUUGAACUCAAUUCCAUUAUCACUCCUGAUAUGCUUGAUCUUCACACCGAAGUUAGUAUAAGCCCUUGAGGAAAAUUGUCUAAAGACUUCCUGAUCUUCAUUUUUGUAAGUGACAAUAUGCACCCAUGUGUAACGAGAAUAGUCUUCAACUAUGACAGAGCCAUAUAAUGAUGCAGAACUAGAGAACGUGGCAUAAUGAGUAGGGCCAAAGAGUUCCAUAUGAAGUAAUUCAAAGGGACAAGAUGUGGUCAUGAUAGUCUUCGAGGGAUGCUUGGCUCUGGUGAUCUUUCCAGACUCACAAGCCCCACAAAGAUGAUCUUUGAGGAAUUUGACACCCUCAAUGCCAAUGACAUGCUUCUUCUUCACGAGUGUAUGCAAGUUCCUCAUCCCAGCAUGACCAAUUCGUCAAUGCCAUAGCCAGCAUUUUCAAGCUUUUGCAAGUAUACAUGUGGCAGGUUGUGGUCCUGUAGAUAAAUCAACAGUGUACAAGUCUCCUUUCCUAAAGCCUUCGAAGACUUUGGAGUUGUCAGAUUCCAUCAGCACAAUGCAACGAUAUUUGCCAAAGACGACAACCAUAUCAAGAUCACAAAGCAUUGAGACAGACAUGAGGUUGAAUCCUAAGGACUCGAUAAGCAUGACUUUGUCCAUGUGUCUAUCCUUUGAGAUCGCAACCUUACCUAGACCCAAUACCUUGCUUUUGCCUUUGUCAGCGUAGGUGAUAUGCUUCAGAUGAGAUGGUGACAAAUCAGUGUCCAUCAACAAGUUCUUGUCACUAGUCAUGUGGUUUGUGCAUCCACUUUCGACGACCCACUCAGUAGCUUUAGGUUGUUCAUCCUACAGAUGAAUUAGUGCAACUUACGAACCCAUAUACUUCAUCAUGAAGAAAAUGAUAUCAAUUUCAUCAACAACAAUAGUAAUACGAGGGCGUGAGAAAUGAGGGAUUCAUUUCUUCAUGAUUAGCUUGCGUCCAUUCAAGCACAUUCAGGUCUCCAGCAAAUUCUUCAGACGAUUAAGUUCGUCUGGAGACCUGACCCUGCAUAAGAGAUUAGUUAUUUUUCUUCACCACCCACAUCUGUAGGGGUGGCAAAGAAUUCAUCAUUCUGCGAUCUCCAUAAGAAAAGGAUGGCAUUGAAGCCAGUGCACUUCGUUUCACAGAAGAGUGGUUAGGAUAAGCAUAUGCAUAAGCAGAGAAAUUCUUUGAGGACUUAUGAACAUAAUGGUUUGAAGAAUAAUGCACAUAUUCAUAGCCCUUAGCCUUUCCCUGCGAAACUGAAGUGUUAGCAUGAUGAUGUUCAUAUGAGGAUUUUGAUCCAUGUGAAGAAUUUGGUUCAUAUGAAGAAUUUGAUCUAGGGUUCCUUUUCUUCAUGGGUGGAGUCAUGAUGACAUUCACCUGGAGAUUUUCAAGGUACCUUUUAGGAACCCAGAUUUUCUUCAUAGGGGAACCGUUCUUGCAGUUAGUUCCAACAUAUCGAGCAAAUGCUUCACCAUUCUGAUUCUUAAAUAGUUUAUAGUUGGAGUCAAAUGACUCAUCAGAGGAAUAUGAAGAAUCACAAGUAAAGCCAGAUAGAGUGCAUGGAUCUACAGGAGGUCCUUUCGCAGCAAUCCAUGAGGUUUUGGGGUACUGCUCAGGUUUCUAGUAGGUUCCAUCAGCGUUGAGUUUCCUCUCAAAGGCAAUACCCUCUUUUCUAGGGUUCCUGUUCAAGAUCUGUUUUUAAGCACAUCACAUAGAGUCUGAUGCCCUUUGAAGCUUUUGUAAAUGCCUGUCACAUACAAUUCCUUCAGCCCUGCAUUAUCAUCAUUGAUACUUGUGGUAUCCUCAGAUGAGGAAUUUGUGACCACGGAGACAAUUGAAGAAUUUGCAGCAAUAGAAGCAUUUGAACAUUCAGGUGAUGAAUUAGCAGAUUCACGCUCAAUGCAUUUUAGACAUGGUGGAAUAAAUUCUUCCUGAGCGGAACUGAUCUGUUGAGCAAGCAAUGAAUUGUUUUCCUUUUGAAGAUCUUCAUAACUCACUUUUAACUUCUCAAGAUCUUCCUUUCUCUGAAGAAAUUCAUAAGAAAGCUUCUCAUGAUCAGCUAAGAGUGUGUUAUGAUGAUUUUGAAGGUUGUCAAACUUAGACUGAAGUUUUUGAAGACUAUCAGUCAAAGCCUUAGUCUGAUUCAAUUCCUCACCCAACAUAUCAUCGCUUUCAUCAAGCAUGAUUUGAACUCUUUCAAGAGCUCUUUGUUGUUUAGUGGCAAGGAAGCAAGUUUGACAUACCUGGGUCAAAUUCAUCACCCGAUUCAUCAUCAAUGGAUUCAGAUAGGUAGCAUUCAGUUACCUUGGCACCCUUUGCCAUAAGGCUUGGUGUAGUGGAUGAUGAUUCAGGUGCGAAAGUCAUCUCCUUAAGUGAUUCCUUGAAAUCCUCAAACUAAGGAUCAUGACAAGUUCGAUGGCCUUCAUAGACCUCAGAUAGUCGGUCCCAGAUAAGCUUCACAUGGUUGAGAUGCAUGAUGUUCCUGGACUGAUUUUGAGACAGACAAGAGCAGAUGACAUCCUUCGCCGUGAGGUUGAGUAGAGUGUACUUGCGAAUAUCAUCAGCCUCCGCCAUCUUGCAUAGAUCGGUAAGACCAAUCUCAGUGACAGUCCACGGUUUGCUGUUCAUCGCCAUAAGUCGCUUCUUCAUCAUGGCCUUCCACUUGGGAUACUCAUGACCAUCAAAGAUGGGGCAAGACACUUUCCUCAUACCUGCAGUUGACAUAACUAAAACUCCAGGUGGUUAAACCAAAAUCACACAGAACAAGGGAGUACCUUGCUCUAAUACCAAUUGAAAGUGCGUUAAGUCGACUAGAGGGGGGUGAAUAGGCGAUUUUUACAAAUUCGUCACUGAGGAAUUUCAGCGUGAGGAAAUUCCUAAGUCACGAACAACUAGCAGCGAAAUAAGUACUCAGGUAUAAGCAUAACAGAGUGAAAGCAUAGUCAUCAUGAUGAAAUGAAAGACAAACACAGACUAUAGAAAGCGUAAACACGGGAUAAGCAGGCUGAAGACAAUGUGACUGAAGAAAUAGGAUUGAGGAAAUAGAGAAAGUCUUUAGUCAAAGUCUUCAAACAGUAAUGAUCAGGUUUAUCAACACAUGAGUGAGGAAAUGAAAGGGUUGAGGAAAUAGAACCAGUAGGCUUGGUGAAGACAAUGAUUUGGUAGACCAGUUCCAACUGCUGUGACAGUUGUACGUUUGGUUGGACCGGCUGAGUAUUUAAACUUGAGGGCACACAGUCCCGGACACACAGUCCUCACCGUAUUCUCCUUUAGCUAAGAUCACACAGAUCUCGGCCCAACACUCGUGGUAAGUCUUCACAAGUGACUUCCAAACCUUCAUAGACUUGGUCACUCGGCGAUCCACAAUUCCUCUUGGAUGCUCAGACCAUGACGCCUAACCGUCUGGAGGAUACACAGUCCUCGAAGGUAACAAGCGCCGGUUCCACGCAGGAACAAUCUCUUCAGUGAUGCUCAAUCACUUUGGGUUUGUUGGUUUGGGUUUGGGAUUUGGGUUUUCCUCACAUGAUGAUUUUCGCUCAAAGUCCUCGGAGGAUGGGGUGCUCUCAAAUGACAAGUGUCAGUUUCUCUCGGAGCAGCCAACUAGCUAGUGGUUGUAGGGGGCGGCUAUUUAUAGCCUAGGGAGCAGCCCGACAUGAUAAGACAUAAAUGCCCUCCAAGGAUAUGACCGUUAGGUGGUACGAUAUUUUGGAAAGCUGGCGCAUAGCACAGCAAUGGUCGGAUUUUGAGGUUCGAAUUCCUCAGGGCUAUCAUGUUCCUCACUGUGUAGGCAAUCCGCACUGGCGAAUUCCUAACUCCUCAGUCAGAACAAAUUCCUCAGAGACCAGAAGAUCUUCGUCUCUGUCACUGAAGAAGUUGACUGAACUGAUAUGAGAUUUCCAAUGGCUUCACUCAAAAGGAUUGGGUAUGUGUAGGAUUUUGAGAUGAGCAUCACUUGGAAAUCAGCUUCCUUAGUAUUAUCUUUUUUUUGUGGGUGAUUCCUUAGUAUUACCUCGACCCCCUUUAAUAGUACGGUGUUUCCUAUGACUCAAGAAAGAGAAAAUGAAACUAAGAAAACAAAAGUCUUCACGCUUCAUAAUCCUCGCAUGAAUAUCCAAGUCUUCAAGGUCGCACCAAUUUCAUCACUCUCAAAGUCUUCAGGAGAACCAAAGUCUAUAGCUGAAGACAUUCAUUUUUAGGGGUCAACUUUCACUGUAAAUAUCAAACUCCUCAUCGACUUAUAGAGCCUGUGUACACUUACAAACAUAUUAGUCCCUUAACCUAUAAGUCUUCAAUACACCAAAGUCACUAAGGGGCACUAGAUGCACUUACAGUCGGCGAGCUUGCUUCUAAGGUCCAUCGAGCGGGAGGUAGAGACUUGGGCAAAGGCGUGCUCCAGGGUCGUCCAGGUGUCCAUGGAGGUGGCGGCGAAGAGACAGAGACCGGCGACCCCGUCGCCGAGGGGGCCCUGGAUGGCAGAGAGGAUCGACUGGUCCUGCUACAGACACAUACGGUCCUCGCAUGAAUAUCCAAGUCUUCAAGGUCGCACCAAUUUCAUCACUCUCAAAGUCUUCAGGAGAACCAAAGUCUUUAGCUGAAGACAUUCAUUUUUAGGGGUUGACUUUCACUGUAAAUAUCAAACUCCUCAUCGACUUAUAGAGCAUGUGUACACUUACAAACAUAUUAGUCCCUUAACCUAUAAGUCUUCAAUACACCAAAAUCACUAAGGGGCACUAGAUGCACUUACAGUCGGCGAGCUUGCUUCUAAGGGCCAUCGAGCGUGAGGUAGAGACUUGGGCAAAGGCGUGCUCCAGGGUCGUCCAGGCGUCCAUGGAGGUGGCGGCAAAGAGACAGAGACCGGCGACCCCGUCGCCGAGGCAGCCCUGGAUGGUAGAGAGGAUCGAUUGGUCCUGCUGCAUGCACAUACGGUGUUUCGGGUUAAUGGUCGGGCCGUGUACGGUGGGGAUGACCUGCGGAGGACACGGUAGCAAACCGUCCACAAACCCUAGGAGAGACCGGCUGCGGAGCAACGGUAGGACCUUGGCGCACCAGAACAGGUAGUUGUCUGGCGUGAGUCUGAUGGCGAUCAAGUUGGCAAAGUGGAACGGCCCGACGGGCGUGACGACGCCAGCAGCAGGGGCGCCGGUCCACAGCCGCGACCGAUGUCGCGGGUGGUGGCGCAGGAACGAUUGGGAUCACGGUCGUGGGUGCUGCCGUGAGCGAGACCGCGGGUGGCUCCAUGGGCAGCGCCUCCCCCGAGGUUGCCGGGAUGACGGCGAGUGUCGAGGAGGAUCUAGAGGGGGCAAUCGCGGGCGGCGGCGGUGCGACUGGUGUUGAGGCCGUCACAGGCGGUGACGGCGGGAUCGACGCUAAAAACAUGGAGCCAACGGCGGUGGUGCCGAAGAACUUAGGCACCGACGGGGCCAGAGGGCGAGGUGGGAGGUUGAGGAGGGCGGCAAGUGACGCGGGGAUUGACCCAUAGCUAACGGCGCUCAAAGCGAAAGCGGUCAUGGUGCCGGUGGCAGCAGCCCUAGGGUUUAGGGUUUUGGUGGUGCGGCGGUGGUGGGUGGAGUAGAGGACCUAGGUUAGACUCGAUACCAUGUAAAACAUAGGUUUUGGGCAUGUUUGGUUGCCCGCAUCGAGCCCACCCACGUCCGCGCUGGAAGGGAGAGGCCUGUUUGGUUGGCUGGUUUUCCUGUUGGGCCUGCAUCCCACGCUUCUCAAAGCAGCCCAGAGCCUGGCUCGCUGGAAAUCCUCGGAUCGGCAGUUUCUUGCGAGCCAGGCUGAGUGCGGCACGAGGUCGCACGGGCGGGAGCGAGGCGAGGGCUAGGGGGGAUGGCGGGAGAUAGAAAUCUGCCAAAUUAGCCUCACCCGCCUUUCACUCGCUCACCCAUAGCCACUGCCCCCCUUUCUUCGCUACUGCCUCACCACCGACGGCAGCUGUGAUUUCAGAUCUGUGCUAUAGGCGGCGGUGGCGGAAGAGGCAGCAGCGUUUGCGGUGGAUCUGGUGCUCCCCUUCCUGUUGACCACCGCCUGGUCGACCUAGUCUGUGCCAUGGCUCCCCCUACGCCAUCCUCAUCUCCCAUGCCGGUAAGCAGCACCCCCUCCCCCUUUGUUAGCUCAGUGGUUAGGCCGUUAAGCUAGGUGUAGGAUCGAUUUCUCACUGAACGAACUAUCAAUACCGACUAGGUUAUGGACGCACGGAUGAGGCUGAUAAUCCAGGCAACAACACUGAUUAGUGUGAUUCAGGCAUGGGUCAUGUUCAUGCACCAGAGAGCUGUUCGUCAUGCUGGGAGUCCUUUGAUCCGCUAUGGUCCAUUGUUUCCCCGAGAACAGGAGAGGAUCCAAAAUCUGAACUACAUCUACAACUGCAAUCACGUCGAGGCUCUGUGGAUGCUUAGAAUGAAAAGAGCACCAUUUGCCAGGCUUGUCGAGACCUUCAAGAGCAGGGGCCUGUUACAAGAUAGCAUCAACACCAGUGUCGAAGAGCAGGUGGCCAUGUUCCUCCAUGUUUUUGGCCAUAACCAGAGGUUCAAGGUCAUUCACAACACGUUCAGGAUAUCAAUGGAGACCAUCUCUAGGUACUUGAAGCAUGUGCUUUUUGCUGUUGGGGAGCUUAGAGGAGAGAUGAUCAAGAGACCAUCUGGCCAGUCUCCGCCUAAGAUUCGCGGAAGCCCAAGAUGGUAUCCAUCCUUCAAGGUGAGCAUUGACAAUAUACACUUUUCAUGGCUUGAUAUGCUUGUAUUGUUCAAGUUCAGCACUAACACAGGCUAGUGAUGCCAUUUUCAGGAUUGCAUUGGGGCAAUAGAUGGUACUCAUGUCACUGCCAGAGUUCCUAGGUUACAGUCUGCAGCAUAUAGGGGGAGGAAGUGUUGGAAAUAUGCCCUAGAGGCAAUAAUAAAAGGAUUAUUAUUAUAUUUCCUUGUUCGUGAUAAUUGUCUUUUAUUCAUGCUAUAAUUGUAUUAUCCGGAAAUUGUAAUACACGUGUGAAUACACAGACCACAAUAUGUCCCUAGUGAGCCUCUAGUUGACUAGCUCGUUGAUCAACAGAUAGUCAUGGUUUCCUGACUAUGGACAUUGGAUGUCAUUGAUGACGGGAUCACAUCAUUAGGAGAAUGAUGUGAUGGACAAGACCCAAUCCUAAGCAUAGCACAAGAUCGUGUAGUUUGUUUUGCUAGAGCUUUUCCAAUGUCAAGUAUCUUUUCCUUAGACCAUGAGAUCGUGUAACUCCCGGAUAUUGUAGAAGUGCUUUGGGUGUACCAAACGUCACAACGUAACUGGGUGACUAUAAAGGUGCACUACAGGUAUCUCCGAAAGUGUCUGUUGGGUUGACACGGAUCAAGACUGGGAUUUGUCACUCCGUAUGACGGAGAGGUAUCUCUGGGCCCACUCGGUAAUGCAUCAUCAUAAUGAGCUCAAAGUGACCAAGUGUCUGGUCACGGGAUCAUGCAUUACGGUACAAGUAAACUGACUUGCAGGUAACGAGAUUGAACGAGGUAUUGGGAUACCGAAGAUCGAAUCUCGGGCAAGUAACAUACCGAUUGACAAAGGGAAUUGUAUACAGGGUUGCUUAAAUCCUCGACAUUGUGGUUCAACCGAUGAGAUCAUCGAGGAGUAUGUGGGAGCCAACAUGGGUAUCCAGAUCCCGCUGUUGGUUAUUGACCGGAGAGCCUUCUCGGUCUUGUCUACAUGUCUCCCGAACCCGUAGGGUCUACACACUUAAGGUUCGGUGACGCUAGGGUUGUAUGAAUAUGAGUAUGCAGCAAACCGAAAGUUUUUCGGAGUCCCGGAUGAGAUCCCGGACAUCACGAGGAGUUCCGGAAUGGUCCGGAGGUAAAGAAUUAUAUAUGGGAAGUUAAGUUUCGGCCAUCGGGAAAGUUUUGGGGGUCACCGGUAUUGUACCGGGACCACCGGAAGGGUCCCGGGGGUCCACCGGGUGGGGCCACCCAUCCCGGAGGGCCCCAUGGGCUGAAGUGGGAGGGGAACCAGACCCUGGUGGGCUGGUGCGCCCCCCCCCCUGGGCCCCCCUCUGCACCUAGGGUUGGGAACCCUAGGGGAGGGGGCGCAUCCACUUGCCUUGGGGGGCACUCCACCCCUCUGGCCGCCGCCCCCCUAGGAGAUCCCAUGUCGGCCGGCGCCUGUAGGGUAACGUAGUAAUUUCAAAAAAAAUCCUACGCACACGCAAGAUCAUGGUGAUGCAUAGCAACGAGAGGGGAGAGUGUUGUCCAUGUACCCUCGUAGACCGUAAGCGGAAGCGUUAUGACAACGUGGUUGAUGUAGUCGUACGUCUUCACGAUCCGACCGAUCCAAGCACCAAACGUACGGCACCUCCGAGUUCAGCACACGUUCAGCUCGAUGACGAUCCCCGGACUCCGAUCCAGCAGGGUGUCGGGGAUGAGUUCCGUCAGCACGACGGCGUGGUGACGAUGAUGAUGUUCUACCGACGCAGGCCUUCACCUAAGCAACGCAACGAUAUGACCGAGGUGGAAUAUGGUGGAGGGGGGCACCGCACACGGCUAAGGAACGAUCACGAAGAUCAACUUGUGUUGUUGUGCCUAGAGGUGCCCCCCUACCCCCGUAUAUAAAGGAGCAAGGGGAGGAGGGCCGGCCAAGGAGGAGGAGGCGCGCCCAAGGGGGGAGUCCUACUCCCGGUGGGAGUAGGACUCCUCCUUUCCUAGUAGGAGUAGGAGAGAAGGGAAGGAAGGAGGGGGUGCGGCCCCUCCCCCUAGUCCAAUUCGGACUAGGCUUUGGGGGGGCGCGGCCUGCCCCAGGCAGCCCCUCUCUCUUUCCCGUAUGGCCCAAUAAGGCCCAAUACUUCUCCCCGGCGAAUUCCCGUAACUCUCCGGUACUCCGAUAAAUACCCGAAUCACUAGGAACCUUUCCGAAGUCCGAAUAUAGUUGUCCAAUAUAUCGAUCUUUAUGUCUCAACCAUUUCGAGACUCCUCGUCAUGUCCCCGAUCUCAUCCAGGACUCUGAACUCCUUCGGUACAUCAAAACUCAUAAACUCAUAAUAUAACUGUCAUCGAAACCUUAAGCGUGCGGACCUAUGGGUUCGAGAACAAUGUAGACAUGACCGAAACACGUUUCCAGUCAAUAACCAAUAGCGGAACCUGGAUGCUCAUAUUGGCUCCCACAUAUUCUACGAAGAUCUUUAUCGGUCAGACCGCAUAACAACAUACGUUGUUCCCUUUGUCAUCGAUAUGUUACUUGCCCGAGAUUCGAUCGUCGGUAUCUCAAUACCUAGUUCAAUCUCGUUACCGGCAAGUCCCUUUACUCGUUCCGUAAUGCAUCAUCCCGCAACUAACUAAUUAGUUGCAAUGCUUGCAAGGCUUUAUAUUGAUGUGCAUUACCGAGUGGGCCCAGAGAUACCUCUCCGACAAUCGGAGUGAUAAAUCCUAAUCUCGAAAUACGCCAACCCAACAUGUACCUUCGGAGACACAUGUUGUAACGCCCCAGAUGCAACUUUCCAUAUUCGUAACUCCAACUCUUGCCUUUUCCGGAGAUGUUGUAUGAUAUUUCCUCCGUGGUUGGGUUUUGUCUGUUGUUUUGCAUUUUGUUCUUGUUAUGCAUUUCAUCUCGUAACAUCAUGCGCAUUGCAUCGGCAUCGUUUUCAUAAAACUUGCAUCCGUUCGGGAUUCCCCGGUCCUCUCCGUUGUCCGUUCGGAGUCCAGACACACUUGCACGCGCCCGCGGCACCUCCGAAAUAUUAUUUUAUAAGUGGCACAAAGAUGUUCUCGGAAUCGGUUGCAACUUGUCGGGCGUUCUUAUUAUAGUGUAGACAGAGCGCCUGUCAAGUUUCGUCGCAUUCGGAGUCCGUUUGACUGCCCAACCGUUAAACAUAGCGGUACUGUUGCCGGUAUCUUCGUCGGAAGUUUCGCUUUUCGAAACAGUCGCCGGCCUCACUUCUCUUCUCCCCUCCCAGUCCGAGGCCUCUCUCCACAGCCCACCUAUGCCCAGCCUAGUCCCCCCUCUGCCCGGAGCCGCACGAUUGCGAUCGUACGGCUCGAAAACCCCUCCUAACCCCCAAACCCUAGCUGCUUUUGCUAUAAAUAGACCCCUAGUCCAUUUUUGGACAUCCCUAGCCUAAUGCUAGACCUCCACCUACCUCUAUCCUCCCCCUCGGGAUCCCCGCAGCCGCCAGCCGCCGCUCCCCUCCAUUUUCGCACCCCUCCCAGCCUCCUCUCGCCACUUGGCGCCACCGCACGGGCCAGCGUCGCCGUCCCCGCUGCCUGGAGCCACUCAAGCCCCGCCAUGUCGCCUCCCCUGUAUCCCCACUUCCCCGCGGCCCUGCCAGGCCCAUUUGGGCCCCGCCGAAGCCUGCCCGAGCCCGUUCGCCACUCGAGCGCCCCGCGAGCCCCUGGCUCCCUCCUCCCGCUCGAUCCCGAGCCGGAUCGAGACCGCCGCCUCACGCCUCCCGCCGGUGACCCGGCAGCCCCGCCGAAGCCAGCAGGUCAGCGCCGUCCCGCCCCGCUCUCCUCCUUCCCUCUCCUUCCUGUCCUUAUUCCUCCUCGCCCUCUCAUCUUCUCUCUCUCCCUCACAGGGCACCACCGCCGCCCGGGAUGCCAAGCGGAGUCGCCGGAGCGAGCCUCGCCGCCGUGUAGUUCGUCGCCCCGGCCUCCUCUUCACCUGAUCCGGUCGAGGACCACUGGAUCCGGCCACCUGCGGCCCCGUCCCGGCAUCCCCACGCCUGCCCUCGUAGGAGAUGGCCCCUCUCCGCCGCCGCGCCCUGCAUCGCGUCGAUCCGGUCCCCCCUCCUCGCUGUUGACCGCGUGGGCCACGGCCUCGUCCGGCCCUGCCCGACUCCAAGCUGACCGGGCCUUGGCCCAGGGUGAGCAGCCCCGCCCCCUCUCCUGUGCACUUGUGGGCUGACUAGAUUCGGCCCGUUGCUCUUUGUUUUCCUGUCGAGCGAUUUUAACAUUAUCCGGUGAAUUACAGUUUUGCAGAAAACCCCCUGUUGUUCAUGCAUAUAAUAACUCCUCAACCGUGCAUCAUAUUAAAAUGAUUUAUAUAUGUAAAAUGCUCAGAAAAUUGUGUAGAUUAAUAAUAUGCCACUUUCAUCUAUGUUAAAAAUGUUUAAACUUGCUGUUUAUUUAAUUUUGCAUAAUGCCAUGCUAAAAUGAUUUAUUUCAUAACUAAUUAACCGUAGCUCCGAUUUUAAUAAACUUUAUAUGUAAAUGGGGUGGAAAAAUGCCUAGAUUAACUUGGUGCACUCAUCUUGCAUGUUUAACAACAUUAAAAUAUGGUUUAGGGCAGAACAGUACCGAAUCUAAAAUAUGCACAUGGGGAAUUUCCGGAAUUGAUGUUUUGUUGUUCCGGCCUCAUUUAAACUUGUCUAGAUAGGUAGUUUUUCAUAUGCUUCACCCCUUGCCAUGUUUAAUAACAUUUAAUAUUGUUGGGUACCUAAACGAGAGCGAACUAAAUAACUCGAAUGUGGUGUUUCGUCAAUAUGCAACUCGUUGCAUAUUGAUCUCCACUUAACUUGUAGUAUUGUUUGUUACACUUGCCAUGCCAUGCCUCAUUAAACCGGACAUGCAUCAUACUUGUUUGUGAAUCAUGCCAUGUUUAUGCUUGUGCAUUUACCAUGUUGUUACCUUCUUUCCGGUGUUGCUUCUUAGUUCCGGUAAUGUUGCGAUUGUGAGGAUUCGUUCGUCUACUCCCGUUCGUCUUCUUCAUGGACUCGUUCUUCUUCCUUGCGGGAUUUCAGGCAAGAUGACCGCUACCCUGGAUCUCACUACUAUCAUUGCUAUGCUAGUUGCUUCGUUCUAUCGCUAUGCUGCGUUACCUAUCUUUUGCUCAUCAAGCCUCCCAAAUUGCCAUGAACCUCUAACCUUUGACACCAUUCCUAGCAAACCUUUGCUUGGCUAUGUUACCGCUUUGCUCAGCCCCUCUUAUAGCAUUGCUAGUUGCAGGUGAAGUUGAAGAUUGCUCCAUGGUGGACAGGAUUUUGGUUGGGAUAUCACAAUAUCUCUUAUAUUAUUAAUGCAUCUAUAUACUUGGUAAAGGGUGGAAGGCUCGACCUUAUGCCUGGUGUUUUGUUCCACUCUUGCUGCCCUAGUUUCCGUCAUACCGGUGUUAUGUUCUCGGAUUUUGCGUUCCUUACACGGUCGGGUGAUUUAUGGGACCCCCUUGACAGUUCGCUUUGAAUAAAACUCCUCCAGCAAGGCCCAACAUUGCUUUUACCAUUUGCCUCACCACCACCUAUAUUUCCCUUGGGAGUAAUUAACCCAAGGGUCAUCUUUAUUUUAGCCCCCCCCCCCUCGGGCCAGUGCUUGUCUAAGUGUUGGUCCGAAUCGGGCAGACUACGGGGCCACCUGGGGCAACUCGAGGGCUGGUUUUACCCGUAGGCUAACCUAUCCGGUGUUGCCCUGAGAACGAGAUAUGUGCAGCUCCUAUCGAGAUUGUCGGCGCAUCGGGCGGCUUUGCUGGUCUUGUUUUACCAUUGUCGAAAUGUCUUGUAAACCGAGAUUCCUAGUCUGGUCGGGUCUUCCUGGGAGAAGGUCUAUUCCUUCGUUGAUCGCGAGAGCUUGUCAUGGGCUAAGUUGGGACACCCCUGCAGGGUAUAAUCUUUCGAAAGACGUGCCUGCGGUUAUAGGCAGAUGGGAAUUUGUUAAUGUCCGAUUGUAGAUAACUUGACACCAGAUCCGAAUUAAAACGCAUCAACCACAUGUGUAGUCGUAAUGGUCUCUUCUCGGCGGAGUCCGGGAAGUGAACACGGUUUCUGGGUUAUGUUUGACGUAAGUAGGAGUUCAGGAUCACUUCUUGAUCAUUGCUAGCUUCACGACCGUUCCGCUUGCUCUCUUCUCGCUCUUAUUUGCGUAUGUUAGCCACCAUAUAUGCUUAGUCGCUGCUGCAACCUCACCACUUUACCCCUUCCUUUCCCUUUAAGCUUUGCUAGUCUUGAUACCCAUGGUAAUGGGAUUGCUGAGUCCUCGUGGCUCACAGAUUACUACAACAACAGUUGCAGGUACAGGUUAUGCGAUGAUCAUGACGCGAGAGCGAUGUUUGCUCGUUUGGAGUUCUUCUUCUGCUUCUUCGAUCAGGGGAUAGGUUCCAGGUCGGCAGCCUGGGCUAGCAGGGUGAAUGUCGUUUGAGUUUCUGUUUGUGUUUCAUCCGUAGUCGGAUGAUGCCCUUAUGUAUUAUGAUGUUGUAUUCAUGUGGCAUUGUAUGCCUUUUGUAUGUAUCCCUAUCUAUUAUGUAAUGUUGAUGUAAUGAUAUCCACCUUGCAAAAGCGUUUCAAUAUGCGGUUCUAUCCUUGUGGGACCUUCGAGUCUCUUUAGGAUAGUAUCGCAUAUUGGGCGUGACAAGUUGGUAUCAGAGCCUCGACCGACCAUAGGAGCCCCCUUGAUUGUUGGCCGUUGUUGAGUCUAGAAGAAAACUAUUUUUGAGUCUUAGGAUUAUAUAUAUCAGAGAGUAGGAUUCUUUUUACUCCUCAGCCCCUUCGUCGCUCUGGUGAGGACUCCUGACGUAGAUGUUUUGUCUUUCCUCUCCUCAAAUUUCACUAAAUUUUUUUUAGGAUCACGCGGGUAUCUUGGAAUCGUUCCGAUGGUUUUGUGACGAGAACAUUGUUCUUGGUGCCUCCUGUCUAUUAUGUGGCUUUGACCCGGGGAGUUGAGCUCCGAGGUGUUGUCGUCACAACUUUAUCGUUGCAGUUCUGGAAUACCUGAGUUUUGCCGACAUCGAAAAUCUCUUUUAUGCAGUUGUUGGUGAGAUAACCUCGACGCCACCCAGUACUGGGGAGUUCGGGAGUAUUGCCAUAGCUCGUAUAAUGGAUGAUUUUCGAAGGUUGAGGUACACGAUUUCUGGAGUUUUCUUGGUUAUGUGUUGAUGGAUGGAUAUAGCUUGGAUGUAGGUAUUGUUAGUUUGGGUGAGAUAUAUUGCUUCCCCUGUAUCCCCAACACCAGAUUGCAUAACCAGAAAGUUUUGGGAGUUUUAUAGGUGGGAAUUCAAGUAGCUCGUAGGAUAUCUUUCCAACAGACACAUGAUACGAUAUGGGAUCUAUCAUGUGUUUGUUUCCUGCUUAUUCUACAAGCCAAAUCCUUUGUUUUGUUUUGAGUUGUGGUAUUCAAGUUGCUUCGAUGUCAAAUGUUGAAUCCACACCUUUCCCUAAAUGGUGUUCUCAUACUUCUAUGAGAGUGCUAAUCCUUCUUGAUCAUCGAGGUUGUCAUGCUAAUUCUUUACAACCGUGUGCUUCUCUUCAAGUGGAUACGAUCAUUUUCAACAUCCGCAAGAUCAACUCUAAGUUUUCUCACCGGUGUCCAUUCCAUAUGCCCCAAGUUGCCUUUGUUUUCCCGCCCUCCCACCCAUUUUCUGCAAGGACUCAGAUUUCUUAACCAAGUAUCAUUUUAUUCAUGUGAAGUCUAUUCACUCUUUUCUAUCAAUGUUCUUAUCCGGUGAUUUCCCAUGAAGAUGCUCAACAGUUUCAAGUUCAUCAUCCUCCGUUCUCUUUUCUUCUCCGGUGGAUCCAAUUCCAAGCUUUCAGUGUUGAUCAUAUUCCUUUCCUUGUGUCAAAUGCUUUCUCAUGCCGUUGCACCUCUCAAUCACUCACCUCUGGCUAUUCAUUUGUUCUGGAGUGCUGAAGAUAUCUCAGAAGACUCGUGUUUCCAUUCUCAAUCCGUUCAAGCUAUUUGGAGAUUAUUAUCUCAUUCAAGACAUUUAAUUCAACCGGUGCAAUCUCUCUUCUAAAUUGUUCAACGGUGUUUUCUUUUGAGUGGGCCCAUAACCCACAAGUCUUUUCCCAGGAUCUUACCUGACUCUCCUAAUUCUCCUAGAGUUAUUCUCAAAUUCCUUUUUAAGUGUGACGUAAGAAUGAAUUUUCAUCAGUCGCAUGCCUUCUCUAAGGUCAUUUUCAAAUUCUUUUCAUCCUUGGUUCAACCCUUCCUCUUUUUCAUUCUCCCGGAGUAUCUCAGUAAUUUUGGUGGUGUUUCUCGUCGUCAUUAUCGGAUUUUGAAUACCGAAGAAGAGUUUUUCCUCUAAAUCUUGUCCAUUCUCUUGAAGUUUCGUGAUUCUAGCUUGAUGCCAUCCUCUCAUAAUUAUUUUAGAUUGUGAGAAUUCUUUUCACCCAUCCGGAUCUAUUCAAGAGUCUUUUCAGAUUGAUUCUCCGUAGGCCAUCAUUUCUGAAUAUUACUCAUUCUCAACUUUCAGCUGUUGUUCUCCAAAUCUUACCGGUGGAUCGUUCAAGUAUACUCUUUAAUCAGUUCAUGGUCUCUUCGUUCUCAUAUAUCUAAAUCCCCUCAAGUAUCUUCAUUCGUUUUCCAAUUCUUCCCAGUGAAUUGUGCCUUUGCUAUGUUCAUUUUCAAUUAUGACGGUGGUUCGUGUAACAUUCCUCUUCCGUUGUUAUCGUAUAAAUUAAUUCAUUCGUUGUUUCCAAUCCCGUUGGUGGUUCCAUCAAUACCUUCUGAAGUUUAUGCUAUAUCUCUCUUAAUUCUUUCUACGAGAAUAAGUAGUAUGCCAAAUCCGUUGCUUGUCAUCAAUUUAAAUUGGUGAAGGAUAAGCAUGCAAUAAAUCUUAUUCUUAUUUCCUCGAGGUGAUUCAAUUCUUUUCUUCCGGAGAUUGUUCAUGAUGAAGUAAUUCUCGGUUCCAGUGUUUCAUCUAUUCUUUUUCCGGAGUUCCAAGUUUUCCGCAUUAUCUCGUGGCGAAGCUCCAUCUAAAUCAUUGCAAGGUCUCACCUUGUGUUUUCAACUUCUUUUUCUUUUCAUCAUCCUUUUAUUACCAGAGUUCUUCAUGGAGUCUCUACAUGAUGGUUCAUCAAGGAUUCCUUUCAUUCUUCAAUUGUUCUUCAAGAUUUCUAUCGAAGUUAUGACCUGCUAAGCUAUACUCUAAAAUAAACAUGGUGUUCAACACAUGUUUUGUUUUGAGGAGCUCAAGUAUUCUUCAUCUUGCAUUCUGAAGUGCAAUUCUUUCUACCUUAUCUUUUGUGGUGGUGUUAUGUCACUCUUCACAAUUUCCGUCAUGGUUCAUGAUUCAUAUUGUUUUCAAGAAUGAGGUAUUUUAAAUCCAUCAAUCUCUUUGUUGGAGUUAUCUUGGGUUAUAUUUCACCUAAAGCCUUCCAUUGGGAAUGUUGCUAUUUGUGGUGCUUAUCAAUGAUCCGAGUUUUCUCCUAUCCUCUCGGCGAAAGCAGUUUUCAUCCCUUCGUUGAUCUCAAACAAGUAAUUGUUUUCGUUAGUGGCAUGUAUUCACCUCAUAAUUUUGAGUUGUUUUCCAUAAGCCCACAACAAGCUUAUCCUUUUGUUGUUGAUAAUCCAACAACUCCAUCCUAGCAUUUCUUGUAAGUGUGCUCUUUCAAGAUCUUGUUUCCCUCCGUUCAUUCCAUUCCAUUCUUUAAUUUCUUCUGGAGGCAUUUGUCGCUCUCUUUGACCCAUCGUCUCAUUUUGUCAAGAUCAUGUUCUUUUCCAUGCUUAUCCAUUUAACCGGAGUGUUGUGUCAUCUCUUCAACGCUUUCAUCUUAUCAAGUUUUGCCUCUCUUUUCAACCUGGGUGUUGUCUGAAAUCCUUCUUACCCAUUGUGCCAUUCUUUCAAUAGUUCCAGAGGCAGUGUGUUGUUGAUUUCAUCAAGUAUCUUCCCAUCUUCUCAAGUUCAUGUUCUAUUCCUUCCAUGUUCAACCGGAGUGCCACCCAAAUUAUAUCAAUCUUAUUCCUUCUCCAUCUAGUUUUAACCGGAGUGGUUUCAAUAUCUAUCUUAUCACUAAACCUACAAGGUUAUCGUAAUGUUCCUUGUUCCUCUUUUCUAACAGAUUGUUGCAAUCUCAUUCAUCUCUGUUGUGUUCUUUUUUUUCAAUUUGUUCAACCUCUCAAGGUUCAUGGUUUCACUCGUUUGUCGAAGAAGUAACUUAGUUUUACCUCUUCUCGUCCUCUUCCGUUUCCCUCCGGUGUCAUCCUAGAUCUCGGGACGAGAUCCUCUCGUAGUGGUGGAGUGUUGUAACGCCCCGGAUGCAACUUUCGAUAUUCGUAACUCCAACUCUUGCCUUUUCCGGAGAUGCUAUAUGAUAUUUCAUCCGUGGUUGGGUUUUGUCUGUUGUUUUGCAUUUCGUUCUUGUUAUGCAUCUCAUCUCAUAACAUCAUGCGCAUUGCAUCGGCAUCGUUUUCAUAAAACUUGCAUCCGUUCGGGUUUCCCCGGUCCUCUCCGUUGUCCGUUCGGAGUCCAGACACACUUGCACGCGCCCGCGGCACCUCCGAAAUAUUAUUUUAUAAGUGGCACAAAGAUGUUCUCGGAAUCGGUUGAAACUUGUCGGGCGUUCUUAUUAUAGUGUAGACAGAGUGCCUGUCAAGUUUCGUCACAUUCGGAGUCCGUUUGACUGCCCAACCGUUAAACAUAGCGGUACCGUUGCCGGUAUCUUCGUCGGAAGUUUCGGUUUUCGAAACAGUCGCCGGGCCUCACUUCUCUUCUCCCCUCCCAGUCCGAGGCCUCUCUCCACAGCCCACCUAUGCCCAGCCUAGUCCCCCCUCUGUCCGGAGCCGCACGAUUGCGAUUGUACGGCUCGAAAACCCCUCCUAACCCCCAAACCCUAGCUGCUUUUGCUAUAAAUAGACCCCCUAGUCCAUUUUUGGACAUCCCUAGCCUAAUCCUAGACCUCCACCUACCUCUAGCCUCCCCCUCAGGAUCCUCGCAGCCGCCAGCCGCCGCUCCCCUCCAUUUCCGCACCCCCCCAGCCUCCUCUCGCCACUUGGCGCCACCGCACGGGCCAGCGCCGCCGUCCCCGCUGCCUGGAGCCACUCAAGCCCCGCCACGUCGCCUCCCCUGUAUNNNNNNNNNNNNNNNNNNNNNNNNNNNNNNNNNNNNNNNNNNNNNNNNNNNNNNNNNNNNNNNNNNNNNNNNNNNNNNNNNNNNNNNNNNNNNNNNNNNNNNNNNNNNNNNNNNNNNNNNNNNNNNNNNNNNNNNNNNNNNNNNNNNNNNNNNNNNNNNNNNNNNNNNNNNNNNNNNNNNNNNNNNNNNNNNNNNNNNNNNNNNNNNNNNNNNNNNNNNNNNNNNNNNNNNNNNNNNNNNNNNNNNNNNNNNNNNNNNNNNNNNNNNNNNNNNNNNNNNNNNNNNNNNNNNNNNNNNNNNNNNNNNNNNNNNNNNNNNNNNNNNNNNNNNNNNNNNNNNNNNNNNNNNNNNNNNNNNNNNNNNNNNNNNNNNNNNNNNNNNNNNNNNNNNNNNNNNNNNNNNNNNNNNNNNNNNNNNNNNNNNNNNNNNNNNNNNNNNNNNNNNNNNNNNNNNNNNNNNNNNNNNNNNNNNNNNCCCCCCGCAAGCCCCUGGCUCCCUCCUCCCGCUCGAUCCCGAGCCGGAUCGAGACCGCCGCCUCACGCCUCCUGCCGGCGACCCGGCAGCCCCGUCGGAGCCAGCAGGUCAGCGCCGUCCCGCCCCGCUCUCCUCCUUCCCUAUCCUUCCUGUCCUUCUUCCUCCUCGCCCUCUCAUCUUGUCUCUCUCCCUCGCAGGGCACCGCCGCCGCCCGGGAUGCCAAGCGCCACCGCCGGAGCCGAGCCUCGCCGCCGUGUAGUUCGUCGCCCCGGCCUCCUCUUCACCUGAUCCGGUCGAGGACCACCGGAUCCGGCCACCUGCGGCCCCGUCCCGGCCUCCCCACGCCUGCCCUCGCCGGAGAUGGCCCCUCUCCGCUGCCGCGCCCUGCAUCGCCCCGAUCCGGUCCCCCCUCCUUGCCGUUGACCGCGUGGGCCACGGCCUUGUCCGGCCCAGCCCGCCUCCAAGCCGACCGGGCUUUGGCCCAGGGUGAGCAGCCCCGCCCCCUCUCCUGUGCACUUGUGGGCUGACUAGAUUUGGCCCGUUGCUAUUUUGUUUCCUGUCCAGCGAUUUUAACAUUAUCCGGUGAAUUACAGUUUUGCAGAAAACCCCCUGUUGUUCAUGCAUAUAAUAACUCCUCAAUCGUGCAUCAUAUUAAAAUGAUUUAUAUAUGUAAAAUGCUCAAAAAAUUGUGUAGAUUAAUAAUAUGCCACUUUCAUCUAUGUUAAAAAUGUUUAAACUUGCUGUUUAUUUAAUUUUUCAUAAUGCCAUGCUAAAAUGAUUUAUUUCAUAACUAAUUAACCGUAGCUCCGAUUUUAAUAAACUUUAUAUGUAAAUGGGGUGGAAAAAUGCUUAGAUUAACUUGGUGCACUCAUCUUGCAUGUUUAACAACAUUAAAAUAUGGUUUAGGGCAGAACAGUACCGAAUCUAAAAUAUGCACAUGGGGAAUUUCCGAAAUUGUUGUUUUGUUGUUCCGGCCUCAUUUAAACUUGUCUAGGUAGGUAGUUUUUCAUAUGCUUCACCCCUUGCCAUGUUUAAUAAUAUUUAAUAUUGUUGGGUACCUAAACGAGAGCGAACUAAAUAACUCGAAUGUGGUGUUUCGUCAAUAUGCAACUCGUUGCAUAUUGAUCUCCACUUAACUCGUAGUAUUGUUUGUUGCACUUGCCAUGCCAUGCCUCAUUAAACCGGACAUGCAUCAUACUUGUUUGUGCAUCAUGCCAUGUUUAUGCUUGUGAAUUUACCAUGUUGUUACCUUCUUUCUGGUGUUGCUUCUUAGUUCCAGUAAUGUUGCGAUUGUGAGGAUUCGUUCGUCUACUCCCGUUCGUCUUCUUCAUGGACUCGUUCUUCUUCCUUGCAAGAUUUCAGGCAAGAUGACCGCUACCCUGGAUCUCACUACUAUCAUUGCUAUGCUAGUUGCUUCGUUCUAUCGCUAUGCUGUGUUACCUAUCUUUUGCUCAUCAAGCCUCCCAAAUUGCCAUGAACCUCUAACCUUUGACACCAUUCCUAGCAAACCUUUGCUUGGCUAUGUUACCGCUUUGCUCAGCCCCUCUUAUAGCGUUGCUAGUUGCAGGUGAAGUUGAAGAUUGCUCCAUGGUGGACAGGAUUUUGGUUGGGAUAUCACAAUAUCUCUUAUAUUAUUAAUGCAUCUAUAUACUUGGUAAAGGGUGGAAGGCUCGGCCUUAUGCCUGGUGUUUUGUUCCACUCUUGCCGCCCUAGUUUCCGUCAUACCGGUGUUAUGUUCCCGGAUUUUGCGUUCCUUACGCGGUCGGGUGAUUUAUGGGACCCCCUUGACAGUUCGCUUUGAAUAAAACUCCUCCAGCAAGGCCCAACAUUGGUUUUACCAUUUGCCUCACCACCACCUAUAUUUCCCUUGGGAGUAAUUAACCCAAGGGUCAUCUUUAUUUUAGCCCCCCNNNNNNNNNNNNNNNNNNNNNNNNNNNNNNNNNNNNNNNNNNNNNNNNNNNNNNNNNNNNNNNNNNNNNNNNNNNNNNNNNNNNNNNNNNNNNNNNNNNNNNNNNNNNNNNNNNNNNNNNNNNNNNNNNNNNNNNNNNNNNNNNNNNNNNNNNNNNNNNNNNNNNNNNNNNNNNNNNNNNNNNNNNNNNNNNNNNNNNNNNNNNNNNNUGCUUGUCUAAGUGUUGGUCCGAACCGGGCAGACUGCGGGGCCACCUCGGGGCAACUCGAGGGCUGGUUUUACCCGUAGGCUGACCUAUCCGGUGUUGCCUUGAGAACGAGAUAUGUGCAGCUCCUAUCGGGAUUGUCGGCGCAUCGGGCGGCUUUGCUGGUCUUGUUUUACCAUUGUCGAAAUGUCUUGUAAACCGGGAUUCCGAGUCUGAUCGGGUCUUCCUUGGAGAAGGUCUAUUCCUUCGUUGAUCGCGAGAGCUUGUCAUGGGCUAAGUUGGGACACCCCUGCAGGGUAUAAUCUUUUGAAAGCCGUGCCUGCGGUUAUAGGCAUAUGGGAAUUUGUUAAUGUCCGAUUGUAGAUAACUUGACACCAGAUCCGAAUUAAAACGCAUCAACCGCGUGUGUAGUCGUGAUGGUCUCUUCUCGGCGGAGUCCGGGAAGUGAACACGGUUUCUGGGUUAUGUUUGACGUAAGUAGGAGUUCAGGAUCACUUCUUGAUCAUUGCUAGCUUCACGACCGUUCCGCUUGCUCUCUUCUCGCUCUUAUUUGCGUAUGUUAGCCACCAUAUAUGCUUAGUCGCUGCUGCAACCUCACCACUUUACCCCUUCCUUUCCCUUUAAGCUUUGCUAGUCUUGAUACCCAUGGUAAUGGGAUUGCUGAGUCCUCGUGGCUCACAGAUUACUACAACAACAAUUGCAGGUACAGGUUAUGCGAUGAUCAUGACGCGAGAGCGAUGUUUGCUCGUUUGGAGUUCUUCUUCUGCUUCUUCGAUCAGGGGAUAGGUUCCAGGUCGGCAGCCUGGGCUAGCAGGGUGGAUGUCAUUUGAGUUUCUGUUUGUGUGUCAUCCGUAGUCGGAUGAUGCUCUUAUGUAUUGUGAUGUUGUAUUCAUGUGGCAUUGUAUGCCUUUUGUAUGUAUCCCUAUCUAUUAUGUAAUGUUGAUGUAAUGAUAUCCACCUUGCAAAAGCGUUUCAAUAUGCGGUUCUAUCCUUGGUGGGACCUUCGAGUCUCUUUAGGAUAGUAUCGCAUAUUGGGCGUGACACAUGUAGAGCUCCUUUAUAAUCACCCAGUUACGUUGUGACGUUUGGUAGCACACAAAGUGUUCCUCCGGUAAAUGGGAGUUGCAUAAUCUCAUAGUCACUAGGAACAUGUAUAAGUCAUGAAGAAAGCAAUAGCAACAUACUAAACAAUCAAGUGCUAGGCUAACGGAAUGGGUCAAGUCAAUCACAUCAUUCUCCUAAUGAUGUGAUCCCGUUAAUCAAAUGACAACUCUUUUGUCCAUGGCUAGGAAACUUGACCAUCUUUGAUUCACGAGCUAGUCAAGUAGAGGCAUACUAGUGACACUAUGUUUGUCUAUGUAUUCACACAUGUAUUAUGUUUCCGGUUAAUACAAUUCUAGCAUGAAUAAUAAACAUUUAUCAUGAAAUAAGGAAAUAAAUAAUAAAUUUAUUAUUGCCUCUAGGGCAUAUUUCCUUUAGUCUCCCACUUGCACUAGAGUCAAUAAUCUAGUUCACAUCACCAUGUGAUUUAACACCAAUAUUCACAUCUGUAUGUGAUUAAUACCCAUAGUUCACAUCGUCAUGUGAUCAACACCCAAAGGUUUUACUAGAGUCAAUAAUCUAGUUCACAUCGCUAUGUGAUUAACACCCAAAGAGUACUAAGGUAUGAUCAUGUUUUACUCGUGAGAGAAGUUUAGUCAACGGGUCUGUCACAUUCAGAGCCGUAUGUAUUUUACAAAUAUUCUAUGUCUACAAUGCUCUGCAUGGAGCUACUCUAGCUAAUUUCUCCCACUUUCAAUAUGUAUCUAGAUUGCGACUUAGAGUCAUCUGGAUCAGUGUAAAAGUUUGCACCGAUGUAACUUUUACGACGAACUCUUUUAUCAUCUCCAUAAUCGAGAAACAUCUCCUUAAUCCUUACUAAGGAUAUUCUUGACCGCUGUCCAGUGAUCUACUAUUAGAUCAAAAUUGUAUUCCUUUGCCAAACUCAGAGCAAGGUAUACAAUAGGUCUGGUACACAGCAUAGCAUACUUUAUAGAAUCUAUGACUGAGGCAUAGGGAAUGAUUUUUCAUUCUCUUUCUAUUUUCAUCCAUGGUCGGGUUUUGAGUCUUACUCAACUUCACACCUUGCAACAUAGGAAAGAACACCUUCUUUGACUGCUCUAUUUUGAACUACUUCAAAAUCUUAUCAAGGUAUGUACUCAUUGAAAAAUCUUAUCAAGCGUCUUGAUCUAUCUAUAUAGAUCUUGAUGCUCAAUGUGUAAGCAGCUUUACCGAGGUCUUUCUUUGAAAAACUUUUAUUCAAGUAUCCUUUUACGCUAUCCAGAAAUUUUAUAUAAUUUCCAAUCAACAAUAUGUCUUGCACAUAUAAUGUUAGAAAUUCUACAGAGCUCCCACUCACUUUCUUGUAAAUAGAGGCUUCUCCAAAAGUCUGUAUAAAACCAUAUGCUUUGAUCAACUCAUCAAAGCGUAUAUUCCAACUCCGAGAUGCUUGCACCAGUCCAUUGAUGGAUCGCUGGAGCUUGCACACUUUGUUAGCACCUUUAGGAUUGACAAAACCUUCUGGUUGCAUCAUAUACAACUCUUCUUUAAAAAAAUCCAUUAAGGAAUGCAGUUUUGACAUCCAUUUGCCAGAUUUCAUAAAAUGAGGCAAUUGCUAACAUGAUUCGGACAGACUUAAGCGUCGUUACGAGUGAGAAAAUCUCAUCAUAUUCAACACCUUGAACUUGUUGAAAACCUUUCACAACAAGUCGAGCUUAGUAACACUACUAUCAGUGUCCGUAUUCCUCUUGAAGAUCCAUUUAUUUAACAUGGCUUGCUGAUCAUCGAGCAAGUCAAUCAAAGUCCAUACUUUGUUCUCAUACAUGGAUCAUAUCUCAGAUUUUAUGGCCUCAAGCCAUUUCGCGGAAUCUGGGCUCAUCAUCGCUUCCUCAUAGUUCGUAGGUUCAUCAUGGUCUAGUAACAUGACUUCCAGAACAUGAUUACCGUACCACUCUGGUGCGGAUCUUACUCUGGAAGACCUACGAGGUUUGGUAGCAACUUGAUCUGAAGUUUCAUGAUCAUCAUCAUUAACUCCCUCCCUAAUUGGUGUAGGAAUCACUGGAACUGAUUUCUGUGAUGAACUACUUUCCAAUAAGGGAGAAGGUACAAUUACCUCAUCAAGUUCUACUUUCCUCCCACUCACUUCUUUCGAGAGAAACUUCUUCUCUAGAAAGGAUCCAUCUUAGCAACGAAUAACUUGCCUUCGGAUAUGUGAUAGAAGGUGUACCCAAUAGUUACCUUUGGGUAUUCUAUGAAGACGCACUUCUCCGAUUUGGGUUCGAGCUUAUGAGGUUGAAACUUUUUCACAUAAGUAUCGCAGCCCCAAAAUUUAAGAAACGACAACUAUGGUUUCUUGCCAAACCACAGUUCAUAAGGCGUCGUCUCAACGGAUUUUGAUGGUGCCCUUUUUAAAGUGAAUGCAACUGUCUCUAAUGCAUAACCCCAAAACGAUAGUGGUAAAUCGGUAAGAUACAUCAUAGAUCGCACCAUAUCCAAUAAAGUGUGGUUAUGAUAUUCGGACACACCAUUACGCUGUGGUGUUCCAUGUGGCAUGAGCUGUGAAACUAUUCCACAUUGUUUUAUAUGAAGGCCAAACUCAUAACUCAAAUAUUCUCCUCCACGAUCAGAUCGUAGAAACUUUAUUUUCUUGUUACGAUGAUUCUCCAGUUCACUCUGAAAUUCUUUGAACUUUUCAAAUGUUUCAGACUUGUGUUUCAUUAAGUAGAUAUACCCAUAUCUGCUCAAAUCAUCUGUGAAGGUCAUAAAAUAACGAUACUCGCCACGAGCAUCAAUACUCAUUGGAUCGCAUACAUCGGUAUGUAUUAUUUCCAAUAAAUCAGUAGCUCGUUCCAUUGUUCCGAAGAACGGAGUUUUAGUCAUCUUGCCCAAAAGGCAUGGUUCGCAAGCAUCAACUGAUUCAUAACCAAGUGAUUCCAAAAAUCCAUCUUUAUGGAGUUUCUUCAUGCGCUUUAUACCGAUAUGACCCAAACGGUAGUGCCACAAAUAAGUUGCACUAUCAUUAUCAGCUUUGCAUCUUUUGGCAUCAAUAUUAUGAAUGUGUGUAUCACUACGAUCGAGAUCAAACAAACUAUUUUCAUUGGGUGUAUGACCAUUGAAGGUUUUAUUCAUGUAAAUAGAACAACAAUUAUUCUCUGAUUUUAAAUGAAUAACCGUAUUGCCAUAAACAUGAUCAAAUCAUAUUCAUGCUCAACGCAAACGCCAAAUAACAUUUAUUUAGGUUUAACACUAAUCCCGAAAGUAUAGGGAGUGUGCGAUGAUGAUCAUAUCAAUCUUAGAACCACUUCCAACACACAUCGUCACUUCACCCUCAACUAGUCUCUGUUUAUUCUGUAACUCCUGUUUCAAGUUACUAAUUUUUUUAGCAACCGAACAAGUAUCAAAUACUUAGGGGCUACUAUAAACACUAGUAAGGUACACAUCAAUAACCUGUAUAUCAAAUAUACCCUUGUUCACUUUGCCAUCCUUCUUAUCCACCAAAUAUUCAAGGCAUUUCCGCUUCUAGUGAACAUUUUCUUUGCAGUGUAAGCACUCAGUUUCAGGCUUUGGUCCAGCUUUGGUCUUCUUCACGGGAGUGACAACUUGUUUGCCAUUCUACUUGAAGUUUCCCUUUCUUUCCCUUUGCCCUUUUCUUGAAACUAGUGGUCUUGUCAAUCAUCAACACUUGAUGCUCUUUCUUGAUUUCUAUCUUCGUCGAUUUCAACAUCACGAAGAGCUCGGGAAUCAUUUUCGUCAUCCCUUGCAUACUAUAGUUCAUCACGAAGUUCUAGUAACUUAGUGAUGGUGACUAGAGAAUUCUAUCAAUCACUAUCUUAUCUGGAAGAUUAACUCCCACUUGAUUCAAGCGAUUGUAGUACCCAGACAAUCUGAGCACAUGCUCACUAAUUGAGCAAUUCUCCUCCAUCUUUUAGCCAUAGAACUUGUUGGAGACUUCAUAUCUCUCAACUCGGGUAUUUGCUUGAAAUAUUAACUUCAACUCCUAGAACAUCUCAUAUGGUCCAUGACGUUCAAAACGUCUUUGAAGUCCCGAUUCUAAGCCGUUAAGCAUGGUGCACUAAACUAUCAAGUAGUCAUCAUAUUGAGCUAGCCAAACAUUCACAACGUCUGCAUAUGCUCCUGCAAUAGGUCCGUCACCUAGCGGUGCAUCAAGGACAUAAUUCUUCUAUGCAGCAAUGAUGAUAAACCUCAGAUCACGGACCAAGUCCGCAUUAUUGCUACUAACAUCUUUCAACAUAAUUUUCUCUAGGAACAUAUCAAAAUAAACAUAUGAAAGCAACAACGCAAGCUAUUGAUCUACAACAUAAUUUGCAAAAUACUACUAGGACUAAGUUCAUGAUAAAUUUAAGUUCAAUUGAUCAUAUUACUUAAGAACUCCCACUUAGAUAGAUAUCCCUCUAAUCCUCUAAGUGAUUACGUGAUCCAUAUCAACUACACCAUGUACGAUCAUCACGUGAGAUGGAGUAGUUUCAACGGUGAACAUCAAUAUGUUGAUCAUAUCUACUAUAUGAUUCACGCUCGACCUUUCGGUCUCCGUGUUCCGAGGCCAUAUCUGUUAUAUGCUAGGCUCGUCAAGUUUAACCCGAGUAUUCCGCGUGUGCAACUGUUUUGCAUCCGUUGUAUUUGAACGUAGAGCCUAUCACACCCGAUCAUCACGUGGUGUCUCAGCAUGAAGAACUUUCGCAACGGUGCAUACUCAGGGAGAACACUUCUUGAUAAUUUUUAGUGAGAGAUCAUCUUAAAAUGCUACCAUCAAUCAAAGCAAGAUAAGAUGCAUAAAGGAUAAACAUCACAUGCAAUCAAUAUAAGUGAUAUGAUAUGGCCAUCAUCAUCUUGUGCUUGUGAUCUCCAUCUCCGAAGCACUGUCGUGAUCACCAUCGUCGCCGGUGCGACACCUUGAUCUCCAUCGUAGCAUCGUUGUCGUUACGCCAUCUAUUGCUUCUACGACUAUCGCUACCGCUUAGUGAUAAAGUAAAGCAAUUAUAGGGCAUUUGCAUUUCAUACAAUAAAGCGACAACCAUAUGGCUCCUGCCAGUUGUCGAUAACUUCGGUUACAAAACAUGAUCAUCUCAUACAAUAAAAUAUAGCAUCACGUCUUGACCAUAUCACAUCACAACAUGCCCUGCAAAAACAAGUUAGACGUCCUCUACUUUGUUGUUGCAAAUUUUACGUGGCUGCUACGGGCUGAGCAAGAACCGUUCUUACCUACGCAUCAAAACCACAAUGAUAGUUCGUCAAGUUAGUGUUGUUUUAACCUUCGCAAGGACCGGGCGUAGCCACACUCGGUUCAACUAAAGUUGGAGAAACAGACACCCGCUAGUCACCUAUGUGCAAAGCACGUCGGUAAAACCAGUCUCGCGUAAUCGUACGCGUAAUGUCAGUCCGCGCCGCUUCAUCCAACAAUACCGCUGAACCAAAGUAUGACAUGCUGGUAAGCAGUAUGACUUGUAUCGCCCACAACUCACUUGUGUUCUACUCGUGCAUAUAACAUCAACGCAUAAAACCUGGCUCGGAUGCCACUGUAGGGUAACGUAGUAAUUUCAAAAAAAAUCCUACGCACACGCAAGAUCAUGGUGAUGCAUAGCAACGAGAGGGGAGAGUGUUGUCCAUGUACCCUCGUAGACCGUAAGCGGAAGCGUUAUGACAACGCGGUUGAUGUAGUCGUACGUCUUCACGAUCCGACCGAUCCAAGCACCAAACAUACGGCACCUCCGAGUUCAACACACAUUCAGCUCGAUGACGAUCUCAGGACUCCGAUGCAGCAGGGUGUCGGGGAUGAGUUCCGUCAGCACGACGGCGUGGUGACGAUGAUGAUGUUCUACCGACGCAGGGCUUCGCCUAAGCACCGCAACGAUAUGACCGAGGUGGAAUAUGGUGGAGGGGGGCACCGCACACGGCUAAGGAACGAUCACGAAGAUCAACUUGUGUUGUUGUGCCUAGAGGUGCCCCCCUGCCCCCGUAUAUAAAGGAGCAAGGGGAGGAGGGCCGGCCAAGGAGGAGGAGGCGCGCCCAAGGGGGGAGUCCUACUCCCACCGGGAGUAGGACUCCUCCUUUCCUAGUAGGAGUAGGAGAGAAGGGAAGGAAGGAGGGGGUGCGGCCCCUCCCCCUAGUCCAAUUCGGACUAGGCUUUGGGGGGCAUGCGGCCUGCCCUAGGCAGCCCCUCUCUCUUUCCCGUAUGGCCUAAUAAGGCCCAAUACUUCUCCCCGGCGAAUUCCCGUAACUCUCCGGUACUCCGAUAAAUACCCGAAUCACUCGGAACCUUUCUGAAGUCCGAAUAUAGUCGUCCAAUAUAUCGAUCUUUACGUCUCGAUCAUUUCGAGACUCCUCGUCAUGUCCCCGAUCUCAUCUGGGACUCCGAACUCCUUCGGUACAUCAAAACUCAUAAACUCAUAAUAUAACUGUCAUCGAAACCUUAAGCAUGCGGACCCUACGGGUUCGAGAACAAUGUAGACAUGACCGAAACACAUUUUCGGUCAAUAAGCAAUAGUGGAACCUGGAUGCUCAUAUUGGCUCCCACAUAUUCUACGACGAUCUUUAUCGGUCAGACUGCAUAACAACAUAAGUUGUUCCCUUUGUCAUCGGUAUGUUACUUGUCCGAGAUUCGAUCGUCGGUAUCUCAAUACCUAGUUCAAUCUCGUUACCGGCAAGUCUCUUUACUCGUUCCUUAAUGCAUCAUCCCGCAACUAACUAAUUAGUUGCAAUGCUUGCAAGGCUUUAUAGUGAUGUGCAUUACCGAGUGGGCCCAGAGAUACCUCACCGACAAUUGGAGUGACAAAUCCUAAUCUCGAAAUACGCCAACCCAACAUGUACCUUCGGAGACACCUGUAGAGCUCCUUUAUAAUCACCCAGUUACGUUGUGACGUUUGGUAGCACACAAAGUGUUCCUCCGGUAAAUGGGAGUUGCAUAAUCUCAUAGUCAUAGGAACAUGUAUAAGUCAUGAAGAAAGCAAUAGCAACAUACUAAAUGAUCAAGUGCUAGGCUAACGGAAUGGGUCAAGUCAAUCACAUCAUUCUCCUAAUGAUGUGAUCCCGUUAAUCAAAUGACAACUCUUUUGUCCAUGGCUAGGAAACUUAACCAUCUUUGAUUCACGAGCUAGUCAAGUAGAGGCAUACUAGUGACACUAUGUUUGUCUAUGUAUUCACACAUGUAUUAUGUUUCCGGUUAAUACAAUUCUAGCAUGAAUGAUAAACAUUUAUCAUGAAAUAAAGAAAUAAAUAAUAAUUUUAUUAUUGCCUCUAGGGCAUAUUUCCUUCAGCGCCCCCCUGGGGUCCCUAUAUAAAGAGGAGGGUGGGAGGACAGCCGCACCCUGACAUCUGGCGCCUCCCUACCCCCCUUGCUACAUGUCCUCCUCCCGUAGUCGCUUGGCGAAGCCCUGCCGUAACCCUGCUGCAUCCACCACCACGCCGUCGUGCUGUUGGAUCUUCCUCAACCUCUCCUUCCCCCUUGCUGGAUCAAGAAGGAGGAGAUGUCACGCUGACCGUACGUGUGUUGAACGCGGAGGUGCCAUCCGUUCGGCGCUAGGAUCUCCGGUGAUUUGGAUCACGAUGAGUACGACUCCCUCAACCCCGUUCUCUUGAACGCUUCCGCUCGCGAUCUACAAGGGUAUGUAGAUGCACUCCCCUCUCUCGUUGCUAUAUGAACUCAUAGAUUGAUCUUGGUGAACGUAGGAAAUUUUUUAUUUUAUGCAACGUUCCCCAACAGUGGCAUCAUGAGCUAGUUCUAUGCGUAGUUCUCUAUUGCACGAGUACAACACAAAUCUGUUGUGGGCAUAUAUGUUGUCAACUUUCUUGCCACUACUAGUCUUAUUUUGCUUCAGCGGUAUUGUGGGAUGAAGCGGCCCGGACCGACCUUACACGUACGCUUACGUGAGACAGGUUCCACCGACUGACAUGCACUAGUUGCAUAAGGUGGCUAGCGGGUGUCUGUCUCUCCCACUUUAGUUGGAGCGGAUUCGAUGAAAAGGGUCCUUAUUAAGGGUAAAUAGAAGUUUACAAAUCACGUUGUGGUUAUUCGUAGGUAAGAAAACGUUCUUGCUAGAACCCUAUUGCAACCACGUAAAAGAUGCAACAACAAUUAGAGGACGUCUAAUUUGUUUUUGCAGCAAUUGCUUUGUGAUGUGAUAUGGCCAAAAGUUGUGAUGAAUGAUGAAUGAUAUAGUGUGAUGUAUAAGAUCAUGUUCUUGUAAUAGGGAUCACGACUUGCAUGUCGAUGAGUAUGACAACCGGCAGGAGCCAUAGGAGUUGUCUUAAUUAUUGUAUGACCUGCGUGUCAAUGAUUUAACGCCAUGUAAUUACUUUACUUUAUUGCUAAACCGUUAGCCAUAGUAGUAGAAGUAAUAGUUGGUGAGCAACUUCAUGGAGACACGAUGAUGGAGAUCAUGGUGUCAUGCCGAUGACGAAGAUGAUCAUGGAGCCCCAAAGAUGGAGAUCAAGGGAGCUAUAUGAUAUUGGUCAUAUCAUGUCACUACUAUAUAAUUGUAUGUGAUGUUUGUUAUGUUUAUGCAUCUUGUUUACUUAGAACGACGGUAGUAAAUAAGAUGAUCCCUUAUAAUAAUUUCAAGAAAGUGUUCCCCCUAACUGUGCGCCGUUGCUAGGGGAUCGUCGUUUCGAAGCACCAUGUGAUGAUCGGGUGUGAUAGAUUCUUACGUUCACAUACAACGGGUGUAAGACAGUUUUACACAUGCAAAAACACUUAGGGUUAACUUGACGAGCCUAGCAUGUACAGACAUGGCCUCGGAACACAGAGACUGAAAGGUCAAACAUGAGUCGUAUGGAAGAUACGAUCAACAUGGAGAUGUUCACCGAUGAUGACUAGUCCGUCUCACGUGAUGAUCGGACACGGCCUAGUCGACUCGGAUCAUGUAACACUUAGAUGACUAGAGGGAUGUCAAAUCUGAGUGGGAGUUCAUUAAAUAAUUUGAUUAGAUGAACUUAAUUAUCAUGAACUUAGUCUAAAAUCUUUGCAAAAUAUGUCUUGUAGAUCAAAUAGCCAACGCUCAUGUCAACAUGAACUUCAAUGCGUUCCUAGAGAAAACCAAGCUGAAAGAUGAUGGCAGCAACUAUUCGGACUGGGUCCGGAACCUGAGGAUCAUCCUCAUAGCUGCCAAGAAAGCAUAUGUCCUAGAAGGACCGCUAGGUGAAGCACCCAUCCCAGAGAACCAAGACGUUAUGAACGCUUGGCAGUCACGUGCUGAUGAUUACUCCCUCGUUCAGUGCGGCAUGCUUUACAGCUUAGAACCGGGGCUCCAAAAGCGUUUUGAGCAACACGGAGCAUAUGAGAUGUUCGAGGAGCUGAAAAUGGUUUUCCAAGCUCAUGCCCGGGUCGAGAGAUAUGAUGUCUCUGACAAGUUCUAUAGUUGUAAGAUGGAGGAAAAUAGUUCUGUCAGUGAGCACAUACUCAAAAUGUCUGGGUUGCACAACCGCCUGUCCCAGCUGGACAUUAACCUCCCGGACGAGGCGGUCAUUGACAGAAUCCUUCAGUCGCUCCCACCAAGCUACAAGAGCUUUGUGAUGAACUACAAUAUGCAGGGGAUGGUGAAAACCAUUCCUAAAGUAUUUUCAAUGCUGAAGUCGGCAGAGGUAGAAAUCAAGAAAGAACAUCAAGUGUUGAUGGUUAAUAAAACCACCAAGUUCAAGAAGGGCAAGGGUAAGAAGAACUUCAAGAAGGACGGCAAAGAGGUUGCCGCGCCCGGUAAGCCAGUUGCCGGGAAGAAGUCAAGGAAUGGACCCAAGCCUGAGACUGAGUGCUUUUAUUGCAAAGGGAAGGGUCACUGGAAGCGGAACUGCCCCAAAUACUUAGCGGACAAGAAGGCCGGCAACACUAAAGGUAUAUGUGAUAUACAUGUAACUGAUGUGUACCUUACCAGUACUCAUAGUAACUCCUAGGUAUUUGAUACCGGUGCCGUUGCUCAUAUUUGUAACUCACAGCAGGAGCUGCGGAAUAAGCGGAGACUGGCAAAGGAUGAGGUGACGAUGCGCAUAGGGAAUGGUUCCAAGGUCGAUGUGAUCGCCGUCGGCACGCUACCUCUACAUCUACCCACGGGAUUAGUUUUAAACCUCAAUAAUUGUUAUUUAGUGCCAAGUUUGAGCAUGAACAUUGUAUCUAGAUCUUGUUUAAUGCGAGAUGGCUACUCAUUUAAAUCCGAGAAUAGUGGUUGUUCUAUUUAUAUGAGAGAUGUGUUUUAUGGUCAUGCCACGAUGGUCAAUGGUUUAUUCUUAAUGAAUCUCGAACUUAAUGUUACACAUAUUCAUAGUGUGAAUUCCAAAAGAUGUAAAGUUGAUAACGAUAGUCCCACAUACUUGUGGCACUGCCGCCUUGGUCGCAUUGGUGUCAAGCGCAUGAAGAAGCUCCAUGCUGAUGGACUUUUAGAGUCUCUCGAUUAUGAAUCAUUUGACACAUGUGAACCAUGCCUCAUGGGCAAAAUGACCAAGACUCCGUUCUCCGGAACAAUGGAGCGAGCAACCAACUUAUUGGAAAUCAUACAUACUGAUGUGUGUGGUCCAAUGAGCGUUGAGGCUUGCGGAGGAUAUCGUUAUGUUCUCACUCUCACUGAUGACUUAAGUAGAUAUGGGUAUGUCUACUUAAUGAAACACAAGUCUGAGACUUUUGAAAAUUUCAAGGAAUUUCAGAAUGAAGUAGAGAAUCAACGUGACCAAAAAAUAAAGUUCUUACGAUCAGAUCAUGGAGGAGAAUAUUUAAGUCAUGAAUUUGGUAUGCACUUAAGAAAAUGUGGAAUCGUUUCACAACUCACGCCAUCUGGAACACCUCAACAUAACGGUGUGUCCAAAUGUCGUAAUCGCACUCUAUUGGAUAUGGUGCGAUCUAUGAUGUCUCUUACCGAUUUACCGCUAUCUUUUUCGGGAUACGCUCUAGAGACAGCUACAUUCACUUUAAAUAGGGCUCCGUCUAAAUCCGUUGAGACAACACCGUAUGAAUUAUGGUUUGGGAAGAAACCUAAGCUGUCGUUUCUAAAAGUUUGGGGAUGCGAUGCUUAUGUCAAGAAACUUCAACCUGAAAAGCUCGAACCCAAGUCAGAAAAAUGCGUCUUCAUAGGAUACCCUAAGGAAACCAUUGGGUAUACCUUCUACUUAAGAUCCGAGGGCAAGAUCUUUGUUGCCAAGAACGGAUCCUUUCUGGAAAAAGAGUUUCUCUCGAAAGAAGUAAGUGGGAGGAAAGUAGAACUCGAUGAAGUACUACCUCUUGAACCGGAAAGUAGUGCAGCUCAGCAAAAUGUUCCUGUGGUGCCUACACCGACUGGAGAGGAAAUUAAUGAUGAUGAUCAAGGUACUUCGGAUCAAGUUGCUACUGAACUUCGUAGGUACACAAGGACACGUUCCACACCAGAGUGGUAUGGCAACCCUGUCCUGGAAAUCAUGUUGUUAGACAACGGUGAACCUUCGAACUAUGAAAAAGCGAUGGCGGGCCCAGAUUCCAACAAAUGGCUUGAAGGCAUGCAAUCCGAGAUAGAAUCCAUGUAUGAAAACAAAGUAUGGACUUUGACAGACUUGCCCGAUGAUCGGCGAGCGAUAGAAAACAAAUGGAUCUUUAAGAAGAAGACGGACGCGGAUGGUAAUGUUACCAUCUAUAAAGCUUGACUUGUCGCUAAGGGUUAUCGGCAAGUUCAAGGGGUUGACUACGAUGAGACUUUCUCUCCCGUAGCAAAGCUGAAGUCCGUCCGAAUCAUGUUAGCAAUUGCCGCAUACUAUGAUUAUGAGAUAUGGCAGAUGGACGUCAAAACGGCAUUCCUUAACGACUAUCUUAAGGAAGAACUAUAUAUGAUGCAGCCGGAGGGUUUUGUCGAUCCUAAGAAUGCUAACAAGGUAUGCAAGCUCCAGCGAUCCAUUUAUGGGCUGGUGCAAGCAUCUCGGAGUUGGAACAUUUGCUUUGAUGAGAUGAUCAAAGCGUUUGGGUUUAUGCAGACUUAUGGAGAAGCCUGCGUUUACAAGAAAGUGAGUGGGAGCUCUAUAGCAUUUCUCAUAUUAUAUGUAGAUGACAUACUUUUGAUGGGAAAUGAUAUAGAACUUUUCGACAGCAUUAAGGCCUACUUGAAUAAGUGUUUUUCAAUGAAGGACCUUGGAGAAGCUGCUUACAUAUUAGGCAUCAAGAUCUAUAGGGAUAGAUCGAGACGCCUCAUAGGUCUUUCACAAAGCACAUACCUUGAUAAGAUAUUGAAGAAGUUCAAAAUGGAUCAGUCCAAGAAAGGGUUCUUGCCUGUAUUGCAAGGUGUGAGAUUGAGCUCGGCUCAAUGCCCGACCACGGCAAAAGAUAAAGAAGAGAUGAGUGUCAUCCCCUAUGCCUUAGCCAUAGGAUCUAUUAUGUAUGCCAUGCUGUGUACCAGACCUGAUGUAAACCUUGCCGUAAGUUUGGUAGGAAGGUACCAAAGUAAUCCCGGCAAGGAACACUGGACAGCGGUCAAGAAUAUCCUGAAGUACCUGAAAAGGACAAAUGACAUGUUUCUUGUUUAUGGAGGUGACGAAGAGCUCGUCGUAAAGGGUUACGUUGACGCUAGCUUCGACACAGAUCUGGAUGACUCUAAGUCACAAACCGGAUACGUGUAUAUGUUGGAUCGUGGAGCAGUAAGCUGGUGCAGUUGCAAGCAGAGCGUCGUGGCGGGAUCUACAUGUGAAGCGGAGUACAUGGCAACCUCGGAGGCAGCACAUGAAUCAAUAUGGAUGAAGGAGUUCAUCACCGACCUAGGAGUCAUACCCAAUGCGUCGGGGCCAAUCACUCUCUUCUGUGACAACACUGGAGCUAUUGCCCUAGCCAAGGAGCCCAGGUUUCACAAGAAGACCAGGCACAUCAAGCGUCGUUUCAACUCCAUCCGUGAAAAUGUUCAAGAUGGAGACAUAGAUAUUUGCAAAGUACAUACGGAUCUGAAUGUCGCAGAUCCAUUGACUAAACCUCUUCCGCGAGCAAAACAUGAUCAACACCAGAACUCUAUGGGUGUUCGAUUCAUCACAAUGUAACUAGAUUAUUGACUCUAGUGCAAGUGAGAGACUAUUGGAAAUAUGCCCUAGAGGCAAUAAUAAAAGAAUUAUUAUUAUAUUUCCUUGUUCGUGAUAAUUGUCUUUUAUUCAUGCUAUAAUUGUAUUAUCCGGAAAUCUUAAUACACGUGUGAAUACACAGACCACAAUAUGUCCCUAGUGAGCCUCUAGUUGACUAGAUCAUUGAUCAACAGAUAGUCAUGGUUUCCUGACUAUGGACAUUGGAUGUCAUUGAUGACGGGAUCACAUCAUUAGGAGAAUGAUGUGAUGGACAAGACCCAAUCCUAAGCAUAGCACAAGAUCGUGUAGUUCGUUUUGCUAGAGCUUUUCCAAUGUCAAGUAUCUUUUCCUUAGACCAUGAGAUCGUGUAACUCCCGGAUACCGUAGAAGUGCUUUGGGUGUACCAAACGUCACAACGUAACUGGGUGACUAUAAAGGUGCACUACACGUAUCUCCGAAAGUGUCUGUUGGGUUGACACGGAUCGAGACUGGGAUUUGUCACUCCGUAUGACGGAGAGGUAUCUCUGGGCCCACUCGGUAAUGCAUCAUCAUAAUGAGCUCAAAGUGACCAAGUGUCUGGUCACGGGAUCAUGCAUUACGAUAUGAGUAAAGUGACUUGCCGGUAACGAGAUUGAACGAGGUAUUGGGAUACCGACGAUCGAAUCUCGGGCAAGUAACGUACCGAUUGACAAAGGGAAUUGUAUACAGGGUUGCUUAAAUCCUCGACAUCGUGGUUCAUCCGAUGAGAUCAUCAAGGAGUAUGUGGGAGCCAACAUGGGUAUCCAGAUCCCGCUAUUGGUUAUUGACCGGAGAGCCUUCUCGGUCAUGUCUACAUGUCUCCCGAACCCGUAGGGUCUACGCACUUAAGGUUCGGUGACGCUAGGGUUGUAUGAAUAUGAGUAUGCAGCAAACCGAAAGUUGUUCGGAGUCCCGGAUGAGAUCCCGAACGUCACGAGGAGUUCCGGAAUGGUCCGGAGGUAAAGAAUUAUAUAUGGGAAGUUAAGUUUCGGCCAUCGGGAAAGUUUCGGGGGUCACCGGUAUUGUACCGGGACCACCGAAAGGGUCCCGGUGGUCCACCGGGUGGGGACACCCAUCCCGGAGGGCCCCAUGGGCUGAAGUGGGAGGGGAACCAGCCCCUGGUGGGCUGGUGCGCCCCCCCCCUGGGCCCCCCUCUGCGCCUAGGGUUGGGAACCCUAGGGGAGGGGGCGCCUCCACUUGCCUUGGGGGGCACUCCACCCCCCUGGCCGCCGCCCCCCAGGAGAUCCCAUCUCCUAGGGCCGGCUCCCCCCUGGGGUCCCUAUAUAAAGGGGGGGUGGGAGGACAGCCACACCCUGACAUCUGGCACCUCCCCACCCCCCUUGCUACACCUCCUCCUCCCGUAGUCGCUUGGCGAAGCCCUGCUGGAACCCUGCUGCAUCCACCACCACACCGUCGUGCUGCUGGAUCUUCAUCAACCUCUCCUUCCCCCUUGCUGGAUCAAGAAGGAGGAGACGUCACGCUGACCAUACGUGUGUUGAACACGGAGGUGCCGUCCGUUCGGCGCUAGGAUCUCCGGUCAUUUGGAUCACGACGAGUACGACUCCCUCAACCCCGUUCUCUUGAACGCUUCCGCUCGCGAUCUACAAGGGUAUGUAGAUGCACUCCCCUCUCUCGUUGCUAGAUGAACUCAUAGAUUGAUCUUGGUGAACGUAGGAAAUUUUUUUAUUUUAUGCAACGUUCCCCAACAGGAAGCACUACACAAGCGAGAAUGUGCUUGCUGAUGUUGACUUUGAUCUGAAGUUCACAUAUGUGCUGGCUGGCUGGGAGGGGUCAGCGCAUGAUGCAAACAUUCUCACUGACAGCAUGAGUCGACCUGAUGGGAUCAACAUCCCCGACGACAAGUUCUACCUUGGAGAUGCUGGCUAUGCAUGUUGUCUGGGUAUUCUUCCACCCUUCAGGAAAACAAGGUACCAUCUCAACGAGUUCUCUGGUAGGAACUUUCCUAGGACUGCACAUGAGUUGUUUAAUCUCAGACACUCCAGCCUUAGAGUAACUGUUGAGAGGGUAUUUGGAGCUCGGAAGAAUAGGUUUAAGAUCCUGGAUCAGAAUCCAUUCCACCCAUACUCCACUCAAGUUAAGCUAGUUCUUGCUUGUUCUAUUCUGCAUAACUGGAUCCUCCAGUGGGGCUUUGAUGAACAUGUGUCUGAGGAGGAAGAGGUCAAGCCUGACGAUGUUGUUAGCUCUGGCCAUGGUGUGGAGGCAUUUGACAAUGACGCUUGGAAGAACAAAAGGUUGGAGUGGGCGGAGGCAAUGUGGCUUAACAGAGGUCAGUGCAGGAUUCGAAGAAGAGGAAGAAGAAGCAGCAGCAGCGGAAGGACAGAAGAAGAGGAAGAAGAAGAAGUAGCAGCAGAAGCAGAAGAGGAAGAUGGAGCAGCUGUUGGGUUUCGUAGUAAUUUCAAAAAAUUUCCUACGCACACGCAAGAUCAUGUGAUGCAUAGCAACGAGGGGAAGAGUAUUGUCUACGUACCCUACGCAGACCGACUGCGGAAGCGAUGACACGACGUAGAGAAAGUAGUCGUACGUCUUCACGAUCCAACCGAUCAAGCACCGAAACUACGGCACCUCCGAGUUCGAGCACACGUUCAGCUCGAUGACGAUCCCCGGACUCCGAUCCAGCAAAGUGUCGGGGAAGAGUUCCGUCAGCACGACGGCGUGGUGACGAUCUUGAUGAACUACAGCAGUAGGGCUUCGCCUAAACUCCGCUACAGUGUUAUCGAGGAAUAUGGUGGCAGGGGGCACCGCACACGGCUAAGGAAUCGAUCACGUGGAUCAACUUGUGUCAACUUGUGUGUUUAGAGGUGCCCCUGCCUCAGUAUAUAAAGGAGCCAAGGGAGGGAGGAGGCGCCGUCCAGGAGGAGGUGGCGCAGGAGGAGUCCUACUCCUACCGGGAGUAGGACUCCCCUCCAAUCCUAUUCCAACUAGGAAUCCCCAAAGGGGAAAGAGGGAGAGGGGUGGCCGGCCACCUCUCCUAGUCCUAAUAGGACUAGGGGAAGGGGGGAGGCGCGCAGCCCCCUUGGGCUGCCCCUUUCUCCUUUCCACUAAGGCCCAUGAUGGCCCAUAUGGCUCCCGGGGGGUUCCGGUAACCUCCCGGUAACCCGGUAAAAUCCCGAUUUCACCCGGAACACUUCCGAUGUCCAAACAUAGACUUCCAAUAUAUCAAUCUUUAUGUCUCGACCAUUUCGAGACUCCUCAUCAUGUCCCCGAUCUCAUCCGGGACUCCGAACUCCUUCGGUACAUCAAAACUCAUAAACUCAUAAUAUAACUGUCAUCGAAACCUUAAGCGUGCGGACCCUACGGGUUCGAGAACAAUGUAGACAUGACCGAGACACGUCUCUGGUCAAUAACCAAUAGCGGGACCUGGAUGCCCAUAUUGGCUCCUACAUAUUCUACGAAGAUCUUUAUCGGUCAGACCGCAUAACAACAUACGUUGUUCCCUUUGUCAUCGGUAUGUUACUUGCCCGAGAUUUGAUCGUCGGUAUCCAAUACCUAGUUCAAUCUCGUUACUGGCAAGUCUCUUUACUCGUUCCGUAAUACAUCAUCUCACAACUAACAUAUUAGUUGUAAUGCUUGCAAGGCUUAUGUGAUGUGUAUUACCGAGAGGGCCCAGAGAUACCUCUCCGACAAUCGGAGUGACAAAUCCUAAUCUCGAAAUACGCCACCCAACAUUGACCAUUGGAGACACCUGUAGUACUCCUUUAUAAUCACCCAGUUACGUUGUGACGUUUGGUAGUACCCAAAGUGUUCCUCCGGUAAACGGGAGUUGCAUAAUCUCAUAGUCAUAGGAACAUGUAUAAGUCAUGAAGAAAGCAAUAGCAACACACUAAACGAUCGGGUGCUAAGCUAAUGGAAUGGGUCAUGUCAAUCAGAUCAUUCUACUAAUGAUGUGACCUCGUUAAUCAAAUAACAACUCAUUGUUCAUGGUUAGGAAACAUAACCAUCUUUGAUUAACGAGCUAGUCAAGUAGAGGCAUACUAGUGACACUAUGUUUGUCUAUGUAUUCACACAUGUAUUAUGUUUCCGGUAAAUACAAUUCUAGCAUGAAUAAUAAACAUUUAUCAUGAUUAUAAGGAAAUAAAUAAUAACUUUAUUAUUGCCUCUAGGGCAUAUUUCCUUCAGUCUCCCACUUGCACUAGAGUCAAUAAUCUAGUUCACAUCACCAUGUGAUUUAACACCAAUAUUCAUAUCUGUAUAUGAUUAACACCCAUAGUUCACAUCAUCAUGUGACCAACACCCAAAGGGUUUUACUAGAGUCAAUAAUCUAGUUCACAUCGCUUAUGUGAUUAACACCCAAAGAGUACUAAGGUGUGAUCAUGUUUUGCUCGUGAGAGAAGCUUAGUCAACGGGUCUGUCACAUUCAGAGCCGUAUGUAUUUUGCAAAUAUUCUAUGUCUAAAAUGCUCUGUACGGAGCUACUCUAGCUAAUCGCUCCCACUUUCAAUAUGUAUCCAGAUUGAGACUUAGAGUCAUCUGGAUCAGUGUAAAAGUUUGCACUGAUGUAACUUUUACAACAAACUCUUUUAUCACCUCCAUAAUCGAGAAACAUUUCCUUAGUCUUUACUAAGGAUAUUCUUGACCAAUGUCCAGUGAUCUACUCCUAGAUCACUAUUGUACUCCCUUGCCAAAUACAGAGCAAGGUAUACAAUAGGUCUGGUACAAAGCAUAGCAUACUUUAUAGAACCUAUGACUAAGGCAUAGGGAAUGACUUUUCAUUCUUUUUCUAUUUUCUGCUGUGGUCGGGAUUUGAGUCUUACUCAAUUUCAUACCUUUGCAACACAGGCAAGAACUCUUUCUUUAACUGUUCCAUUUUGAACUAUUUCAAAAUCUUGCCAAGGUAUGUACUCAUUGAAAAUCUUAUCAAGCGUCUUGAUCUAUCUCAAUAGAUCUUGAUGCUCAAUAUAUAAGUAGCUUUUUACUGAGGUCUUUUCUUUUUAAAGAACUCCUUUAAAACACUCCUUUAUGCUUUGCAGAAAAAUUCUACAUCAUUUCUGAUCAACAAUAUGUCACUCACAUAUACUAAUCAGAAAGGCUGUAGUGCUCCCACUCACUUUAUUGUAAAUACAGGCUUCAUCGUAAGUCCAUAUAAAACUAUAUGCUUUGAUCAACUUAUCAAAGCGUAUAUUCCAACUCCGAGAUGCUUGCACCAGUCCACAGAUGGAUCGCUGGAGUUUGCAUAUUUAGUUAACGCCUUUAGGAACGACAAAACCUUCUAGUUGCAUCGUAUACAACUCUUCUUUAGUAAAUCCAUUAAGGAAUGCAGUUUUGUUUAUCCAUUUGCCAGAUUUCACAAAAUGCGGCAAUUGCUAACAUGAUUCGGAUAGACUUAAGCAUCGAUACGAGUGAGAAAACCUCAUCGUAUUCAACACCUUGAACUUGUUGAAAAACUUUUGCAACAAGUCGAGCUUGGUAGAUAGUAACACUACUAUCAACGUCCGUCUUCCUCUUGAAGAUCCAUUUAUUCUCAAUUGCUUGCCGAUCAUCGGGCAAGUCAACCAAAGUCCAUACUUUGUUCUCAUACAUGGAUCCCAUCUCAGAUUUCAUGGCUUCAAGCCACUUUGCGGAAUCUGGGCUCACCAUCGCUUCUUCAUAGUUCGUAGGUUCAUCAUGAUCUAGUAGCAUGACUUCCAGAACAGGAUUUCCGUACCACUCUGGCGCGGAUCUUACUCUGGUUGAUCUACGUGGUUCAGUAGUAUCUUGAUCUGAAGUUUCAUGAUCAUUAUCAUUGGCUUCCUCACUAACCGGUGUAGGUGUCACUGAAACAGUUUUCUGUGAUGAACUACUCUCCAGUAAGGGAGCAGGUACAGUUACCUCGUCAAGUUCUACUUUCCUCCCACUCACUUCUUUCGAGAGAAACUCCUUCUCCAGAAAGUUUCCGAAUUUAGCAACAAAAGUCUUGCCUUCGGAUCUGUGAUAGCAGGUGUAUCCAAUAGUUUCCUUUGGAUAUCCUAUGAAGACGCACUUCUCCGAUUUGAGUUUGAGCUUAUCAGGAUGAAACUUUUCAUAUAAGCAUCGCAACCCCAAAUUUAAGAAACGACAGCUUAGGUUUCUUGCCAAACCAUAGUUCACACGGUGUCGUCUUAACGGAUUUAGAUGGUGCCCUAUUUAACGUGAAUGCAGCUGUCUCUAAUGCAUAACCCCAAAACGAUAGUGGUAGAUCGGUAAGAGACAUCAUAGAUCGCACCAUAUCUAAUAAAGUACGGUUAUGACGUUCGGACACACCAUUACAUUGUGGUGUUCUAGGUGGCAUGAGUAGUGAAACUAUUUCACAUUGUUUUUAACUGAAGGCCAAACUCGUAACUCAAAUACUCUUCUCUACGAUCAGAUCGUAGAAACUUUAUUUUCUUGUUACGAUGAUUUUUCACUUCACUCUGAAAUUCUUUGAACUUUUCAAAUGUUUCAGACUUAUGUUUCAUCAAGUAGAUAUACUCAUAUCUGCUCAAAUCAUCUGUGAAGAUCAGAAAAUAAUGAUACUUGCCACGAGCAUCAACACUCAUUGGAUUGCAUACAUCGGUAUGUGUUAUUUCCAAUAAGUCAGUAGCACGUUCCAUUGUUCUGGAUAACGGAGUUUUAGUCAUCUUGCCCAAAAGGCACGGUUCGCAAGCAUCAAAUGAUUCAUAACCAAGUGAUUCCGAAAAUCCAUCUUUAUGGAGUAUCUUCAUGCGCUUUACACCGAUAUGACCCAAACGGCUGUGCCACAAAUAAGUUGCACUAUCAUUAUUAACUUUGCAUCUUUUGGUUUCAAUAUUAUGAAUAUGUGUAUCACUACGAUCGAGAUCCAAUGAACCAUUUUCAUUGGGUGUGUAACCAUAUAAGGUUUUAUUCAUGUAAACAGAACAACAUUUUAUUCUCUUACUUAAAUGAAUUACCGUAUUGCAAUAAACAUGAUCAAAUCAUAUUCAUGUUCAACGCCAACACCAAAUAACACUUAUUUAGUUUCAACACUAAUCCCGAAAGUAUACGGAGUGUGCGAUGGUCAUAUCAAUCUUGGAACUACUUCCAACACUCAUCGUCACUUCCCCUUCAACUAGUCUUUGUUUAUUCUGCAACUCCCGUUUCGAGUUUACUAAUCUUAGCAACUGAACUAGUAUCAAAUACUGAGGGGUUGCUAUAAACACUAGUAAAGUACACAUCAAUACCUGUAUAUCAAAUAUACCCUUUUUCACUUUGCCAUCCUUCUUAUCCACCAAAUAUUUAGGGUAGUUCCGCUUCCAGUGACCAUUUCCUUUGCAGUGUAAGCACUCAGUUUCAGGCUUUGGUUCAGCUUUGGGCUUCUUCGUGGGAGUGACAACUUGCUUGUCAAUCUACUUGAAGUUCCCCUUUCUUUCCCUUUGCCCUUUUCUUGAAACUAGUGAUCUUUUCAACCAUCAACACUUGAUGCUCUUUCUUGAUUUCUACCUUCGUUGAUUUCAACAUCACGAAGAGCUCGGGAAUCAUUUUCAUCAUCCCUUGCAUACUAUAGUUCAUCACGAAGUUCUACUAACUUGGUGAUGGUGACUAGAGAAUUCUGUCAAUCACUAUCUUAUCUGGAAGAUUAACUCCCACUUGAUUCAAGCGAUUGAAGUACCCAGACAAUCUGAGCACAUGCUCACUAGUUGAGCGAUUCUCCUCCAUCUUUUAGCUAUAGAACUUGUUGGAGACUUCAUAUCUCUCAACUCGGGUAUUUGCUUGAAAUAUUAACUUCAAUUCCUGGAACAUCUCAUAUGGUCCAUGACGUUCAAAACGUCUUUGAAGUCCCGAUUCUAAGCUGUUAAGCAUGGUGCACUAAACUAUCAAGUAGUCAUCAUAUUAAGCUAGCCAGACGUUCAUAACUUCUGCAUCUGCUCCUGCAAUAGGUCUGUCACCUAGCGGUGCAUUAAGGACAUAAUUCUUCUGUGCAGCAAUGAGGAUAAACCUCAGAUCACGGAUCGAAUCCGCAUCAUUGCUACUAACAUUUUUCAACACAAUAUUCUCUAGGAACAUAUCAAAAUAAACAUAUGAGAGCAACAACGCAAGCUAUUGAUCUACAACAUAAUUUGCAAAAUACUACCAGGACUAAGUUCAUGAUAAAUUUAAGUUCAAUUAAUCAUAUUACUUAAGAACUCCCACUUAGAUAGACAUCCCUCUAAUCCUCUAAGUGAUCACGUGAUCCAAAUCAACUAAACCAUAACCGAUCAUCACGUGAGAUGGAGUAGUUUUCAAUGGUGAACAUCGUUAUGUUGAUCAUAUCUACUAUAUGAUUCACGCUCGACCUUUCGGUCUCUGUGUUCCGAGGCCAUAUCUGCAUAUGCUAGGCUUGUCAAGUUUAACCUGAGUAUUCUGCGUGUGCAAAACUGGCUUGCACCCGUUGUAGAUGGACGUAGAGCUUAUCACACCCGAUCAUCACGUGGUGUCUGGGCACGACGAACUUUGGCAACGGUGCAUACUCAGGGAGAACACUUCUUGAUAAUUUAGUGAGAGAUCAUCUUAUAAUGCUACCGUCAAUCAAAGCAAGAUAAGAUGCAUAAAAAGAUAAACAUCACAUGCAAUCAAUAUAAGUGAUAUGAUAUGGCCAUCAUCAUCUUGUGCUUGUGAUCUCCAUCUCCGAAGCACCGUCAUGAUCACCAUCGUCACCGGCGCGACGCCUUGAUCUCCAUCGUAGCAUCGUUGUCGUCUCGCCAAUCUUAUGCUUCCACGACUAUCACUACCGUUUAGUAAUAAAGUAAAGCAUUACAUCGCGAUUGCAUUGCAUACAAUAAAGCGACAACCAUAUGGCUCCUGCCAGUUGCCGAUAACUUGGUUACAAAACAUGAUCAUCUCAUACAAUAAAAUUCAGCAUCAUGCCUUGACCAUAUCACAUCACAACAUGCCCUGCAAAAACAAGUUAGACGUCCUCUACUUUGUUGUUGCAUGUUUUACGUGGCUGCUACGGGCUUAAGUAAGAACCAAUCUCACCUACGCAUCAAAACCACAACAAUAGUUUGUCAAAUAGACUCCGUUUUAACCUUCGCAAGGACCGGGCGUAGCCAUACUUGGUUCAACUAAAGUUGGAGAGGCAGUCGCCCGCAAGCCAUCUCUGUGCAAAGCACGUCGAGGGAACCGGUCUCGCGUAAGCGUACGCGUAAGGUUGGUCCGGGUCGUCUCGUCCAACAAUACCGCCGAACCAAAGUAUGACAUGCUGGUAGGCAGUAUGACUUGUAUCGUCCACAACUUACUUGUGUUCUACUCGUGCAUAUAACAUCAACAUCAAUAACCUAGGCUCGGAUGCCACUGUUGGGUUUCGUAGUAAUUUCAAAAAAUUUCCUACGCACACGCAAGAUCAUGUGAUGCAUAGCAACGAGGGGAAGAGUAUUGUCUACGUACCCUACGCAGACCGACUGCGGAAGCGAUGACACGACGUAGAGAAAGUAGUCGUACGUCUUCACGAUCCAACCGAUCAAGCACCGAAACUACGGCACCUCCGAGUUCGAGCACACGUUCAGCUCGAUGACGAUCCCCGGACUCCGAUCCAGCAAAGUGUCGGGGAAGAGUUCCGUCAGCACGACGGCGUGGUGACGAUCUUGAUGAACUACAGCAGCAGGGCUUCGCCUAAACUCCGCUACAGUGUUAUCGAGGAAUAUGGUGGCAGGGGGCACCGCACACGGCUAAGGAAUCGAUCACGUGGAUCAACUUGUGUCAACUUGUGUGUUUAGAGGUGCCCCUGCCUCAGUAUAUAAAGGAGCCAAGGGGGGGAGGAGGCGCCGGCCAGGAGGAGGUGGCGCAGGAGGAGUCCUACUCCUACCGGGAGUAGGACUCCCCUCCAAUCCUAUUCCAACUAGGAAUCCCCAAAGGGGAAAGAGGGAGAGGGGUAGCCGGCCACCUCUCCUAGUCCUAAUAGGACUAGGGGAAGGGGGGAGGCGCGCAGCCCCCUUGGGCUGCCCCUUUCUCCUUUCCACUAAGGCCCAUGAUGGCCCAUAUGGCUCCCGGGGGGUUCCGGUAACCUCCCGGUAACCCGGUAAAAUCCCGAUUUCACCCGGAACACUUCCGAUGUCCAAACAUAGACUUCCAAUAUAUCAAUCUUUAUGUCUCGACCAUUUCGAGACUCCUCGUCAUGUCCCCGAUCUCAUCCGGGACUCCGAACUCCUUCGGUACAUCAAAACUCAUAAACUCAUAAUAUAACUGUCAUCGAAACCUUAAGCGUGCGGACCCUACGGGUUCGAGAACAAUGUAGACAUGACCGAGACACGUCUCUGGUCAAUAACCAAUAGCGGGACCUGGAUGCCCAUAUUGGCUCCUACAUAUUCUACGAAGAUCUUUAUCGGUCAGACCGCAUAACAACAUACGUUGUUCCCUUUGUCAUCGGUAUGUUACUUGCCCGAGAUUUGAUCGUCGGUAUCCAAUACCUAGUUCAAUCUCGUUACCGGCAAGUCUCUUUACUCGUUCCGUAAUACAUCAUCUCACAACUAACAUAUUAGUUGUAAUGCUUGCAAGGCUUAUGUGAUGUGUAUUACCGAGAGGGCCCAGAGAUACCUCUCCGACAAUCGGAGUGACAAAUCCUAAUCUCGAAAUACGCCAACCCAACAUCGACCAUUGGAGACACCUGUAGUACUCCUUUAUAAUCACCCAGUUACGUUGUGAUGUUUGGUAGUACCCAAAGUGUUCCUCCGGUAAACGGGAGUUGCAUAAUCUCAUAGUCAUAGGAACAUGUAUAAGUCAUGAAGAAAGCAAUAGCAACACACUAAACGAUCGGGUGCUAAGCUAAUGGAAUGGGUCAUGUCAAUCAGAUCAUUCUACUAAUGAUGUGACCUCGUUAAUCAAAUAACAACUCAUUGUUCAUGGUUAGGAAACAUAACCAUCUUUGAUUAACGAGCUAGUCAAGUAGAGGCAUACUAGUGACACUAUGUUUGUCUAUGUAUUCACACAUGUAUUAUGUUUCCGGUAAAUACAAUUCUAGCAUGAAUAAUAAACAUUUAUCAUGAUUAUAAGGAAAUAAAUAAUAACUUUAUUAUUGCCUCUAGGGCAUAUUUCCUUCAACAGCAACACCGAUGAACUAUCCCCUAUUUAGCCAAUGGCUCUUAAUAAUUUGAACUGUCAUUUGAUUGUAGUUAGGAUGAACUGUCAUUUGUUUAACUAGCUGGCACUAUGUUCAGAUUGUGUGUGGUAAGGUCACCCCUAGUUAGAAGUGGUGAUAACACCUUAUGCAGGUUGCAACCAAACACCAUGUCAUAUGUGCACCUAAUGUAACGCGGGCAACCAAACGCCAGGUUAAAAAUGGUUGUCUCAUGCAACUAGGGGCUUGCAGGCAACCAAACUAUGUGCACCUAUUUUUUUAGCAUGCAUCCCCUCAAACUGCCUCAAUAGAGUCAGGCUCGCCGGGCCAGGCUGAAUCAGCAAUGUAACCAAACACGCCCUUUGGGCAUGUUUGGUUGCCCACAUCGAGCCCACCCAGGCCCGCGCUGGAAGGGAGAGGCCUGUUUGGUUGGUUGGUUUUCCUAUUGGGCCUGCAUCCCACGCUUCUCAAAGUAGCCCAGAGCCUGGCUCACUUGAAACCCUCGGAUCGGUAGUUUCUUGCGAGCCAGGCUGAGUGCGGCACGAGGUCGCACGGGCGGGAGCGAGGCGAGGGCGAGGGGGGAUGGCGGAGAUGGAAAUCUGCCAAAUUAGCCUCACCCCCUUUCACUCGCUCACCCAUAGCCACUGCCCCCCUUUCUUCGCUACUGCCUCACCACCAGCGGCGACUGUGAUUUCAGAUCUACGCUAUAAGCGAUGGCGAUGGCGGAAGAGGCGGCGGCGUUUGCGGCAGAUCUGGUGCUCCCUUUGUUGUUGGCCACCGUCUGGUCGACCUAGUCUGUGCCAUGGCUCCCCCUACGCCGUCCUCGUCUUCGAUGCCGAUAAGCAGCACCCCCUCCCCCCUUUGUUAGCACAGUGGUUAGGGCGCUAAGCUAGGUGUAGGAUCGAUUUCCCACUGAAUGAACCGUCGAUGUCGAUUAGGUUAUGGACGCACGGAUGAGGCUGAUAAUCCAGGCGGCAACACUGAUUAGUGUGGUUCAGGCAUGGGUCAUGUUCAUACACCAGAGAGUUGUUUGUCGUGCUGGGAGACCUUUGUGAAGGAAAUAUGCCCUACAGGCAAUAAUAAAGUUAUUAUUUAUUUCCUUAUAUCAUGAUAAAUGUUUAUUAUUCAUGCUAGAAUUGUAUUAACCGGAAACAUGAUACAUGUGUGAAUACAUAGACAAACAUAUAGUCACUAGUAUGCCUCUAUUUGACUAGCUCAUUAAUCAAAGAUGGUUUUGUUUCCUAACCAUAGACAUGUGUUGUAAUUUGAUUAACGGGAUCACAUCAUUAGGAGAAUGAUGUGAUUGACUUGACCCAUUCCGUUAGCUUAGCACUUGAUCGUUUAGUAUGUUGCUAUUGCUUUCUUCAUGACUUAUACAUGUUCCUGUAACUAUGAGAUUAUGCAACUCCCGUUUACCGGAGGAACACUUUGGGUGCUACCAAAAGUCACAAUGUAACUGGGUGAUUAUAAAGGAGUACUACAGGUGUCUCCAAAGGUACAUGUUGAGUUGGCGUAUUUCGAGAUUAGGUUUUGUCACUCCGAUUGUCGGAGAGGUAUCUCUGGGCCCUCUCGGUAGUGCACAUCUUUAUAAGCCUUGCAAGCGAUGUGACCAAAUGAGUUGGUUACGAAAUGAUGCAUUACGGAACGAGUAAAGAGACUUGUCGGUAACGAGAUUGAACUAGGUAUUGGAUACCGACGAUCAAAUCUCGGGCAAGUAACAUACCGAUGACAAAGGGAACAAAGUAUGUUGUUAUGCGGUUUGACCGAUAAAAAUCUUCGUAGAAUAUGUAGGAGCCAAUAUGGGCAUCCAGGUUCCGUUAUUGGUUAUUGACCAAGAAUAGUUCUAGGUCAUGUCUACAUAGUUGUCGAACCCGUAGGGUCCGCACGCUUAAGGUUUUGAUGACAGUUAUAUUAUGAGUUUAUGAGUUUUGAUGUACCGAAGGAGUUCGGAGUCCCGGAUGAGAUCGGGGACAUGACGAGGAGUCUCGAAAUGGUCGAGACGUAAAGAUCGAUAUAUUGGACGACUAUAUUCGGAGUUCGGAAAGGUUCCGAGUGAUUCGGAUAUUUUCGGGGAUACCGGGGAGUUACGGGAAUACGAGGAAGAAGCAAUGGGCCUCAUGGGCCAAGUGGUGGAAGAGAGGAGGCAGGGCGCGCGGCCCCCCUAGCCCAAACCGAAUUGGACUAGGGGGCCGGCCCCCCUUUCCUCCUUUUCCUCCCUCUCCUUCCUUCUCCUUCUCCUUCCCUUCCUUCCCCUCUCCUACUUGGACUAGGAAAGAGGGGGAAUCCUACUUGGAGUAGGAUUCUCCCCCUUGGGCGCGCCUCCUCCUACUUGGCCGGCCCUCCUCCCCUUGCUCCUUUAUAUACGGGGGCAGGGGGCACCCCAUGACACACAAGUUGAUCUACGGAUCGUUCCUUAGCCGUGUGCGGUGCCCCCCUCCAUCAUAUUCCACCUCGGUCAUAUCGUCGCAGAGUUUAGGCGAAGCCCUGCGCCGGUAGAACAUCAUCAUCGUCACCACGCCGUCGUGCUGACGGAACUCAUCCCCGAAACUUUGCUGGAUCGGAGCCCGGGGAUCGUCAUCGAGCUGAACGUGUGCUGAACUCGGAGGUACCGUACGUUCGGUGCUUGGAUCGGUCGGAUCGUGAAGACGUACGACUACAUCAACCGCGUUGUGCUAACGCUUCCGCUUACGGUCUAUGAGGGUACGUGGACAACACUCUCCCCUCUCGUUGCUAUGCCAUCACCAUGAUCUUGUGUGUGCGUAGGAAUUUUUUUGAAAUUACUACGUUCCCCAACACUUUGAUCCGCUAUGGUCCAUUGUUUCCCCAGGAACAGGAGAGGAUCCAAAAUCUGAACUACAUCUACAACUGCAAUCACGUCGAGGCUCUGUGGAUGCUUAGAAUGAAAAGAGCACCAUUUGCCAGGCUUGUCGAGACCUUCAGGAGCAGGGGCCUGUUACAAGAUAGCAUCAACACCAGUGUCGAAGAGCAAGUGGCCAUGUUCCUCCAUGUUGUUGGCCAUAACCAGAGGUUCAGGGUCAUUCACAACACAUUCAGGAGAUCAAUGGAGACCAUCUUUAGGUACUUCAAGCAGGUGCUUUUUGCUGUUGGGGAGCUUAGAGGAGAGAUGAUCAGGAGACCAUCUGGCUAGAGUCCACCCAAGAUUCGCGGAAGCCCAAGAUGGUAUCCAUGCUUCAAGGUGAGCAUUGACAAUAUACACUUUUCAUGACUUGAUAUGCUUGUAUUGUUCAAGUUCAGCACUAACACAGGCUAGUGAUGCCAUUUUCGGGAUUGCAUUGGGGCAACAGAUGGUACUCAUGUCACUGCCAGAGUUCCUAGGUCACAGUAUGCAACAUACAGGAGGAGGAAGCACUACACAAGCCAGAAUGUGCUUGCUGUUGUUGACUUUGAUCUGAAGUUCACAUAUGUGCUGGCUGGCUGGGAGGGGUCAGUGCAUGAUGCAAACAUUCUCACUAACAGCAUUAGUCGACCUGAUGGGAUCAACAUCCCCGACGGCAAGUUCUACCUUGGAGAUGCUGGCUCGGGUAUUCUUCCACCCUUCAGGAAAACAAGGUACCAUCUCAACGAGUUCUCUGGUAGGAACUUUCCUAGGACUGCACAUGAGUUGUUUAAUCUCAGACACUCCAGCCUUAGAGUAACUGUUGAGAGGGCAUUUGGAGCUCUGAAGAAUAGAUUUAAGAUCCUGGAUCAAAAGCCAUUCCACCCAUACUCCACUCAAGUUAAGCUAGUUCUUGCUUGUUGCAUUCUGCAUAAUUGGAUUCUCCAGUGGGGCUUUGAUGAACACGUGCCUGAGGAGGAAGAGGUCGAGCCUGACGAUGUUGUUAGCUCUGGCCAUGGUGUGGAGGCAUUUGACAACGACGCUUGAAAGAACAAAAGGUUGAAGUGGGCAGAGGCAAUGUGGCAACAGAGGUCAGUGCAGGAUUUGAAGAAGAGGAAGAAGAAGCAGCAACAGCAAAAGCACAGAAGAAGAGGAAGAAGAAGAAGCAGCAGCAGAAGCAGAAGAGGAAGAUGAAGCAGCAACACCGAUGAACUAUCCCCUAUUUAGCCAAUGGCUCUUAAUAAUUUGAAUUGUCAUUUGAUUGUAGUUAAGUUGAACUGUCAUUUGUUUAACUAGCUGUCACUAUGUUCAGAUUGUGUGUGCUAAGGUCACCACUAGUUAGAAGUGGUGACCACAUCUUAUACAGGUUACAACCAAACACCAUGUCAUAUGUGCACCUAACGUAAUGCGGGCAAUCAAACGUCAGGUCAAAAAUGUUUGUCUCAUGCAACUAGGGGCAUGCAGACAACCAAACUAUGUGCAUCUGCGAUUUUUAGCCUGCAUCCCCUCAAACCGGCUCAAUAGAGCCAGGCUCGCCGAGCCAGGCUGAAUCGGCAAUGUAACCAAACAAGCCCUUUGUGAAUCAAGAGGCUGCGUGCUUGUGUUUGAGAGACGUGCCGUUUUCCACGCUAGCUACAAGGUGCCAAAGGACAUGUGGAGUGGGCGAUCGGACGAGGCUGUGGGUGAUGCGUGAGCCCUGGACUCUGCCCGUGGACUGGAGGAAGGAGCACGUGGCUCGCUCGGGCACCGCGAGGCUUCCAUCUUCCAGAAGCCGACCCCAUUUGACCCUUCCCUGUUGCAGGAGGGAGCUGACGCAUACUGCUGACCACUCCGAUGUAAAAAUCGCCCAAUGCAAAGCAUCACCCCCGGGAAUGAAAUUAAGUCAAACAACAUUUGCUCGGCGGGGGUCACGAGAAGGGGACGCGAUCAUGGGUUAAAUUGCACCUUGAUUAAGGGCUUAAGGAGCGGCUCCAUGCCUGCAGUUUCUUGUUCCCGCGCAUAAGGCUCUGAUGCAUAGGGAUCGUCGACGUGCUAUCAAAUACAGUACGUACUCCCUACAAGGAUGAUCUCACCGUGUUUCUCAAUUUUGGUAAAGAAUCCAUGCAACCGUUUUACUUCCAAAUAGGAAGAAGAAUGAAAGGAACAGAUCUGCAUCCAGUUGCAGGCGCUCCUUCUAAUAGACGACGAAUCAAUUCUAUUAAGAUCUUGUUUGUUUGGGCUUUGCUUCUGUUUUUACAGUUUUUUUAACUCUAGCAAAAAGCCAAAAAAUACUUGUAAAUACUCCCUCCGUUUCAAAAUAGAUGACCCAACUUUGUACUAACUUUAGUACAAAGUUGGGUCAUCUAUUUUGGAACGGAGGGAGUACAUCUUUUAAUUCUACUUUUGAUGUAUGAAUCAAUAUUUGUAUAAUGAUGGUAUAAGUCAAAAGCCGAAGCAAAAACCCUAUUUAGGAGCUUUUGUGGCGCAAAUUAACAAAUAGCACGUGUUUUCCCUACCCUAGCCACCGCCACCAGAAAGGCGACUAGGGAGGUGAUCUCUUUCCACCGAUCUCCACCGGCCGAAGCGCUGGCCCCCUCUCUCUCCGGUUGCUGCUCUGGCGGCAGGAGCGAGGGGGGACCCCGUUCCUUCGCUCUGUAGUUAGGUUUUGGAUUUGUAGGUCGUGUGCGUCGUUGGGGUGGUGGGAGCGGCGCCCGGACGAAUAAAUCUGCCUCAGCUUCACUCCCACACCGGCGGUGCCUUUCAUGGCGGUGUCUCGGAGUUGCUGGUAUCGUGUGUCUGUCGAUCUUUCAAACUUGAUAGCGUGUGUUGGCGAGGCGGCGGCGGCGACUCCAUCAUGUGUGUCUCUCCUUCUGCUCUUCCCCGUUGCUGUGAGGUUGUCUCCGGCGUCAUGGUGGAGCAGAGAGGUGUUGUCGUUCAGGAGUACGCACAGAUGGUUGUCUACGCAAGUGACAGCUGGAAGAUGGAGCAUAUUGUGUUGGAUCUGUGGUUGGAGGCUGACAGUUCUGGUUUCCUCCUCCGACGUCGUCGUCAUGCGGGGGUGUCAGUUCUGAAAUUCAAUGGCGUGUCCGGGGACAUGUUGCCCCGGUCUGAUUCUUUCAACGGCUAUGGUUUUGCUUCUGGCAAACUACUUUGGAGGACCGUAAAGCUACUCAUCAGCGAUGGAGCCGUGUCGAGUUUGGGUGAAGAGGUAAUCUGCCUUCUUACCCUUGUGGCAGGAGGAGGCGAGCAACUGAGUGGGAGGCAAGCAACGCAUCGGCCAUCCCGGCGUGGAUCUGGUGUCAAGCCUUGUGCGGAUCCUCGGGGUCGUCAGGCUCGAAGGCGAGCAAGCCGGCGACGGGACUGUUGACCUUCCUCCCGAUGCCCAUGCUCGACAUCAUCCCGUCUCCUACCUGGCGCCGCCGGUGGGAGUCCCUCGCCUGUUGUUGAAGGCACUGAAUCGAUUCAUUCAGAGGAGACAGAUGUAUGUUGAAAGCUAGCUCAAACCACCUUGAUCGAUUGAUCCAGCACCUUGUUGUGAAGCCGGCGUGGGCUAAGCUUGCUCACAUCGAUCCGAUUACAUCCAAUUCGAUUGAUCCAGUAGCUUGCUGUGAAGCCGGCAUAGGCUCACACUUGAUGUUUUUUUAUCUUUGUAUGUGUUGUUUGUUUGAUGUCAGAAUUCAACUCAGUGUAAAUAUUCAGUCAAAAAUGUCGCUGAGAAUAUAGCUACAACUGUUCAUAUUAGAUGAGCUGAACUAAAUCCAUCCGAUUCCAUCUCUUCAACCAAACACUCAAAUAUAAUCAUUCCAUUCCACUCAAUUGUUCCUACCAAACACAUGAAUGGAACCAACCCGUUCCUAUGGAAUGGAACCAUGACAUUCCAUUCUACUACGUUCUCGAACCAAACACAUCCUUAGUGGCCAUUUCGAUAGCGUCGAAGGUGAGGGACAGACGCUGAUAUUUUGCAUAGGAUUCUACUAUCUUUUCAGUUAUGUAAGGUCGGCACUUACGUGCCUUGUAACUUAGUCUUUAUUCUAUAAAUGAGAGAUGUAUACCAUGCAAAAAAAAAAGCUUUCGUACCAGUCAAAAAAAAAAGAGCUCUCGUGACAUUUUAAUCAAAAUAAAAAGCUGUAAAAAUAGAAGCGAAAGUCCAAACAAACAGGGACUAAUUCACAAGACGGGCGGAAUCAUCUUAAAUUGGAUUCCAAUUCCAUGGGGAAUCAUCUUAAAUUGGAUUCCAAUUCCAUGGGUCGACCGGCCGAUGAUUAAGUGAUCGCUACAUAUAGCAGCAUUGACUCUGAAGCUAAUAACAAGGUGACGUGAGCCGUGAGGGCUUAGGCGCAAACUCGGCCGCUCCGAAUAAAUAAAUACCUCGCCCACUGUGGCUGGAGGUAGCGCUGCCGCUCCUCCGACCACCAAACCCAUCUCUCUCACACACAAAAACUCUCUCCCUUGCACAAAAAGAAAAAUAGUCACAAAAACUCCUUCCCUUUUUUCUCCCACGGAGAAACACAUACCCCAAACCGCUUUCCGAGUUUUCUUUUCUCUCCUCUCUCGCGCACGCGUCGGAUCCCCGGCGCCGGGGGGACUCCGCCGGCUCACUCCCACGACUGGCGCGGGCAGAGGUAAUUCGCUCCCCCGCUUCUCGACGAUUUUUUUCCGGGGCGGGGGCGAUAAUUCGGGCUCCGCGGCGAGUAGGAAUCCCGCAGCUCGGAGGCCGGGAUUCGGUUCCGUGGUCGUGGAUGGCCGGCUGGGUGGGUGGGCGGGCGGUUCCGCCUCCUCUCUUCAGGGGUGGGCUGGAGGACGCGAUCAGGCGCAAAUUCGUCGCUUCGACGCUAAGCAAAGUCCAGUUUCCGCGUUUCAUCGGCAAAAAAAAUUAGGUGUCAAGUUUGCUGCGGCGGUUCAUCCCCUCCCCCGCAGGCCGCGGCAGUGGAUUCUUGCCGGUGUUCCUGCUUGAUGAAGCCAAGUUUCCAUCCCCAGAUAUGGGAGGCCCGACCCGACCCCUGUAGGAGAGGAGGACAAGAAGAGUCAUAGUCCAGUAGUAGGAGUACUAGUACUGUAAGCUGUGCAGCUACCGCCGUACACGCACCUGCAUUUUCCUCUUGUGCCGCUUGCCUGGUGCCCGCGCGUCUUGUGGUUGUUGGGGGUGGCGUUGUCUCGGAAACAACCACUUGCUCAUGCUUUUGUCAUGUCGCAUGGAUUCUGCUUCUGCAAACCCGGGCCAUCUGCUUCUCCCUUUCAAUUUUGCUCUGUUUUUUUGUUGCAUUAACGCAAGCGAUUGGAGAGCUAUCAUCAAGUCAGGCGAAUAUGUUUGUCAUGUCAAGUCACUUUCUCUGAAUAACUCACCUGUGUGUGAAUGAAGGUCAAGAGAGUUGCUGAUUUUGCUUUGCUUCGCUGAACCUGUUUGUGGCGUUGCAGUCCUGCUAGGAGCCUCGAGCAGAGCUGACCACGGCGUGCCGGAAUCUUCCGUCGUCCCUCCUCCUGACCAGCUGACUUCCGAUGGGAUGGGGAACCCUCAUAACCAGGCGCCUCAAAGUUUUUUCCUUGGCGCUCUUCGUCUACUUCGACUAUAAGGUGCGGUUGUUUGCUUCUUUCCAUGCUCUUCUUUCGACUUCUGUUGUUCUGGUGGAAGCAGAUUAACAUCUUUCUGAGGUGCAAGCAGGCUGUUCAGAAGAGAGUCCAGUGGGUUAGCGCUGUUAAGAAGAAUGCUAUAUGGGCAAAGACGCACGAGCGAAACGCUCGUCGUGUUCUCAACCUGAUGAUAGAGCUAGAAGGUUUGUGGGUCAAAAUGGGCCAGUAUCUGUCCACAAGAGCAGACGUGCUUCCUGAGCCGUACAUAGAGGUCCUGAAGCAGUUGCAGGACUCGCUUCCUCCACGCCCUCUUGAAGAGGUAUGUAUACAUUAAUUAGUGAAUGGUAGAUUGAAAAAUAAUUUAAUCAUAAGCAUUUCCAUUUUUGUAGCCAACCAAUCUGGCAACAUCAUAUAGCAUGACUUAAUGUAGUUCAUCUUAGUCUUAGUUUUGGUCUGUUGUUUGCAGGUUUGUGGAACCAUAGAAAAAGAACUUGGGAAACCCAUGCGUCAACUAUUUGCUACUUUUGACGUUGACCCUCUUGCGACCGCAUCAGUAAGUCCUGUUGCUCCCAAAUGAACUAUAUUUUCUCUGGUGUAAAUUCAUAGCAUGGUUGAACACUUCUUGACAGAUAGCACAAGUUCAUCGUGCAACUCUGGAAGACGGUAGAGAAGUGGUUGUGAAAGUUCAGCAUGAUGGUAUCAAAGAGAUCAUAUUAGAGGUUCUUUUCUUUUUUCUGGAAAUAGUGUUUGUAAGACAAGUAGGAUUGCUAUUGUAACUUUUCAUCUGUGAUCAGGAUUUGAAGAAUGCAAAAUCAUUGAUCGAAUGGAUUGCAUGGGCAGAACCUCAGUAUGAUUUCAACCCAAUGAUUGAUGAAUGGUGCAAGGAGGCACCCAAGGAACUUGAUUUCAAUCAUGAAGCAGGUAGUUCUCCUUGCUCAGAUUCUCAGGUACAGCAUUCAUAGAGAGGUUAUCAUGAUAAUGUAAGGCGCAAAAUCUACUUUCAGAGAACACUAGGACUGUCUCCAAGAAUCUUAGUCGGAAGACCGAAGGUGGGAGUGGCAGUGUUUCCAGCGAUGUUGAUGUACUGAUACCAGAAAUUAUUCAGGUCUAACUGUCAGCCCGAAUUUUAUUCUGUUUGUCUUGCAUUAGUGUUUGCAAAUCACGUGACCAUCGUCUGACCCAUUCUUCUUUGUAUCAGUCUACUGAAAAGAUUCUAAUUCUGGAAUACAUGGACGGCAUUCGCUUACAUGACAAUGAUUCAUUGGAAGAAUAUGGUGUUGAUAAGAAAAGACUCGUUGAAGAGAUAACCCGUGCUUAUGCUCAUCAAAUAUACAUUGACGGUUUCUUCAAUGGCGAUCCUCAUCCUGGUAUUGUAAUUCUAUGCUUCUUAAGGCAGAUCUUGUGUUACAUAAAUUCUGUUCUCCAAUAUUUCCAUUGGAUUUCUUUGUGUUGCUUUCACACCUUCAUACUAACAUGCUUUUCUUUUUUGUAGGCAAUUUUCUUGUAAGCAAGGAACCUCCACACAAACCGAUUCUCCUUGAUUUUGGGCUCACUAAACGCAUAUCACAAUCAAUGAAGCAGGCACUAGCAAAGAUGUUUUUGUCAUGCGCUGAGGUUUGUAACAGUUUGACCUUACAAAUAAUACACAUGGCAUCAAAGUGCGAAGUCAGUUAAGAGUAUCUUCUGUAGCUAUAAGCAACAAGCAUUUCCUUCGGAGUAACUGUUACCCCUCUUUUGUAUUAUGGUUGAGUCAAAGAAUCAUACUCCCUCUGUCCCAAAAUAGUGUCGCUGAUUUAGUACAAAGUUGUACUAACUCUGUACUAAAUCAGCGACACUUAUUUUGGGAUGGAGGGACUAUCCUUUAAUGUUGUAGAUUUUUUUUCAUGUAAUAAAUAUUGUGGCUCUUUAUCCCUGCAUUACACACCAGUGAUAUUGCAGACUGGUAGAUGACAUGAUACAUUCAACAACUACUCCCUCCGUCCCAAAAUAAGUGUCUUAACCUUAGUGCAACUUUGUACUAAACUUAGUACAAGUCUAGUACAAAGUUGAGACACUUAUUUUGGGACGGUGGGAGUAUAAGAUAAGCAAGAAAGAAUCAGGAACUAGGCUUUGUUUUUGCGACCAUGUAUUUUUCUAUAGUAAAUUAUUAAGUUUCACGCAACACUACGUGAUCAUAGACAGAAAUGUAAAUUUUGUGAGAUUUUUGCUUUAUUGUAUCUUUUGUCGUUUAUUACUAGCUUGCCACUCUUUUGUUUAAACUCUAUAAUUUACAAUCUGAGAUCGAUGUGUAGGGGGACCAAGUGGCACUGCUGUCAGCCUUUGCAGAGAUGGGGCUUAAGCUGCGAGUAGACAUGCCUCAGCAGUCUAUGGAGAUUGCCUCAAUAUUUUUUCGCCAGUCCACUACAGCAACUGAAGCGAAGGUAGGCUGAAGGCUAUCCGUUGUAGAUUUUUGUUCCUAAUACUGCAGGAAGCUGUAGUAACUGGUUGGUUGUGGUUUGUUCCUACUUAUCAGGAAAACAUUAAAGCAUUGAAUGAACAAAGAGAACGAAAUGCCAAAGCCCUUCAAGAGAAGAUGAAAUUGAACAAGAAGGAGGUUAAACAUUUCAAUCCUGUGAGUAGCCAUGCCCAGCUAAUUACUUUCCUUUAAGCUGUGUAGGGUUUGUCAACCAAGAGGCCGGUGUUAAACGUAGGUUUUCUCGCUAUCAGGUUGAUGCUUUCCCCGGGGAUGCGAUAAUUUUCAUGAGGGUCUUAAAUCUUCUUAGAGGUAUGUCUGUCUCUUGAACUUUUGUACAUUCCUCUGAUAUAGCCAGAGUCGCAGUGACAGUUUUCCAUCUAUACCUGCAGGGCUUUCAGCUUCACUCAAUGUUAGGAUAGUUUAUCUGGACAUCAUGAGGCCAUUUGCUGAAUCAACUCUGCUAGGGUGAGAUGCACGUCAUGCCUAUAUUUUGCAUCAGCUUUGUGCGGAUCAUUCUUUUCGAAUUGCUAAUAAUUUAGGCUUCAUUGAUAUCAGGAAUAUGACACGUGGGCCCUCAACUAAUGGCGAGUGGAUUUAUGACUCACCUGUUAACUCUGAAGUGGAGUCUAAACUGAGGAGUCUUCUACUGGAGAUGGGAAGCGACAAAAUUUUGGGACUACAAGUGGGUCAAAAAUCUCAUGCCACUCAUUAACAUGCAUGACAUAACUAGCAAUAUUUUGUGCUGAAAUUUCACAUCACGAUCUUACCAGCGAUAUCUGCACACGGUUGUCUUGUUGCAAUGCAGCCUUACUGAUAUUCCUCUCACAGGUAUGCGCGUACAAAGACGGAAAGGUUAUAAUAGACACCGCUGCUGGUACGCUAGGGAAAUAUGAUCCGCGCCCCGUUCAGCCUGAUUCUCUGUUUCCGGUUUUCUCUGUGACGAAGGGCAUCACUGCUGGAAUGGUACAUUGGCUCGUCGACCAAGGGUGAGUGGUUAAUUUCAGCACCAAGUUUUUUCUUAGCAUGCCACUGUAAAUCUGUUUGCAGGCCAUCGGGCUGCAUUAUGCUGUAGAAUUAGUCGUGCUAUGUGCAAUUUUUUGCUCAUCGUCAUAUUCAUCUUCAUCUUAGUUUUACUCGUACUACAUAAAAAGGGCCUAGAAGUAUAAACAUGGUAGCAUGUUGCACGGAAACAGGUAUACUAUCUCAGUAUACUCAACAUUCAGUGUACUAUGUUGCUGUAGUUUUAGUUGCAGUCUCACUUUACCCUUUCCAUUUCUUCCCUGCGUCUAAAAACGGACAGGGAUCAGGUGACUUGCCCACAGCGAGUCACGCUGUAACUUGCGGGCACCUAUCCAUUUGAUCUGAAAUGGACAGCCCAGAUCAAGUCCAGUAGCAACAAGGACUAUUCAUGAUUUACUCUUCACGAGUUACUGUAGACCGGAUCCUAUAGACGUACACUGUAGCUGCCUCAUUGUUUACGUCGAAUGGUAUAAAGAGGGUGGCAAGUCGCUAUACUGUUCUCCAGUGACUCGCCCACAGCAAGUCACCGACUGAAGGGCACCAUCCCAACCCCACUUCCCCAUGAGAUUUUUUUUUAAAAAAACCUUCCUUCCACCCAAAACCCUAAGCCGCCCCAGACCGUGGCGGUGAUGGAGGUGCCGUCGGAGAUGCUUGACGCCCUGGCAGGAUGGUUCGUGCAGAUGCUCUCCCCCGUCGCCCACCCUGGGCUUCGCGCUUUGUGGAUGUUAUUGGCAGCAUCCACGGUUGGUCGAAAAGAAGUCUCAUACAAAUGUCACACUUUUUUUUGACAUUAUGUAUGUUCUGACGCACCUAAAAGGAUCUGUGCUUCUAGUUUAGGCUUUCUAGCAUCUCAUUCUUAUGUGAAGCAGAUCCUUUGGAUCUCUGACUCUUGUGCAUGAUUCUCUUUGGAGACUACUAAGCAUCUUUUCCAUGUUACCUUAUGCUUUUAUACACUUUAUCUUGUCCAUAUAGUGACUGUAUGCUAUGAUCUUUCAGGAAGUUGAAGUAUGAAGAAACAGUUGCCGAUAUAUGGCCAAAAUUUGGGACUAACAAAAAGGAGCUAAUCAAGGUGCAAAAACUUAUUUCACUUAUGCUAUGUAAUGAGACAGUGUUUCAGGAUACUAACAGACUCAUUUGUCACUUCGCAAUAAAGGUGUACCAUCUUCUCAAUCAUACAUCUGGUUUACAUAAUGCUCUGGGAGAUGUGGUCAAAACCGAUCCUAUGUCGGUAUGUGAUUGGGAAGAGAUGCUAGACCAGAUUGCCAAAUCUACACCCGAAACUGAGCCUGGUUCAUCACAAAUUUAUCACUACCUAUCCUUUGGUUGGCUGUGCGGUGGUCUCAUAGAGGUAUAAUUAAUCUAAGAAAGUUCACUCAUACUGCUUGUGUUAUAACUUAUUUCACGAGUCCUAACACUGGCAUUUGACAAUAACAGCAUGCAUCGGGGAGGAAGUUUCAAGAGAUCCUAGAAGAGGCUAUUGUUCAUCCUCUUCACAUCGAGGGAGAGCUAUAUGUCGGAAUUCCUCCAGGUAUGUUAACAGAUCUAAAAAGAAAGUGUUUAGAUAGUGUACAAUGUAUUUCUUUGGUUUUUCCGUGAUUAUGCAAAUCGUCUUCUAUAUGCUGCUUUUCUUCAGUCUGAAAGAGUCAGAAACAGAAGUACUGGAACAAUGUUUGAAAUUUAACUUCAUGAGAAACGAAAUCCUAGGGAGAGAUUACAGCAUACCUGGAAAUAACACAUUGGAUUACUAAUUCUCCAUAUGUUGAUCAAGACAACUUUGGACUUAGCUUCUGAGAGGCACUUAUUACAAGGCUGACGUUGUUCAUAAUCUGUGCCCUUUUUAGGUGUUGAGUCUCGCCUGGCAACGCUGACCGUCGACAUGGAAGAAAUUCAGAAGCUACAAGGGAUCAAGCCAGGGCCAGACGUCCCACCAGAACUGCUGAGCGGCAUUGCGCAGAUGGCGGCUGGCGUACCAGCUAUGUUCAACACGCUGAACAUUCGCCGCGCCAUCAUACCCGCCGCCAACGGUCACUUAUCUGCCCGUGCCCUCGCUCGGUACUACGCGGCGCUGGCAGCCGGCGGCGCCAUUCCCCCGCCGCACUCCAGCAACGCCAAGCCGCUCCUGGGCAGCCACGUGCACACGCCCGCGUUCCCCACCGCCGCCACGUCCAAGAAGAAGAAGAAAGGCUCUGCAAAGAAGAGCAGCGGAAGCUCAAGCUCGAUGGAGAAGGUCGAGUACGCCCAGCUACGCACCAGCGACGCCGACAGCGAAGUGUCGGUGGCUGCAUCAGGGAGCACCGGCGGCAGGUUGUUCAGCAACAGCGACAGCGGCAUCAUGGACGCGUUCAUGGGCGGCGGCGAGUACUCGGGCAUGAUCCACCCAAACAGCAAGUUCGGGCUCGGGUUCAGGAGGUACGGCAGGUCCGGCGCACCGCCGACGGGGUUCGGGCACUCCGGGAUGGGCGGGUCGAACGGGUUCUGCGACCCGGAGCACGGGUUCGCCAUCGCCGUGACGGUGAACAAGAUGGCGCUGGGGUCCGUCACGCGGCGCGUGGUGCGGUUCGUGUGCGAGGAGCUGGGCGUGCCGGUGCCCGACGAGUUCUCCGUCGCCGGGGAGAAGGGGCCCGACAUGGUGCUCAACCUCGCGCCGCCGGCGGAGUAGGUUGACCUGUAGUAGGAAUUUGAAAGGCACGGCAUUAAUUAACACGGUAGAUAUUUAAUACACACGCGCGGGGGUCAUUUUGACGGGGCGUUUUACACUGUAAAACUUCAGUAGCGGCUUGUACGUAUGGAAAUGUAAUUCUUGAUGUGAAUGAUGGCAGAGAAUCCAAAAUUGGCUCUAAUACGUCAAUUAUUUGUUGAACUUUGCUCAGUGCCGUUACAAAUACUCUCGAUCUAAACGCUCUUAUAUUUCGAGGGAGUACCAGAUUUAUUCGCUACAACUCCCUCUACCAACUGGAGUAAAUAUCAUAGUAACGACAUCUUCAAUGGCAACCCGCAAAUUUUCUUCUGCAUCUGUCUGCGGUAGCUAUCCAACUGUAGCUGCAUAAAUCCGGCAUUCCUCCUUUCCGGCAUUCCUCCUUUCUUUUAAGUCUGCACGGUCAAAUAGCCGCAUACAUAGGGUACAAACGUUUAGGUAGCCGCAUGUAGAAGUAGUUCAAAUUUUAAAAAGUUCAAACAUUACAUUGUUUUCCCUUUUAACUGUCCACUAAUGGUCAAUCAGAUCUUCCUUCAGCUGCCCGUGAGUUGGUCGAUGCCGAAUUUGUUGAUGCAGAAGUAGUUCAAAUUUAAAAAGUUCAAACAUUACAUCCCAACAUAUUGUUUUCCCUUUUAACCGCCCAUCGAUGGUCAAUCAGAUCUCCCUUCAACUGCCUGUAAGUUGAUUGAUGCUGAAUUUGUUGAUGCAUUUGAAUAAACUCUUCAAAUGUGGCCGGAUUUUGGUCAGGAAGUUGGAUAGAAUUAUUCAUGUUCUCAAAUUCUAGAGCUGCGGCAGAAUUGCCACCUCGUCCUCGACGAUCAUGUUGUGCAUGAUCAUACAACAUGUCAUCACCUCCCACAAGGUCUCCAGAUCCCAUUGUUUAGCAGGUCCACGAACAGGUGCAAAACUGGCCUGCAGAACUCCAAAUGCCCUCUCGACAUCCUUUCUAGCCGCUUCUUGUUUUGGGGUGAAAUGAGCCUUUUUUUGGCCAACUAGGUUAGAGAUGGUGCUGACAAAGGUAGCCCACGGAGGAUAGAUACCGCCAACCAGAUAGUAGCCCAUGUUGUACUCAUGUCCACUUACAGUAUAGUGGCAAGGAGGAGCUUUUUCUUCAGUCAGCCUCCAAACAACGGUGAUCGCUGGAUCACAUUGAUGCUAUUGUGAGACCCGGGCAUGCCUAAGAAAGUGUGCCAAAUUCAAAGAUCAUGUAAUGCAACUACUUCAAGAAUGAUGGUGGCCUUCGCUUCUCUGCCUCUGCCUUGGGGGUUGUGUGAUCCAAGGCGGCGGCCCUAGUCGGAGUGGCGUCACCGGCCUGCGUCAACCGGUGGCGUGGGCGUGGGCCGACGACCUUGGUUGUGUGGACGAUAGGCGAACCGGAAGGACGAGAGCCAUGGCGCGGCGACAACUUUGGUUGUCGGUGGUGUCAGAUCUGGCCGCCCCUGUCGUUGGGCAAGCUCCGCCCUGGCCGGAUCCGGUAUGCUUCGACGAGGGGCGCCAGAUCUCGCAUCGUUGGGGUGCAGGUGGCAGGAAAUCGAAGGCCGGGAGAAAUACCAGGCCGACCUCGACUGUCUCGUCGGUGGCGACGCCCGAGGGGGGGCGCUCCCUUCCUUGGUGGCGUCGCUUAGGUGUGCUGCUUUGCCCCCUUCCCCCUAGCCUCUCGGGAGAAAUCCACAUCUCAGUUGGGCGACAGUGGCGUCUUUAGUGUCGCGUCUUUCCCAAAGGCACCGUUUUUGGGAACUAGGAGGGCUUUGGACUUCUUGGUGAUGUGGUUGGUGUGCAGCUGUGGCGGUAGUUGGUCUCCAUCGAGGUUGCGAUUUCCUUAGCGGCUCGUUGCAUUUUGGGAGCUCUCCAGGCAGUCGAGGUGAGUCUCGCCAGGUCAAUGGAUUCUCCUAGGUGGGAGGGAAUCAUGUUCCCCUCCUCCGGUAGCCCACAUCCCAGCGUGUCGUGAGAGCAUAAGCUCCACCUUCGGUCAAUGCCCUUCGGUUCUCAAUGCCAUCCAGGGAAAUCUUGCUAUUGCUCUUCCCGGCAACUCUUCCUUUUUCAUGACCAGUCUGUGCGGUUCGGUGGUGCUCUGCCCUGGUGAACCGUUUGUGGCUUGUCAGGUGCUCUGCUUUGGUGAACUAUUUUUGUGGCUUGUUGGGUGAGCUUGGUUCCUUUCCAGAUGUACCAUGUCGACGACUAACUCCUAGGUUCUAGGGUGAACUUCUCUUGUCAACCGUGUGGCGCCUUUCAAGACAGGCGAGUUAGCAGGGGCCUUCUUUUACAAUGGAACUAGGCGGUUGUGUUGCAUCGGGGCCGCUGGUGAUUAGGCGACGACAUGCCCUUCUUCGUCGGGUGUGUUGCUCCGGUGCGGGCAUUCUCCUUCUCCCCUCGCGAUUUGUUCAUGCUUGAGGACCUCUACGUCUUCGAGCUAUGCAUCUCCCUGUAUUUCCUUUUAAGCUGCUUACCAACGCCUCUCUAUCUUGCCGUUUAUUUUCUUUAUUGUAUUGGUUUCGAGUCUGUGCUCUUGACCGGUUGAUGGCUUUGCUAAUUCAAAGCGGACUCUUCUUAAGCUUUCCGUUCUAAAAAAAAAAGAGUAUUGUUAAUAUAUAUCGGAGAGAGUAUUGUAAAUUGACUUGCCAUAUGUUUAGAUUAAAAUUGCGUAUAUAAUGUACACAAACAAUUUCUGAUCUAUGAAAUUAAUCGCAUCCACCACUGCCACUGCUGCCCGGGAGGCAGCGCCAGCCGUCGGCCGACACUGGCGCAUGCCUGAGUGCUCUGUUUUUUUAGGCAAUUCAGUGCUCUGCUUUUUUUGAGGGUAAUUCAGUGCUCUGCUAUGCCCCCACUGGGUGGGGGCGGAGCUGGGCCCGGGCUCAGUCGAAUAUCGGCGUGUAGUGCCCAGCACAGCCCAAUCAAACGGAGGCACAAGACUGCAUGGGCUGGCCCAUCUAGCGAUCCACACACGCAACCUGUCUCGCACGACGCUCGCGACUAACUUCCACGCCGCCGCCGCCGCCCACUACCGGCGUCGUCGCCUCCUCAUCCACCUUCUGGAACACACACAGCGUCGUCCAGUCCACAGACUCCACGCCCGCUGACAGCCCGGCCCCCACCCGCCCCAUCCAAUCAUAUCAAAUUGAGCGCCCAUCUGACUCUCUCCAUCUGUAUCUCUAUCUAUCUUUCUCUCUCUCUCUUAAAGUCGCGUCCCUUCCGACGGAACCGACGCCACCGCAGCAGAGCAUCAAACGGUUUGCGCCCCCGUGACUCUCUUUUCUUCAACGGGAACUCGAGGACACGCACCGCCGCAUCUGCCUCCUCCUCCUCCUCCCAGCGCGAUGGCUUCCGGCGUCCACGCGGCGGCGGACGGCGUCGCCGCGCUCGGGAUCUCCGCCGGCGCCGGCGAGUGGGCCGAGCCGUGCCCCGCACUGCGCCGGAACCUGCACCUCCUCUCCCACGACCAGGUAACUAAUUAUCUCACCCCGCCGCAUCCUCAAGCAAGCAGUCAUUCGUAUACUAGUACCAGCAGCAUAUCUGCGUAUGCGCUAGUCGUACUAUCCUGUAACCGUUCGUUCCUAAUACUAGUUCAGUUUUUCUUUUGGAAUGCUUUAUCGCGCAUACUUGAAACAAACAUUGUGAGUUGCGUAACGCCAUGGACGGCGGAGUUCGCGGAAUUUCUUAGGAUUCGGCGCAGCAUAUAGUAUCUUAUAAUUUAGCGCUGGCUGGUAGUGGUACGGCCAACUACCUCGGCCUAGUUCCCUCACGUGGCGAUGGUGAUGGCUUGCUGUUGCCCACUCCUUGCAGGUUAAAAGGCCUUUUACAAAGUGCGAUUUUGUCCUUGCUGUACUUCAUCCUGCACUACCAAAUCUGAACAUUGACUUGACGGGCAGUGCAUUGCACACUUCGAAUUUGUGCCUAGAAACUGAUAAAUUUUGAUCGGAACCGCGAUGGAUUAUGCACAUUGUUUGGGUUUGUGUUCUUCUCUGUAAUACCUUUUCUUUUUGCCUCCUGGGUGAUUCCAGGUUGAACUUGCAAAGAUGCUGCUGAAUGAAGGCCAGGGGCACUUGUUUGAACACUGGCCAGAACCUGGUGUUGACGAUGACAAGAAGAAAAACUUCUUUGACCAGGUGGGUAUCUUUGUUGUAUCUCCAUGAAGUAUUUCAGAAUUUAUGUUACAUGGACGUGCCUACCAAAAAAAAUAUAUAGCAGUUACUUUGUUGUGAUAAGCUUUAAUAUUAUAGGCACUUGUCUGUUACUAGCUUUCUGUUGGAAGUUAACGAAUUUCACAGGUAGAAGUGAUACGAAGUUAAAUAUUGUUAUUUUCCUGCUAAACGUUUUCAUUUUCUAGGUUUUCCGACUUAAUUCAAGCUAUCCUGGUGGGCUGGCAGCAUACAUCCAGAAUGCCAAAAAGCUUUUAGCAGAUUCAAAGGCAGGACAAAAUCCAUAUGAUGGUUUCACACCUUCUGUAAGUCUUGCCAUGCACCAUUUUCUCAUGGAUUUUGUUGGGGUCUUCAUACGCACUUGUGUUGUUGUGAUGUUUUCAGUUCCGAAUACUCAAUUGCUCCUUUUCUUUCCGGCUCUGAACCAUUGCGUACUGAUAUGCCUCUUUAUUAUCUGAACGAAGUACAUGGUGUUAACAGAUGAACUGUAUUUUCAGAUUCCCUCAGGGGAAGUAUUGACGUUUGGUGAUGACAAUUUUGUUUCGCUGGAAGCAGCUGGGGUAAAAGAAGCACGCAAUGCUGCAUUUGUUCUUGUAGCUGGUGGUCUUGGUGAAAGACUUGGUUACAAAGGAAUUAAGGUAACGUGGCUUGAGUUCCUGAUAGUAUACUUGCAGCCAAGACUUGGAAAGACUGUCAUGUUGAUGUAUCACAGUUGAAAUUUUGUAUUCAUGAUUUGCAAGGGUAGCAGGUAUAUACAUCAAUUAGCUCUUCAGAAUCAUGCUUUAGAGCAUCCAUUUCCCUAGGUGUUAAGCAGACGCUAAAGGCAGAGAAACUGGCUAGCACCAAUGCUAAAGGAUGCAAGAAUAGGUGCUAAGAGAAAAAAAAAGCUUAGCAUCAAUGCUAUGCCAAAUAAAUUACUUUUAAUUAGCUUAUCUAUAUGAAAUUGUAAUUUAAAUGACAAAACUGAAAGAACUUAGCAUUGGUGCUAUGGGAUGUGGUAGAAAAAACUUACAUAAGUGUAUAUAGAGAAAUGUGAUUUAUCCACCUUGGCACUUAAUUUAGAGAAAAAAAUGGGAUGUGGGUGCUCUUAGCAGAUAUAUUGUUUUGCAGUCAUGCAGCUGUGGUACUGAUCGUGUUAUUUUAUUAGAAUAUUUCCACUUUCACACACUAUGUGCUACAACACAUUUUUAUCAUUUGUUGGAUAGCAGUAUCGCACAUCGUGCCAAACACAGAACCUUUGCUUUUGGACUGUACAUCAGGUGAUUUGUGUAGGUCUUAUUUCAUCCUGUAAUUACAAUUUGAACACGUAGCAUAUUCCCUAUGGAGAUCUGUUAUUUUGUUUGGUGACAUUGACAUCAAGCAAACUUCUGAAAGUACCAUUUUGUUAACUAUUUCAUCGCACAGGUAGCACUCCCCAGGGAAACAACCACUGGGAAAUGUUUUCUUCAACAUUACAUAGAGUCUAUUCUGGCUUUACAAGAGGCGAGCUGCAAAAUGGAGGGUAUGUAGACUAUGAUGCUUGCCAUUGUUGAUUAGUUUUCUCACCAAUACUUCGUAUACUUCCUAUGAUACUUGUCACUGUUGAUCAUUUCACUCUAGUUUAACAUUUUCCUGAAAUGAACUACCAUUCUGUAGAACGAUGAUCUUUGUAUUGUUUUCAUUACUAUGGUUUCUGUUGGUUGGUGUGGGUGCCCGAAUGGGCUGACUUGAGCUCGUAGAAAUAGCUUGAAUGUAAAAAAAAAGGGAUGUUGUUCAAAUAUAUAUCACUUAGUAUGUGAGGCUGAGGUGCAUCAUUGGAUUGGUACUGCUAAUUUCAUACUGCCUCCGAUCAUAAUAAGUGUCGCAGUUUUGAGCUAACCCUUAUUUUGGAUCAGAGGAAGUAUUUUUUACUUAUAUAGACUAUACCAAGAUGAACCUAGGACAAAUUAAAGACCUCAAUCAGAUAAGUUAAACCAGUUUUGUUUGGUCUCUGGUUUCUAAAUUCAGUCUGUACAUUGAUACUCCCUCCGUAAAGUAAUAUAAGAGCGUUUAGAUCACUACUUUAGUUAUCUAAACGCACUUAUAUUAGUUUACAGAGGGAGUAGAAUGCAAUUCUACCUCUCCUUUUCACAACCUUAUAGAACUUUAGACAACACGUUGGAUAAAUGUAUAUGAUGGUUUCUUGUGAAUUGCUCAUAGAGCAUGAUUUUAACUGUUUAUUUUAAUUAUUUUGAAAUUCUUGAAUUUAGGGCCUGAAGAAAAUCCAGACACUGCUUUAAUUGAUUAAUUUUUCAUUCUUUGAGUAUGCAGGCGAAUGCCAUACGAAGAUCCCGUUUGCUAUUAUGACUUCCGAUGAUACAAAUGCACUGACCAUCAAGCUUUUGGAAUCAAACUCAUAUUUUGGAAUGGAACCAUCACAAGUGAAAAUUCUAAAGCAGGUGGCCUUUUCUUCCAUGAGCUUCUUAGGGCUCAAAAAACAUACACAGCUGUUACUUUUGGUGCUGACUAAUGCUUAUUUGUUUUAGGAAAAGGUGGCAUGUCUAGCUGACAACGAUGCAAGGCUUGCAUUAGAUCCAAAUGACAAAUACAAGAUUCAGGUUGCUAAUUUCAUAUGAUCGCUUAUACUGGGGUUUAAAAUGUAUUACUGUUGUUUUCAUCUUCUCGAGUUUGCACUUCUCUUACUUCUAGUUUUGUGAUUCGGCAGACAAAACCACAUGGGCAUGGAGAUGUUCAUUCUCUUCUUUAUUCAAGUGGAUUACUCGAGCAAUGGUAUGCCUGUUGGUUCAAGAACUGGAUGUAUUUUUUCGUUGAACAAACUUUCUGUAUGAGACAAGUUGCCUUUUUGAAGGCAAUUACUUGUAACUGUUAUCAUUGACUCAUUUGAAAUAGUUUAGUAAAGUAAUCAAUCAAAAUUCUACCCUACACAAGAAAAUAUUAGGAUCUUUUUUUUAUAAUACUUCACAUUAUAUUGACAGGAAGAAUACAGGACGGAGAUGGGUUCUCUUUUUCCAGGACACAAAUGGAUUGCUCUUUAAUGUUUGUACACUGCCUUUUUUCUACUGUAUUAUAAUUACGAAUACUGUAGAGAGCCAGGAACUUAGUUCUACCAUCUUUUUGUAGGCAAUACCAUCAGCAUUAGGUGUCAGUGCCACCAAAGGCUACAAUGUUAAUUCUCUUGCAGUUCCUCGAAAGGCAAAGGAAGCCAUUGGUGGAAUAACCAAACUUACUCAUGUUGAUGGUAAAUUUUCACUUUCACCAUAUUUUUUUACUGACUUUCACCAUAUUUAAUGGGUAUACAUAUAUGGAAAUUUUGAUGCUUUUCUGACAACUGGAUCAAUAAUAUUAUGAAUCAAUAGUGAUUGCAGAUUAUAUCAGUACUACUGGAAUCAACAAAAAGUACCUUUAUAUUUGUCCAAAAUAUCUAUGUGAUCCCUAUUCUUCAGCUUGUUCUGUGCUGCCAUCUAACAUAUCAAUUCUGACGGAAGAAUGCAUUUUCAUGUGUAUUUAUGUUCUGUCAAAUUUGACUUGGAUCCGUUCUUAUAUGUAGGUAGAACGAUGGUGAUCAAUGUGGAGUACAAUCAGCUUGAUCCACUCCUUCGUGCAACUGGGCAUCCUGAUGGAGACGCAAAUUGUGAAACAGGCUAUUCUCCAUACCCUGGAAAUAUAAACCAGGUAAUAUUGCAAACAGAUAUAUUAGAACAGUAGGGAUGUGUCAACUUCCAAAUGACCCUUUUCUUCAACAGGUCUUAAACACUGAAAAUUUGGUGCUUAACAUGGCCUGUUUAUUUAAUAUCAUCAGUGUGAUCUUUUAGUCUAGUAUCAAUACUUCGUUGUCAGUUUUAGAAUGCAUAUUGUCUUGGAGCUUCACCUUCUUGUUAUGCUAACUUUAUGCCACCCUUUUGCAGCUGAUACUCGAGCUUGGACCAUACAUUGAGGAACUCAAGAAAACACAUGGCGCCAUUUCUGAAUUUGUAAAUCCAAAGUAAGUAUGCUGCCAUGUGCUGCCUCCAAAGAUGUAUUUUACAAUGCUAUUAGGGCGACAAGUAUGUGGCCAAUUUCCAUUCAGUGGUGUAAGUUGUUUCUUUCAGUGGUCAUUUAAGGUUGGGAGAAUGAACUUGCUCUUGGUUUUGCUCUUUCUUUCUUUAACCCAAUACUGUUUUACUUUAUACAGCUCUUUUUAUAAAAAUAUUUCCUUUUGUUGGUGUUGACUUCAAUAGUGUACAUAAAGAUAACAUGUGUUUUUGUAGUAUCUUUGUAGAUGCAUCAUUGAUUAAAAGUUUAUAACUAAUCUCACAAGCACAGUAUACUAUUCUUAAUGCCGUUCAUAUGUCCCAAUGUGAUAUUGUCAGUUUUGUUGACCACAACUUUGUGUAUCUUAUACUAGUCUUAAUGCCGUUCAUAUGUCCCGAUGUGAUAUUGUGAGUUUUGUUGACCACAACUUUGUGUAUCUUAUACUAACUUUAUUAUACUUUUGUCAUUUUAUUAAUUUAGGUAUACUGACUCUACCAAGACAGCAUUUAAAUCCUCCACUCGUCUUGAGUGCAUGAUGCAAGACUAUCCGAAAACACUACCUCCAACGGCAAAAGUUGGGUUUACGGUAAGAAACAACAUAUCUUCUCAUCAUACUAUGGUCCUUAAAUUGAUCAUGUUAGUAAUCUGGUUAUAAUUGAGAUGCAAAAGAAAAAAGGUUUUCUCUUUGGGUGCAUGUUUCACAUCCCUUACUGUCAUUCUUUGCCAUUUUUAAUGUAGGUGAUGGAUGCUUGGCUUGCAUAUGCUCCUGUAAAGAACAAUCCUGAAGAUGCAGCUAAAGUAUGAUUUUGGCCGUUCCUAACACUGAAAUUUAUAUACUGCGUUUUGCAUCUGUACUUUUGAACUUACAUAUGAAGAAUUUAUGCUUGGUAAGAAGAGUGUUUCUGGGUUUGCUCUUAGUCUAUGCCCAGUUGAUGAAUCAUGAUCGAGGUUGAAGUGUGUAUGCUAAUAGACAUGUUAGUUGACAGUAUUAAAUUUGCUUUGUUGUGACACUCUGAGAACCAAAGUUUCUCUGCACUUUUGAACUUGCACAUGAAGCAUUUAUGACUGAUAGGACGAAGACUUGCUCUGAAUUUAUCUGCUUGCAUUAAUGAAUGAUGAUCCUGGUUAAAGUAUGUAUCUCAAUAUCCAUGUUAGUUGUCAGUAUCGAUAUUGCCUCGCUGCGACACGUUGAUAACUAAAGUUCCUCUUCACUCUUUGAUGGUGCCAUCUGUAUUCCAUACGCACAUUUAUGUCACUAUCCUGAGUUAAAAGUUUGCUAGAGGCUGCUAUUUUUAAUUAUAAAGAUAUCGUGUAAGAAUCGUAGUUCGAUUUCUAAGCAGUCUCUGAUACACCUUUUUGUAGGUUCCAAAAGGCAAUCCUUUUCAUAGUGCAACCUCAGGAGAGAUGGCAAUUUACAGGGCAAACAGCCUCAUUUUAAGAAAGGUGAUGACAUUACCAGGCACUUGCUCGUCAGCUUGUUUGCGUUCCAGCUCAACAAGCUCCUUUCCACACCCUUUCUUUUUCCAGGCCGGUGCACAGAUAUCUGACCCUGUAGUCAGCACUUUCAAUGGUCAAGAGGUAGAGGUCUGGCCACGCGUGACCUGGAGCCCGAGGUGGGGUCUUACGUUCAAGGACGUCAAGCAAAAGGUGCACGGCAACUCUUCAGUUUCUCAGAGAUCGGUUCUGGUCAUCAAUGGCCGGAAUGUCGUCAUCGACGGUCUUUCCUUGGACGGCGCUCUUAUUGUCAACUCGGUCGACGAAGCAGAGGUAAGACGGUAACACUGUUAACCUAGAGAACUACCAAUUUUUUCUAUGUGGUUACCGUCAUCCUAACCAUGAAUUCUUUGGUGUUGUGCUUGUUGGCAGGUCAAAGUCACGGGUCACGUGGAAAACAAAGGCUGGAUCAUCCAGCAUGUCGACCACAGGGACACCUCGGAGAAGGAAGAGACGAGGAUCCGCGGGUUCAAGUUUGAGAAGGUUGAGCAGCUGGAGGUGAACUACACCGAGCCGGGAAAGCAUUGCCUGAGCCCAUGAAGGGGCAUGGAUGGCUGGUGGUUGACAUGGUCCCUCUGCCAAUUUGCAGCUGGAAAUAGUAAGUACAUUACAUUGUCCUCCCAGAAUUGGGUGGCCUUCAUUAUUAGUGUCAUGUGAUAAUAGCAAUAAGCUGGAGCCAUUUCUUUGCCUUCCAAUGUAAUACUGUACUAAUAAGAGCAAAGCUGCUUCAGCAACCAGGCAGUCACCGACUCACCGUUGCUCAUGUAAAUUUGUAUGGAUAUUUAUUUAUAGUCAUCGUUUGUUUCUUCUUUAUGUAAAGUAAACAAUGUUGAUAUUUCAUAUUGGGGUUUGAGGCUGGUAUACUCAACUCUUUGCACCGAAGAGAACAAAAUCGCUGAGGUUGUUGAUCUUGCUUCCAAGCAUGGUGGCCCUCUCCGCGGCGUGCAUAAUUGAUAUUUUCUUCUUUAUUUUUUUGUAAAGUUUGUGGGAUAUUUAUGUGUUAAGAAAGUCUUACAUUAUGGGACGGAGGGAGUAUGUGUUUCUUGGCGAUUUUGAUGCUUAAUAAGAUAUUAAGAUGGCAAGGGAGGGAGAUGUGUGGCUGUGCCAUGCCCAUGGAAAAGAGCUGGGCUUUUUCUUGAUAAAGAAUAGGAAAAGCUGGAUGAGGACCAUGCCUGCUUGCCAUUGCCGUUGUCCCCUUUGUAGAUUAGAUUCUUAUAAAGCAUCAGCCUCUUAAGUCCACACGAUCAGAUCACCAUUUUUGUCCCCUAAAGGAAAAUGAGAUCGCUGCUGUACCUUCUUUAAUAUUUGCGCACAGACUCGGCGGUGGUACACGUGUUAUGAAUUUGGGAUUUUGCCAUCCAGAAAUGCUGGCAAGAAUUGGAAGCAAUAAUAAUUGAGAGGAAGAGACGAGUCAUGGCAAAGAUAGUCGUGCACGAUUGCCAGAUUGGGUAGCUGUCAGCAUUUUGGAAACAAAUAAUUGGCCCUGAACCAGGCAAAUCCAUGUAGCACACCAUACAUAAAUCAAUCAAUCAACCAAGAGAAAUACAGAAAGGAAACCUUCUUAAUUUUAUACCUAUUGCAAAAUUUUUUUUUUGCAAAACACCAAACGAAGAACAUGACAGAAGGAAAAAAACUUAUUAAAAAGGAGGAGAAUAAUAAAAAACAAAAAGAAAACAAACUAGACAGACAGGCAGUGCGACUUCCUGCUACCUAGAGCGGCACGGGCCGGGGCAGGCCCUAGGGAGGAGCCCAUGAGCGGCCCGGUGAGCGGGCAGAAACCCUACCCCCUCCCGUCCUCGCCUCGCUCCACUACGCCCCCAGGGACCCCUUAAAAGGCGGCUCUCCCCGCCGCCGCCCAAACCCUCUGUUUUUCUCUCUCCUGCCAAUCCCCUCACCGCCUCCGCUCCCACGCCGCCGAAUCCGAGACCUGAUCUCGGAUUCACCGCAGCGCGACCAAACCCUCAGGCGAUCCCCGGCACCUCCUCCCCGACGCUUCAGGUCCAAUCCCACUCUCCCUCUCUCUCCCCCGGUGCCGUGUCUCGCUUCUCUUCGUCGCCGUGGCCGCCGCGCCGCGCCGAUCUGUGCGUGCGGGUGAUUUUUGUCGGAUUGGGCGGAUCUGGGUCGCUGUAGGGCUGGAUCUGCGUCGGUUCGGUGGGCGAAGCUAGGUUUUCUGCGGCGGAGGCCGCGGUUUUAGGGUUAAGCUGUUUGUUGACGCCGGUACGGGUUCCCUGCAGCCGAUAGGAUCGGUAGCUUUCGCUGUUUCGGCUGAUGAUAUGUUCUGUUAUGCAGGAUUCUAUUUAUUUUGGUCGCGAUGCGCUUUAGCUGUUGAGUUAUUGAUUUGUUAUUACUCUGCGAAAAAACUUGUGUAUGUAGCUGUAUCCGGCUUAUAUGAAGCUGUACUUAGUGGUGCUGUCCUGUGUUUUGGUGCUCGGUUUGCUGGAUGAGCUUGUGUGCUCACUUAGCUGAAAUUGUUUGCGGUAGCUGUGAGGGCAGUUGUAGUUGGCAAGCUCUGCCUAGUUAUAUCGAGCACGAGAGGAAAUAGUUAUGUUUAGUUAUUCUACUGUUGCUUCUCUUGCCAAUCUGCAAGGAAGUGUCAAGGGCAAGUUUUUGGCCUGUGUCUCUCAUCUGUUGCAUAUGAAUUCUUUUCUGGUUUGUAUAAGUUUGCAAUCGAUUCAGUGAUAUUAACUGGGUUCUGUGUAGACCUGUCCAUACACACAGUGAUUUAUAUGGAGUAGUAUCAGAUGUUUUCGUUUCUCUUGACCAUCCUGUUGAUGUUAUCUUCAUACACUACAAUGUAUUUUCUGAUUUCCUGUUGUUAAUUAAGCUUCAACGUGUUUUAUUGCACCUCUCUUUUCACCUUGUUUGUUUGAGCUGACACAUUUUAUUUCCGCUACAGCCAUGGCAGGAAUGGCACCGGAAGGUUCCCAGUUUGACGCUAAGAACUAUGAUUCUAAGAUGCAGGAGCUGCUGUAAGUAAUCUAAACAUUCUUUCGUUUUAUAGCUGCUCAUUGUUAUGAGCUGCUUGCCAACCCUGUUUUUGCUGUUUGAUUUGUGUAUUAUCUUCUUACCUAUGCUCCUUAAAUCUUAUACAGGAACCAAGGUGAGACUGAGGAGUUCUUCACCUCUUAUGAUGAAGUUCAUGAGAGCUUUGAUGACAUGGGUCUCCAAGAGAACCUCCUCAGAGGAAUUUAUGCUUAUGGUACUGUGCCUGUUGUGUUUUAUUGUUUUGUCCUACUUCAUUGGUAUUCUUCAUCUCUCAUGAACAUUGUUUGUUCUGCCUACAGGUUUUGAGAAGCCUUCUGCCAUCCAGCAAAGGGGAAUCGUUCCUUUCUGCAAGGGGCUUGAUGUUAUCCAGCAAGCACAAUCUGGAACAGGAAAGACUGCUACUUUCUGUUCUGGAAUCCUCCAACAGCUUGACUAUGGUUUGGUUGAGUGCCAGGCCUUGGUCCUUGCUCCCACCCGUGAGCUUGCACAGCAGAUUGAGAAGGUCAUGCGUGCACUUGGUGACUACUUGGGUGUGAAGGUUCAUGCAUGUGUUGGAGGAACCUCAGUUCGUGAGGACCAAAGGAUUCUUGCAAGUGGAGUGCAUGUCGUUGUUGGUACUCCUGGUCGUGUGUUUGACAUGCUCCGCAGGCAGUCUCUGCGCCCUGACAACAUCAAGAUGUUUGUCCUUGAUGAAGCUGAUGAGAUGCUUUCCCGUGGUUUCAAGGAUCAGGUCAACACUCUUAUGCUCUUAAUCUAUAUUGUAUUUCAUCUGCCAUACUUCACAUCUUAUUUAUCUGACACUAUCAUUGCAACUAAUUUAAUUGAAAGGAGGCAUUAAGUUAAUGCUCAGUAUUAUGUCCCAAGUUUCCUAUGCCUGUUGAUAUCUAUAUAAACCUUAUCUUAGAUGAUCACUAAUCAGAAAAAUUCUGACAAGUUAGUUAUAAAAUAUGUUUACUGCUCUGUGUAUGCUCUGUUUGUUUAAGCUGGUCCAUUCUAUGUUUGCUUUGUAUGGUAUUUGUUGUGGUUAUUUUUGUUCAAAUUUCUGUUCCUUAUUUUAAGCUUUGGGUAUUGAUCUCCAUUUUGUUAUACUUGCAGAUUUAUGACAUCUUCCAGCUGCUCCCAGGGAAGAUUCAAGUUGGUGUCUUCUCUGCUACCAUGCCCCCUGAAGCCCUUGAGAUUACCCGCAAGUUCAUGAAUAAGCCAGUGAGGAUUCUUGUCAAGAGGGACGAGCUCACCCUUGAGGGUAUCAAGCAGUUCUAUGUCAAUGUGGAGAAGGAAGAGUGGAAGCUCGACACACUGUGUGACCUGUAUGAGACUCUUGCCAUCACCCAGAGUGUCAUCUUUGUGAACACCCGCCGCAAGGUGGACUGGCUCACCGACAAGAUGAGGGGCAGGGACCACACAGUCUCCGCCACUCAUGGAGACAUGGACCAGAACACUAGGGACAUCAUCAUGAGAGAGUUCAGAUCAGGUUCUUCACGUGUGCUCAUCACCACUGACCUGCUUGCUCGUGGUAUUGAUGUCCAGCAAGUGUCCCUGGUCAUCAACUAUGACCUCCCGACCCAGCCAGAGAACUACCUGCAUCGCAUCGGUCGUAGUGGUCGGUUUGGAAGGAAGGGUGUGGCCAUCAACUUUGUGACCCGUGAAGAUGAGAGGAUGCUGUUUGACAUCCAGAAGUUCUACAACGUGGUGAUUGAAGAGCUCCCAGCCAACGUUGCCGACCUUCUGUGAUCGGGCGGGCUGUUGAGAACAUAUGGUAAGGGGGUCCUGACAGGGCUUUGUUUUUGUUGAAGUAUCACCAACUUUCUUGUCUGUGGGUGGGGGGGUUCAAGUGAUAAAUGGUCUGCUGGGGUUCUACUUUAAAGUCGUGGUCGUGGACAAUUUGGGAUUUAUUAAGCCAUGUUUUGGGAAUUUUUGUAGUUGCUAGGCUGUGGUUCUAUGUGCUGAGGAGGGAGGCGCUGCUGCUCAUGUUGCUGUUGCUGGAGUCCUCACUUUAUUUGUUAAGACUAUGUAAUGACCGAAUGAUGUUAUUUGUUUGUGUCAUCCUUGACUCUUUACCUACCGCAUGUAAUCCUGCAAUCGGUACUAGUAAUGCUAUGGUUAUUAAAAACUGUUUACUCCUUUUUUUAGCAAUAAUCUCUGCUUAUUAGUCAAGGGGUAGUUAUCACUUGUGAUCACUCGCAUAUCUAGGUUGCCGUCUUAAUCGGGGAUCACAGGAUUUGGCAUCUGCAAUAUUUUCUGAAAUUCCUAUUCUCGUACUGAGUGAAUUUCAUGCUCCCAGACUUUGGGAAAGAAUAAAUAGUGAUGGUGAAACGUCAUCUCAUUUGUUGGAACGGAGCUCAUCAGAUCUGCUCGGUUAGCUUCGUCGCCCACUCUCUUUGCACGCGUCAUUUUGUUAGCAUCACGCAUGGGAGAGGUUACAGCUAGCGCUGCUGACCCUUCCCCCACCAUGACGCUGUGACCGACCACACCCAUGGCUUGCUGCCCCUUGCAGAACCUCGUUGGUUGCAGGCCCGUGCUGGUUGCACCAUGCAACCCUCGGAUUGCUGCCCUUUGCCGAACCUCGUUGGUUGCAGCUGGGCGUUGUGCCGAUUCCAGCUUUGGGCUGUGCUGGUUGCAGCAUCUCGUCUUGUCCCUGCAACCCUCGGAUUGCUGUCCAAUGUGGAACCUCGUUGGUUGCAGCUGGGCGUUGUGCCGAUUCCAGCUGGGCGUUGUGUUGAUUCCAGCUUGGCCUGUGUUGGUUCCAACAUCUCGGCCUGUCGCUUGCAGCUGGUUGCGGCUUGUCUUUGCAACGUUACAACAUCCCCCAUGGGGUAGCAGUGGUUCACGCGCUUUCCAGCAAAACUUUUCGCAUAGAAAAACCGGGGAAGACCAAAGAUCUUGCGCGACCAGAAAAACUGAAAAGAGAAAGAGAGGUAUGCACUGUGAAGAAAGCCCUCUGACCCACUCUUCCUUCCCCCUACCUACCCAUAAGGUAAGUAGGGGCCUCGGCAUCUCUAUUUCCCGAGAAACCUAAUAAAACUACUUCGAGAAACCUACCAAUUCGAGAAACAAUACAAACCUACUAAAAUUUUUUUACUAGCCUCCCUUUUUGGGUGGCUUCCACUACUUGUGCGAGCGAGCAAUUAUAUUUCGGAUAUCCCGGGGUUCUAAGAUCUCGAGCAGAGGAAUCGUUGCGGAUUCCUAGCAAAAUUAGUUGUUGGUUCCAGCAAAAAUUGUCGCCGGUCAAAGAAAAAAGCAGCAAUGUUGUGGAUUCCUAGUUCCAGCAAAAAAUGUCACCUUUCAUAGCAAAAUACAUCGUCUAUAACAACAAAAAGCACCAUCGUGAGAUUGACCUGGGCCUCUUGGGUGUUUAAGCCAGGCACAUGUUGAUCCCUUUAACAUAAGGGGUAAGAGUCUGACGGCGUGCCAAUCAUCACCAUUAGCCACUGGAAUGUGAGGUGAUAUGUUACCCAAAAUCUCAUGUCCGACUCCAUGGUACUUGUCCAUCGUGUUUAUCGAUGAAGCAUGUCGGAUACAUCGCUAAGGAACCUACGUCUGAUGCGCGGACGGCGUCGCACAUAGUCCAGGCCGGCCGCGGGAUCGCUUUUCGUCGAAAGCUGGCCGGUUUGGAUCCCGAGCAUUCUGGCGCAGACUAUGUGCAUGCUGCUACUUGGUUUCUCUCAAGGAAGGGUCGCGAUGUUCGGGCCAUGGGGCCAACCCUCGAUUCGCCUUGGGCUGAUAUAUGGACGUGGAGAUACAUUAGCGGUGUUUGGCCUAUGAGGAUCCCCGUCGCGGCUAUCUGACUUCCCGGUUUGACAUGAGGAUGUGCUACCCGUGUCACCGGUCGUCCGGUGUGACUCUGUUUGUGUCACUGGUCGUCUGGCGUGACUCUUGGACAGGGCCUAAUUAUCCCGCUAGAUCAUCGCCAUCUUCAGAUACUCCAUCCCUUGCUCGAACCUUCGCUUGUCAAGAUGCCCUUUUGGGAAUUGUGUCAUGAUCAGGGCUCCUGUCACUACCUGCAUAUUCUUGGUCAUGCAUGGAUCAAUGGCGUUCGCCUCUUUCACCCGUCUACCUUUCAUGGCUAGGGAGGCCUUGUCCUUUGCCAGCAUGGUCUUUUCGAUGGGAUGGCAAGACCGAAACAACUCCUCACUGCGUCCAGGCCCGCCGCCCUCCUCUUAAAGCAUCUCUUCUCCUUGGAAACCUUGAAGAGAGUCGACACGACUUUCACUCGAACUGCAUCUUGCUCCUUGUUGAGGAAGUCCUGGAUUAGGGGGUCCUUGGAUAGCCGGACUAUAUGCUUAUGCCGGACUGUUGGACUAUGAAGAUACAAGAUUGAAGACUUCGUCCCGUGUCCGGGUGGGACUCUCCUUUGCGUGGAAGGCAAGCUUGGCGAUUCGGAUAUCUAGAUUCCCUUCUCUAUAACCGACUCUGUGUAACCCUAUUCUCCUCCCGUGUCUAUAUAAACCGGAGGGUUUAGUUCGUAGGACAAGAACAAUCAUAAUCAUAGGCUAGCUCCUAGGGUUUAGCCUCUACGAUCUCGUGGUAGAUCAACUCUUGUAAUACUCGCAUCAUCAAGAUCAAUCAAGUAGGAAGUAGGGUAUUACCUCCAUAGAGAGGGCCCGAACCUGGGUAAACAUUGUGUCCCCCGCCUCCUAUUACCAUUAGCCUUAGAAGCACAAUUCGGGACCCCCUACCCGAGAUCCACCGGUUUUGACACCGACACUCGUCUUUUAGGAUCGCUCCAUCAAGCGCUUCAAUAUCCCUAUCGCUGAAUUCUAACACCUCACUGCUUUCCUCCUAGCUUGGAUCUGGCGUGUCUACCAAAUAGCAGGACUCGACCGAGAUUGCCUCCCAUGUGUGGAGAUGCACCAUGGCUCGCGGUUGGUUAUUAGUCAACUCGCACAUCUCCUUAUCAUGACCAUUGAUACGUCUUCAUUGUAUCUACUUUUCCAAACUCUUUUACCCUUAUUUUGGACUCUAAUUUGCAUGAUUUGAAUGAAACUAAUCUAGACUGACGCUGUUUUCAACAGAAUUGCCAUGGUGUUGUUUUUGUGCAGAAAUCAAAGUUUUUGGAUCGACCUAAAAAUUUAUGGAGAUUUUUGUGGAAUAAAUAAAAAAAAUACUGGUGCAAGAAGUUACCAGAGCGCUCCACCCAGAGGCCAGAAGCCCUGGUGAUGUAGGGUGGAAACCCUAGGGCCGAUCUUUCACGAUUUGGAGGGGAUCCCGCGAAGAAGACGAAGAACACGAGGAGACACACGAGGGAAAUCACAAGAGGAACACUCAAAUCCACGAGAAUCGAUUACACAUGUGCUAGAUCCAUGAACACAAAGUGGUCACAAAGAUCCAAAGACAACAAAGUAAGGAUACAAGUAGCUAGUUCUUCUCCAAGAGGAGUUCUUGAAUCCAAGAUGGAUCUUCUCGUAGGUGGAGGCUUGAAUCCACUUGGGGGAUCUUCUCCUAGUUGGAGGGCUUGGCCUUCAAUGGAGUAGGUAUCAAGUGGAUGAGAAAAGCUCUAUCUCUCAUAUGAGCUAAACAAAUGCUAAACCUACAAAGAUGAAGGAGGAGGAGUACAUAUAGUCUAGGGUCACGAAAGGGUACAUGGGCCUCGGCCCAACACACUAUGCACAAACAGGCGCCGGUCAUCUGACAGCUACCGGACGUCCGGUGGCUCACGGGGGUCCGGUCGUCCGGUAGUUGUCAAACGUCUGUCAUUUUGGCUCUGAUCAGGCGGCGUCGAAUUUCCGAUGGACGUCGGACAUCCGGUGGGCCGAUCGUCCGGUGGACUUUGGACUUCUGACAUUUUGGUUCUGUGAUGGUGGCGCCAGUCGUCCAGAGGGGUUCGGCCGUCCAGGCGCUGGGAGGUGUCGGACGUCCGGCCCAUGUCGGUCGUCCGUCCGCUUAGCGUGCGCAGGCUGGGGCUCGGCUGGCUGGCUGGCGCUUCCAGGCGUCAAAUAUCCGACAAGUCUCGGUCGUCCGGUGGUUGGAGAUUUUCUGUCAGCUCCUCUUCUUGUUCCUUGUACUUGGUGUCCUCGCCGUCUUGGCCAUUGGAUGUAGUUGCUCCGUGGCUUCCCCCUAAGUACCUGAUCACACAUAGGGUAUCCGCUUGAGGUAGUAGUCAUGUCUUACAUGAAGAAUGUAUAAGUUCGGAGAGGAGCGAGUUCACCUUAUCUACGAUAGCCUUUGCUCGAGCUCUCGUCACUGGUCCAAGUGGUGUUGUGGGAGACAUAGGUAGGUACAUGGGGAUGACCUUAGGAUGCUCCGCAUCAUCUCCACCCCUGGGAAAGAGCCGACCUCGGAUCGAAAUCUUCAUCACCAUGGUAGGGUGAGAGAUCCUUGACGUUGAAGAUAUCGCUCACGUUGUACUUGUCACGUGGGAUGUUGAUCUUGUAUGCAUUGUUGUUGUAGCAUUCUAGAACUUUGAAGGGUCCAUCAGCUUGAGGUAGAAGCUUGGACUUGCGUUCAUUGGGGAAGCGUUCCUUGUGAAGGUGUAGCCACACAAGAUCUUCAAUGUUGAAUAUCAUGGGUUGCUUGUUGAUGUUGAGCUUGGUCGCGAGGCGUUGUACUUGGCGUUUGAUGGUGUGCCUUGUAUCUUCAUGCAUCUUCUUGAGGUAGCUCACUCGUGCACUCACUCCAUGUUGAUGUGCUCUUGUAGCGGUAGCGGUAAGAUGUCCAAUGGGGACAACCGGUUGAAGCCGUAGACGAGCACAGAGGGGGACUUGCCGGUAGUAGAGUGUCUUGCGCGAUUGUAGGCAUACUCGGUGAUGGGUAAACACUCCUCCUACUCCUUGAUGUUCUUCUUGAUCAACACACGGAGGAGAGUGGAUAGCAUCCCGUUCGUGACCUCCAUUUGGCCGUCGGUUUGUGGAUGGAAUGCCGAGGAGGACAAGAGCUUGAUUUCGAGCUUGGCGCAUGGGGUCUUCCAAAAGUAACUUAGGAACUUGACGCCACGGUCCAAGAUAAUAGUCUUUGGCACUCCAUGUAGGCGCAAGAUUUCCCUACAAAAGAGAUUUGCAACAAGUGAAGCAUCGUCUAUGUUGUUGCAUGGAAUAAAGUUUGCCAUCUUAGAGAAACGGUCCACAACAACAAACAUAGUCCUUUCCAUUUUGAGUUCUAGGCAAACCAAGCACAAAGUCCAUACUAAUAUCUUCCCAUGGGUGAUACGGAAUAGGAAGUGGCAUAUAGAACCAUGUGAUUGAGCUUUAGACUUAGCUUUGCGAUAUGUAGAGCAUCGCUUGGUGAAGCGUGAGACGUUGCGGAACAUCUUGGGCCAAAAGUUAUUCUUUGAUAGUGUAGCAAAUUUCUUGUCGCAUCCAAAGUGUCCCAUAAGUCCUCCAUGAGAUUCUUGCAAAAGUAACAAACAAAGAGAAGACUCGGGGAUACAUAGUUUGUUAGCUCUCAUAAGAUAACCAUCUUUGAUGUAAUAGCGUUCCCAAGAUGUAUGUGUCAAACAUUUGGCAUAGGGAACAUUUGGCAUAGGGAAUAUCAAAAGUAGGAUCAUGCACAUACAAGUCUUUUAUGUGCUCAAAGCCAAUGACACUCAAUUCUACUUUAGUAACAAGCAUGCAUUUGCGGGAAAGAGCAUCCGCCACAACAUUCUCUUUGCCUUUGAUGUACUUGAUGAAGUAAGGAAAUGACUCAAUGAAUUCACUCCACUUAGCAUGACUCUUAUUCAACUAAGGUUGACCCUUAAGGUACUUAAGCGUUUCAUGGUCGGUAUGAAUGAAAAAUUCGUGGGGGUGAAGAUAAUGUUCCCACUCACGCAAAACUCGCCCUAAAGCAUAUAGCUCUUUGUCAUAGAUGGGAUAAUUGAGUUGCGCUCCGGAAAGUUUUUCGCUAAAGUAAGCAAUAGGGUGCUUCUCUUGCAUUAACACACCCCCUAUGCCAUGACUGCUAGCAUCACAAUGGACUUCAAAAGUUUUGUCAAAAUUGGGUAACUCAAGCACGGGAGCAUGUGUAAGGAAAAUUUUAAGCUCAUUGAAUGCGAUAUCUUGGGAUGGUCCCCAAACAAAAGGUGCAUUCUUAUUACUCAAGGCAUGCAAAGGAGAUGCAAUGGUGCUAUAAAGUCCUUAAUGAAUCUAUGAUAGAAACCGGCUAAGCCAAGGAAACUUCGCACUUGUUGCAAGUUGGUUGGUUAUGGCCAAGUUUAAAUAGCAUUUUAUCUUAGAUUCAUCUACAUGAACACCUAGGCAACGAAACCCAAAAAAACGAGCUUGUCCACACCGAAUUUGCAUUUCUCCAUAUUAGCAUAAAGGCACUCUUUUUAAAGAGUUUGCAAAACGGUUCUAAGAUGGGUGACAUGAUCUUUGAGAGAUUUGCUAAAGACAAGAAUAUCGUCAAAAUAGACCACAACAAAUACACCAAUGUAGGGGCGAAGAACAAAAUGCAUGACGCGAUGAACGUACCGGGUGCUUCAGAUAAGCCCAUUGGCAUAACAAGCCAUUCAUAUAAGCCAAAUUUGGUCUUAAAUGCGGCUUUCCAUUCAUCACCUUCUUGUAUGCGGAUUUGGUAAUAUCCACUUUUAAGAUCAAUUUUAGAGAAAAUAGUGGCUCCACUAAGCUCAUCUAGCAUAUCAUCAAGGCGUGGAAUAGGAUAUCUAUAAUGAACGGUGAUAGCAUUGAUGGGUCUACAAUCGGAACACAUGCGAAAACUACCGUCUUUCUUAGGCACUAGUAUGACCGGUAUGGCACAAGGACUUAAACUUUCACGCACAUUCCCAUUGCCAAUGAGUUGUUGUACUUGCCUUUGUAUUUCCUUGGUUCCUUGAGGGUUGAUGCGUUAGGGUGCCUUGUUAGGAAGCGGUGAGCCAGGGAUGAGGUCGAUUCGGUGUUCGAUGCCUCAUAGUGGAGGUAGUCCCGAAGGUAGUUCAUCUUGGAAGACGUCCUUGAAUUCCUGCAAGAUAUUAGACAACACUAAAGGUAGAGGGUGAGAGGUGUUAGUUGUUGUUGCCUCGUCGUUGCACAAUAGGCCAUAGUGCAUAACACUUGAUGGGUUCUCACACACUUUUCUCAUCCCACUUUUGGUAGCGAAUAUCACUAAGUUUUUCUUGUCGCUCAUCAUGGAGGCACUCAUUUUGGGCUUGUGGAUCUCACUCCCUUUUGGAUGGCUCACCCUCUCACUAUUCUCUCCAUGAUGGGUGGUUGCUUGCUUGUCGGCGAUCACUUGGUUUGGUGACAUAGGUCGUAGCACGCACUCCUUUCCCUUCAUCUUGAAGCUAUAGUGAUUGAUUCUCCCAUUGUGGAUGACGCCGCGGUCAAAUUGCCAAGGUCGUCCAAGUAGGUAUGGCAAACGGACAUGGGAACCAUUUCACAUUCCAAAGUGUCUUCAUAUGCUCCGAUCUUGAAGGAUACUUGAGCCAUGUGCUCCACUUGAAUGGUGCCGGAGUCGCUAAGCCAUUGGACCUUGUAGGGCGGAGAUGCUUCAUCUUGACCAAUUGUAGCUUGGAACAUAGCUCUUCACUUGCCAAGUUGUGGCAACUUCCUCCGUCGAUGAUAACCUUCAUGGAACGACCAUUGAUGCCCGCUUUGGUGUGGAAGAGGUGGCAACGUUGGUCUUCCUCUUGUUGGUGUUGGAGCAUCAAGACCUUGGAGACAACGAGAGCGGGGCUCGAAUCAUUGUCACAAAAGACUUGAUCAUCUUCAUCUUCAUUCACUUGCUGGUGCAUGUCCACAUGCUCAAGGGCUUCCAUUUCCUCUUUAGUCAUGGAGUCAUAGGUGCCGUCGUUGUUGAGGAUUAUGGUACACUUAUUGGUACACUCGAAGGACUUGUGGCCUCGGCCGUCGCAUGUGAAGCAUUUGAAGGAGCUCAUCUUGAUGGUCUCAUCGAUUGGAGUAGAUGAUGAAGCUCUCGGCUUGAAGUUGCUUGUAGGAGGUGGAUGACUUGAAGAUGUCAAAAUUUUCUUGGAACUUGACUUGUGGCCAUUGCUUGGUGAAGCUUUUGUCGUAGAAGAAGGCGUCGAAGUCGUUGAAGCUUGGUUGUAGGAAGAGGCAUAGGACUUGGAAGAGAAAUUGGCAUACAUGAAGUCAUCUUGCACUUGUUGCCCCGCCUUGGUAGCUUGGUGCACUAUCUCGAUGAGGUUGGAGUAAGUUUGGAAGUUGGCGAUCUUCUUGAUAGGAUGAUUGAGUCCAUUCAAGAAACCUGCCAUAGUUUGCUCAUCAUCUUCCGUGACAUUGGCUCAUAUCAUGGCGAUCUCCAUUUCCUUGUGGUACUCUUCAAUGCUAUUUGUUCCUUGCUUGAGUAGUUGUAAUUUCUUGAAGAGGUCGCGGUUAUAGUAGGUUGGUACAAAGCAUGCUCUCAUGGCAUCCUUCAUUUGAGUCCAUGUUGUGAUGGGUGGUUCACCUCUUACCUCUCGGUGCUCAAUGACUUGUUCCCACCAAAUAAGGACAUAGUCUUGGAACUCAAGGGAUGCCAUGGCGAUCUUCUUAUCUUCUUCAUAGUCAUGCAAGCGAAAGAUCUUGUCAAUCUUCAAUGCGCAUGACAGGUACUCUUUGGGAUCAUUGCUUCCGAAGAACUUGAGCAUGGUGAACUUGAGCUUGCUGUAGCAUUGCUCUUCAUUGUGUUGGGGUCGAUGGUGAUGGCGUUCUUGUCAUGGAGGAGGGUCUUGGGCCACUAGCUCCUCGUGCUCCGCUUGAUUAGCGUGAUGUUGAGGUCGUGGAAGGUUAGCAUGAUUCCUCAUUUCUUGGCGCUCCUCAAUACGGGCGGCUUCUUCUUGUAGCACUUGGUGGAGGGCCUCUUCUUGAAGUCGUGCUUGGCGGUUGUGCUCGUUGACGACCAGUGUAGCUUCGUGAAGAGCACGUUGUGCUUUAAGGUUUUGUUCCUCAGGAUGUUGUUGCUCUUGUCGAGGUGCAUUGCCAUCUUGGUGUUGUUGUCGAAUGGCAUCACCAUCUUGUUGUUCUUAUCGAUCUUAGUGUAUUGGAUCUUGAUCUUGGACCAUAGGAUCAUUAUCUUGUUGACAUUGUUGUUCACGUGCCCGGAGACGGUCUUGUAAACCAUUGCCAUGGAAUGGGUUGUGCGGAGCUUGAUGAUCUUCAUGGUAGUGGCAACGGUACGAACGAGCUCAAGGAUGACUUGCAUCCGAAGAAGAUUGCGAAUAAUGUCGACUUGAGUGGCCCCGUCAUGAAUAGGAUGAUGUCCUAGAGGAGCGAUUGACCAUCAUGGCUCAUAUGUCUUCCUUGAGAGAGGCCAUUGAUGUGUCAAAGUAGUCUCUUGUACGUUGCUCGGAUUGUCACAAGUCGGUAGCGAGUAGGUCGAUGCGGUCGCCUAAUGCUUCAUUCUCUCUAUGCAAAGCUCUUUGUGCGCUGAAGAGGUGGUUCUUGGUGACGUAGAUGUUUGGGUCCUCAUCUUGCUCGAUGAAGAGUGGAUUCGAAGAAGUAGUUAGCCUAUCCAUCAUCUCAAGCAAAUGUAAGUGAAAGAAUGAAAAGAACUAGACCAAAUGUACCUUACCCGAUGUUGAAAAUGGAUCAAUGAUCACUCAAUAGUGUAACAAGGGAGUAGCACAAUUGGUACUGAAUCUCGUCGAUUUAUCACACCUACACAAAUUUGCAAAUGCAACAAGUAGACAAAUAGCAAGUAGAUGUAACCGGAAACACACAGACAUGAAAACAUAAAUGGGGUCAUGCAACCAAAAAUGAGCUCAAAAUGUGGAAUCCAUGGAAAAUGCUCUUGUUGCACAACACUGGAGAGAUGCUAGCAUGAUUGCUCAAUAGGCGGAUACGAGACUUUUGCACAACCUACAAAGCAAAAAUGCUACGACUUCUAUCCCAAGUAUGCUCUAUGUAUGAUGUUCCGGUGAUAUGAUCCAAGAUGAUCGAGUAUGACAAUCUUAAAGUAGUAUGAUGCUAUGGUUCUUGCUUAAAAGCUCUUUGCUUAUCUUUCUCUUUUGCUUAAAAGCUUGUUUGACUCUUUCUCUUUUGAGCUCUUUCUCAUGCAAGACUUGAAGAACCAAGGUAGAUAUUGUGUAUAUGCGGUGACAACCUUGUGACACAAGAGAUAAUACCAAGAUAUGUAUACCAAGAAGAUAUGAUAUAUGCAAUGAUCACUAAUGUGCACAAGUAACAUUGCCGACAAUACUCAAAGGCUAGUCUCGAUAGGUAAGUGAUGCGAAAAUGGGCUAUGGGGUUAUCAAUGCAAUGGCAAGGAGUACACAAAGUGUCGUCGAGGUUACGGUCCUUGCUUACGGUGGAUGGUGUCAAAAUGAUGAAGAGGUCGAGGUCGAUGAUAAAGAUGAGCGGUGGUGACGUCGAUGUCGAACCAUCCUUAAGUAGCCAAAACAUGAUAGGAGACGAAAACCGUAACUCAAAUUCGCAAAGACCAAAAGUGGCUAAAUUGUCGGAGUUGGUAGCGGGUAAGCGAUGGUGGUUGCGGAAAGCGGUGGUGGUAUGCUGCAAUGCAAUGUGGGGUUAUGGGAGUGGUGGUGCGGAAGGUGAAGUGGGCAGCUAGAAAUUUUCGAGCGAAAUUCAGUUCUGUCAGGAAAUGUCGGACAUCCGGUGACUGUCGGACGUCCGGUGCUUGGGCUAUUUCGGGCACGGGAUGAACUUCUAGGGUUCGCGGUGGACAUGCAAAAUUUGGUCAAAAUUUGACGGAUUUGUGGAUGGAAAAGGGGGAAAUGAUGGGGAAAAGCUAGAUCUACCUGCAAUACAUCAAAUCCACGAAUCAAAUCCAGCAUAACUUCAUCACACCAACAAAUCACAAAAAAAAGU
rnacentral:lncRNA from 1 species